rnacentral:lncRNA from 1 species
GCUAAAGAUCUAUAGGUGGCUGAGUUUUGCUGUAUUGAUAGUGAAAAAGUUUGUGGCAGCAAAGAGUUUAUGAUUCCUGAGUAGGGUGUUUUAGGGCAAUCGAUAGGUUUGUGCUUGAGUGGCUGUCUAAAAGGGAUUUAUCUUAUAAUGUUUAAGGGGUUGAAGUCAAACCUGAGCAUGACCAAUUAAUUGAUCUGUCCAACCCUUAUUCUGGCUAUACGGUUACCACCUGUACUUGGAAUUGUCUCAGUUGAUGCCACUUUUGCAUUCAAGAGCAUGACUGCCCACUCCAAAUCUUUUCUUUUCGAAUUCGUUCAACCUCCCAAACAAACAAAAAGGGGAUUGAAAGGAUUUCCAACUUCUUGCAAUUUGCAUGGUGCGAUACUGAUUUUUCAACACACCCUCUCUAUGAUUCUUUAUGCAUUUGUACAAAUGACAAAAUCUUUAAUAUUUUCGCUGGAGAUGAAAAGUCAUAAUCCCAUACUUUGUUUCUUCAGUCUUUCUUUUUCUUUAUGCUGUCCCCACUCUGUCUUGUUUUGAAAAGAAAAAAUGUAUUGCGGCUGUCUGGUUCAUCUUGCUCAUUCAUAAAUGGAGGAUAUCCAGGUUAAGAAAAUUAUUCCAAACAAACAAUCAGAUGUUUGAUUUGAGAGCUUAACAGAUACUAUACCUUUUUUUUUUUUGGGCUGCACUUUUACAGGCAAGGGAAUUCUUUUUACAGUGAUGAAUAAUUCCGUUUUUUGGCCUUUCUUUUACUUUGCCCUUUGCUUUGUCUUUUUUCCUUGUCUGUUUCUCUUCUUCUUCCUUAUUCUUCACCAGCAAACCCUAGCACAUUAGCAUCGCCACAGUGCCACCAUCAAUUGCCAAUGCACCGCUUUUGACCACCGUCAACCACUACCAGCAGGCAUCAAUUUUAAGAAACCACAUAUGAUCUUACUUCAUUUUUUGAUAUGCUUUCAUUUUCGGGUACAAGGUUGACAACCACAAUACUAGGCCUGAACCAUCAGCUGAAGCAGGCACUCAGCAAUUUUUUCCCAUCAAACCCAAGUUAAAAAACAAAAAUACACAUAUAAAAAUGAGUCAUUGGGUUUAAGGAAAUUAGCUCCACCAUCAGUUACUAAAACAUUCAUACAAAUGAAUUUGGGGGUAGGGGGCAUUCGUGGAGCAUAGGUGGAGGCAUGGGGAGAGUUUGCUGCAUUCUUUCUUCUUGGAUACUUGUAACUUUUUUUGUUUUGUUUUUCUCUUCACUAUAGUGGAGAACUAAGUAGGUUAACAGGGGUGAAACCCACUAAAUUUGUCGGAGUGACUAAACCCAUUGAAGACCACUAUGAUUCCUUUAAAUUCAUUUCUGGUGGUUGUUACGAAACAUAAUUCGGUAUGAUUGACUUUGACUCCCAUUGCUGGGUCUGAUUUACCUUUACCAAAAAGGUCCUUCAUUUACCUGUUUAAACUAUAAUUUCUCCAGCCGCUUCCUCAUCUUCUCAGCAGUUUUCAAGAUAGUUGUUUUCUAUGCAGCUGGCAGGAUCUUCAAACCUAGGGGCUGUGGAAGAGAUCUAUUUUGAUUUCAGGAAGCAGUGUUUCAUUUUUUCUAAGGAGAAGGAAACUUUUUGUAAGCUUCCUUAUCCUUCUAAGGAAACAUUUGGAUAUUAUCUGAAAAGCACUGGCCAUGGCACUGAGGCUAAAGUUGUUGCUGCUACUGAGAAAUGGGGACGGAAUGCGUAAGUUGUUCAUUUUUGUUAAUUGUGUUCCGAAUCCCACACUUCAUUUACAUGAAUUUUACACAUCAGACUGAUGAUGAGCAACCAAUCAUCCCUGCCCAUAUUAUCUGCUUAUGUUAGAAAAGAUUUAAUUUCUUUCUGAGUGGGAUUCUUGUGGUUGUUUCCAGUGUUACCAGAAGAUUUUAUCCUGUUCUCAGUGAUUUUCUUGGAUUUUGACCUUGAGAGAAUUUUGGAUUUUAUUGCAGCAUCUUCUUUUUCGUUUUCUUUUUUUUUCCUUUGUUUAUGCAGUUACACAGACAAAUAACCUGACAAUUUGAAAAUGGUACAUGGUGCUUUGAGACUUUCACUUCAAAUAGUAUGUCGCUGUCAAAGACAAGGCCUUUUUGCUUGAUGUUCUAGCAAUAUCUCCGUUUAAUCUCUUUUGUGUAUCAUGUGGAAUGUUUUUGAAUGCUUUUACUUAUUUUUCUCUUCCUUCCCUCUGAAAAUUUUAGCGUACAGAAUAUUAUAAACUUCUCUAAUAUACAAAUUUAUAAUCACUGCAAGUAGACAUAGGUUUAUUGGAUACUUCAAUUUCAUUUUGGUGUAUAGUCAUAGUCCAACAUUAGCAUCAAUUUGAGCAAUUCUUUUAAAGUAAUUAUUAUUUUUUUUAUGCUAUAUCACAUUUAUGCUCAUCAAUGUGUACUUCUGUUGAAUAUUUUGCAUCUACAUUUCAUAUAAUUCCUUUAUCCUCGUGUUGGUUUUUUGUUAUGUAGAUUUGAAUAUCCUCAGCCCACAUUCCAGAAAUUAAUGAAAGAGCAGGUCAUGGAACCAUUUUUUGUAUUCCAGGUCUGCCGUCAUUUACAUUUGUACUUCUGUGUUGCUUGAAAAAAAUGUCUUCUUCCGAUUUUGCGGUUCAUUAUUUUUGUGAUUAAUAGUGUUCUUUGCUCUUUCUAAUCUUUUGAUGCUGCUUCUGUAGGUCUUUUGUGUGGGCUUAUGGUGUUUAGAUGAAUACUGGUAUUACAGUCUCUUUACCCUGUUUAUGCUGUUUAUGUUUGAGUCAACAAUGGCCAAAAGUCGUUUAAAGACUCUCACUGAGCUCAGACGUGUAAGAGUAGACAACCAGACAAUAAUGGUGUAUCGGUGUGGGAAGUAUGUUUUGCCUAUGGCUAUUGCUAAUUUUUCCCCCCCCCUUCAUGUUCUUGAAUUUGCAAUCUUUUUUUGGAAUCUUUUGCUAUUGCUGAGUAGUGAAAAAUUUUGAACUGUAGAUGGGUUAAACUCACUGGGACAGACCUUUUGCCUGGGGAUGUUGUGUCUAUUGGGCGUUCUACUGGUCCAGCAGGAGAAGAUAAGUCUGCGCCAGCUGAUAUGCUUUUGCUAGCUGGAAGUGCGAUCGUAAAUGAAGCUAUUCUGACAGGCGAGUCUACCCCUCAGUGGAAGGUGGUCUUCUUGUUCUUUUUCUCUUCCCUAACCCACAAAACCAUUUUUUGGAAACUUUUGCUUUUUGCUUUUUGCUUUUCUUUUUUUUUUGUGGGAAUUUUAUGAUUGUGCUACUCUUUGUUUGGCAAAUAAAUAGAAUUGAUUGGUAUUUGGCACAAUGUUUCAUGGGAUCAAUUGAGAUGUUCAAUGUACGAAAGCUUGCACCUUUCUUGGCGAGAGUUAAUGCUUGAAAAGUGCAUGUUUGCAUAAGUGCAUAUCCUGGAGGUUAACAACAUAAAAAAUAUAGCUAAAAAGCUACUGUUUUAAUAUUCUUUAAUUUUCUUGUUGCAUAAGUGUGCUGAUAUCUUGGAAAAAUUAUUACAUCUAAAUUGUUCGUGGAGCCGUGUCCUGGGGGAAAAUAUAUGACUCCUAUGUUCUCUGCAGUAUCGACUCUUUGUGAGAAAGGGCAAGCUAAUAGUUGAAAAAUGAUGAAGGCUUUGGGAAACCCUUAAACUAGUUCCCUCUUUCAAAAACCCAAGCCAAGUUUGGAUUUUUAUCCAAAAGUGGCCUUUGUUUCUUGAAAGUUUGUUUUGUCAUGUUUGGGUGGGAUUGGUAAUGGACAAUUGUUUUUGCUCUUCUGAUGAGGUUGAACGUUCGCUAAGUUAGGACAAUUGUUCAGCUCCACUCAGAUUAAAGUAGGGAGACCGGGACACAAGUUAAAGCAUCUUGUUGUGAAGGUUAAGCACCCUGAUUUCACCAUUUGAAAUGAAAACCUCAAAUGUGACAUUAAGUGUUUUACUGUUCUGGACAAAGAAUGCUUAAUAAGCUCCUGUAAAGCUGGUAAGCAGCUAAUUUAGGUUUGAACUUUGCUUGUUGGUCCACUCAGGUAAAGCCUUUUGAGUCUUUUAGCACAAGUUGUGACUUGAUCUUUACCCUUACCAAAUAGUUGUUCUGCUUAAAAUUGGAUAGGAGCUAGCCAACACCCAUUAAUUUUUUAUAAGGUGAGGUGUUACAUUUUCUGUGCACCCUGAACAGUAAGGUACCUUAUCUGAACAGUCUAUGAAAACUUGAUUCUCCUUAAAAUUGGAUUGAAGAGUUUAUGGUUACAACAGAUGUCUCUCUCUCUCUCUCCCUGUUUUUUUUUUGGUACACUAACAGCAAGUGUGCAAUCGUGCUUGCCUUUGUAUCUGCAUUUUGAGUGAGGUCUGCAAAACGUUUGUAUCAAUGAACCAGAUCUCUCUGAGGGGUUGGCCUCUUAGUUUUACUGUCUUAUAUUUGAAAGAAGGAACUAGUUGAGAGAUUUAUCUGCAUGCAGCAUUGCAUUCUCUGCACAACUUUUUUUGAUGGCCAACACAAAUUACUCAUUUACUGGUGCUGCAUCUGUAUCUUCAGUGGAACUCUUUUAGUGGUUAAGCAGUUGAAAUCAAUUUUCUAGCUGGGUAGUUUUUUUUUGGAUCCGCAUCUCAUGGUCUUCUUGUUUCCUCUUUUUUUUUUUGGUCUUUUUUUGUCUUUUGUUUUUUAUAAGUUAUUCUUUUGAUGCUCUUCAACAUUUUUAAUGUGAAAAUGUCCUUUUCAGGUUUCAAUCAUUGGUAGAGGAACAGAUGAGAAAUUAUCAGCUAAUAUGGGAUUGCGAGAUUUUUAUUUUUAUUUUUUGCGAAUAAUGAUACAUAAACAUAUAGUUUGUUUGGAUAUGACUAGGGGUGAGCAUCGAAAUCGAAAUCGAUAAUUCGGCUGAUUAAAUUCAUUGAUUUCGGUAAUUUUUCUUGUGAGAUUCCAACCUAAUUCAAUUUCGAAUUGAAAACUUUUAGUUUCGAUUUCGAUUCAAUUCGAAAUUGGAAGAGUAGCGAAUACCGAAUUCAAAAAGAAUAAUGCAUUUUGUUAUAUAUUAUAAAGUGCAUCAUAACAUAAUAUAAUGAUAUAUUCUUAUGAUAACAUUUAGUUUUACAUAAAAUUGAAUGUAUAUAACAUUCUAAUAUGUAUUUUGCACAUGCUAUUUACUUAUAUAUGGUAUUCAUGUAUAAUACAUACAUGUCUAAAUUAUAUAUGUGUUGUUUAAUAUUUAAAUAUUUUUUCAAUUCAAAAUUAGUAAAAUCCGACUUCAAAAACCAGUACCAUUUUCAUAUCUAUUUCAAAAUACAUGAAUUCGAUAUCUUCGUCAUCCUUCUAAAUUUAUGAAUUACGAAUUCUGAAUUUUUGAAUUCAUUUGGAAAUUGAUUGGUAAUUUGGUAAAUUUUGAAUUUUUACACCCUUAAAUGUAACUUAGUAUUUGGGAAAUGUUGUCGAAUUUUCUAUGUUUCUCUCUCUCAUUUCUCUACAAUGAUCAUAUACAUGGGAGUCUAUAAACACUUACUAUGGUUCACUACCCAGCACUAUUUCGUUUUGGCGAAAAGUUUUGAGUUCUAGCUUGACUUUGAAAUUGACUUGUGUUCUCUGUACAUGCUCCAUUUUGCAGGUCAAUGACAUUCACCAAGCAGAUUCAUGCAAAGUUAUUCCUGCUAAAUUCUGUGGUUCAAAAGAAAUUGUGCCCCUACAUUUUCGAAAGGUUCGAAGCCUGCUGAUAAUCUUGUGAAUUUUGAUUUCCAGCCUUCUUGUUCCACGAGUUGAAUCCUGAUUUCAACUUAUUUUUGUUUUCAUUUUGACUUUGGAUAUACUGCUUUCAAUAGGUUGUCAUGAUUUCACUAAAGCUGUAAGUAAUAUGAGUUACACCAUUAGAUGCUACAGUAUCUGUCAGGCACAAAAUAGCUAUAUUAUGAAAUACGAAGUAUUCAUGGAAAAACCUGUACAUCCUGGCUAUGUUAUGAUUUACCUAUGGCAGUGAAUAAUUAGAGUUCCAUUCUCUGAAAAUUAUCCCCUGUACUUGUACGUCCAUUAUAGCUCACAUGAGAACUGUCUCCGAUCAAGUUGUCUUUGUACUAGGGAUUUGACCACUAGAUUCUGGAGCACUUGUCUGAAAGAUUAUUAGAACGAUGCUAUGAUGGCCUCGAUAUUUAAUCCAGAUUCUGGAUGGUUUAUUACCUGGCAAAUGAUAGGUGGCAAAUGGCAAGUUUGGUGUGUAAUUGGGUGGGUUGUAAGUGGAUCACUAAUAAAUGGGUGAAAUUCCAAUUGAACAAAUGAUUAUAAGGUAUUAGGUGGGUUAUCAAUGGACCUGUAAGACCUAUUCUCAAGGUGACAUGAUAAUUUUUUUUUCAACUAUCUUUUUACAUGAUUUUUACCCUUUUAUUUUCUCCCUCGUUUCCCCUUUACCUUUUGGCUUUUCGAUUCUAAAAUAUUAAUGCAAUUGCCAACUGUCCUCUCCAUUGCUUGUUGAAUUAUCUGUACCAUUUGCAUGAACACGCCAUUUUGAAUUUCAUUUUCUGCACAAAUACCAUCAUUGGCCUGCAAAAUACUAGAAAUUUGGUGAAAAGCUUUGAAUUGACUAUGGCCGACGCUGGCAACUUCAUGUCCUAGAGUAAAUGUUCCCCAAAUCACCCAAUAUUCCAUAAAGAGAUACUCUCACAAUCUUUUUUUUGAGAAGGUAAUAAUUAUAGAUCACGUUCCUCUUGUGUAGCAAAACCUCACUUCAUCAUUUACUUUGUCUGGAAAGAACAAAAAAUGAUUGCACCAAACCUCAAAGUGAAUAGUCAUUGAGAUUCCCAUUGUCUGAAAUUUCUGAACUUUUUUGAAUUUGGAAUAUCAUAAACAUGAACUUCUUGUGAGUGACCAACCCACUGCACUAUCAUUAUCAAACACCGUGCAGGGAAAUUUGAGUUCGUGUCAGUGACUGCAGGAGAAGUUGAUGGGGAGCAGUCAAGAUGGUUGGGGCUUAUUAAGCUAAAGAUCUAUAGGUGGCUGAGUUUUGCUGUAUUGAUAGUGAAAAAGUUUGUGGCAGCAAAGAGUUUAUGAUUCCUGAGUAGGGUGUUUUAGGGCAAUCGAUAGGUUUGUGCUUGAGUGGCUGUCUAAAAGGGAUUUAUCUUAUAAUGUUUAAGGGGUUGAAGUCAAACCUGAGCAUGACCAAUUAAUUGAUCUGUCCAACCCUUAUUCUGGCUAUACGGUUACCACCUGUACUUGGAAUUGUCUCAGUUGAUGCCACUUUUGCAUUCAAGAGCAUGACUGCCCACUCCAAAUCUUUUCUUUUCGAAUUCGUUCAACCUCCCAAACAAACAAAAAGGGGAUUGAAAGGAUUUCCAACUUCUUGCAAUUUGCAUGGUGCGAUACUGAUUUUUCAACACACCCUCUCUAUGAUUCUUUAUGCAUUUGUACAAAUGACAAAAUCUUUAAUAUUUUCGCUGGAGAUGAAAAGUCAUAAUCCCAUACUUUGUUUCUUCAGUCUUUCUUUUUCUUUAUGCUGUCCCCACUCUGUCUUGUUUUGAAAAGAAAAAAUGUAUUGCGGCUGUCUGGUUCAUCUUGCUCAUUCAUAAAUGGAGGAUAUCCAGGUUAAGAAAAUUAUUCCAAACAAACAAUCAGAUGUUUGAUUUGAGAGCUUAACAGAUACUAUACCUUUUUUUUUUUUGGGCUGCACUUUUACAGGCAAGGGAAUUCUUUUUACAGUGAUGAAUAAUUCCGUUUUUUGGCCUUUCUUUUACUUUGCCCUUUGCUUUGUCUUUUUUCCUUGUCUGUUUCUCUUCUUCUUCCUUAUUCUUCACCAGCAAACCCUAGCACAUUAGCAUCGCCACAGUGCCACCAUCAAUUGCCAAUGCACCGCUUUUGACCACCGUCAACCACUACCAGCAGGCAUCAAUUUUAAGAAACCACAUAUGAUCUUACUUCAUUUUUUGAUAUGCUUUCAUUUUCGGGUACAAGGUUGACAACCACAAUACUAGGCCUGAACCAUCAGCUGAAGCAGGCACUCAGCAAUUUUUUCCCAUCAAACCCAAGUUAAAAAACAAAAAUACACAUAUAAAAAUGAGUCAUUGGGUUUAAGGAAAUUAGCUCCACCAUCAGUUACUAAAACAUUCAUACAAAUGAAUUUGGGGGUAGGGGGCAUUCGUGGAGCAUAGGUGGAGGCAUGGGGAGAGUUUGCUGCAUUCUUUCUUCUUGGAUACUUGUAACUUUUUUUGUUUUGUUUUUCUCUUCACUAUAGUGGAGAACUAAGUAGGUUAACAGGGGUGAAACCCACUAAAUUUGUCGGAGUGACUAAACCCAUUGAAGACCACUAUGAUUCCUUUAAAUUCAUUUCUGGUGGUUGUUACGAAACAUAAUUCGGUAUGAUUGACUUUGACUCCCAUUGCUGGGUCUGAUUUACCUUUACCAAAAAGGUCCUUCAUUUACCUGUUUAAACUAUAAUUUCUCCAGCCGCUUCCUCAUCUUCUCAGCAGUUUUCAAGAUAGUUGUUUUCUAUGCAGCUGGCAGGAUCUUCAAACCUAGGGGCUGUGGAAGAGAUCUAUUUUGAUUUCAGGAAGCAGUGUUUCAUUUUUUCUAAGGAGAAGGAAACUUUUUGUAAGCUUCCUUAUCCUUCUAAGGAAACAUUUGGAUAUUAUCUGAAAAGCACUGGCCAUGGCACUGAGGCUAAAGUUGUUGCUGCUACUGAGAAAUGGGGACGGAAUGCGUAAGUUGUUCAUUUUUGUUAAUUGUGUUCCGAAUCCCACACUUCAUUUACAUGAAUUUUACACAUCAGACUGAUGAUGAGCAACCAAUCAUCCCUGCCCAUAUUAUCUGCUUAUGUUAGAAAAGAUUUAAUUUCUUUCUGAGUGGGAUUCUUGUGGUUGUUUCCAGUGUUACCAGAAGAUUUUAUCCUGUUCUCAGUGAUUUUCUUGGAUUUUGACCUUGAGAGAAUUUUGGAUUUUAUUGCAGCAUCUUCUUUUUCGUUUUCUUUUUUUUUCCUUUGUUUAUGCAGUUACACAGACAAAUAACCUGACAAUUUGAAAAUGGUACAUGGUGCUUUGAGACUUUCACUUCAAAUAGUAUGUCGCUGUCAAAGACAAGGCCUUUUUGCUUGAUGUUCUAGCAAUAUCUCCGUUUAAUCUCUUUUGUGUAUCAUGUGGAAUGUUUUUGAAUGCUUUUACUUAUUUUUCUCUUCCUUCCCUCUGAAAAUUUUAGCGUACAGAAUAUUAUAAACUUCUCUAAUAUACAAAUUUAUAAUCACUGCAAGUAGACAUAGGUUUAUUGGAUACUUCAAUUUCAUUUUGGUGUAUAGUCAUAGUCCAACAUUAGCAUCAAUUUGAGCAAUUCUUUUAAAGUAAUUAUUAUUUUUUUUAUGCUAUAUCACAUUUAUGCUCAUCAAUGUGUACUUCUGUUGAAUAUUUUGCAUCUACAUUUCAUAUAAUUCCUUUAUCCUCGUGUUGGUUUUUUGUUAUGUAGAUUUGAAUAUCCUCAGCCCACAUUCCAGAAAUUAAUGAAAGAGCAGGUCAUGGAACCAUUUUUUGUAUUCCAGGUCUGCCGUCAUUUACAUUUGUACUUCUGUGUUGCUUGAAAAAAAUGUCUUCUUCCGAUUUUGCGGUUCAUUAUUUUUGUGAUUAAUAGUGUUCUUUGCUCUUUCUAAUCUUUUGAUGCUGCUUCUGUAGGUCUUUUGUGUGGGCUUAUGGUGUUUAGAUGAAUACUGGUAUUACAGUCUCUUUACCCUGUUUAUGCUGUUUAUGUUUGAGUCAACAAUGGCCAAAAGUCGUUUAAAGACUCUCACUGAGCUCAGACGUGUAAGAGUAGACAACCAGACAAUAAUGGUGUAUCGGUGUGGGAAGUAUGUUUUGCCUAUGGCUAUUGCUAAUUUUUCCCCCCCCCUUCAUGUUCUUGAAUUUGCAAUCUUUUUUUGGAAUCUUUUGCUAUUGCUGAGUAGUGAAAAAUUUUGAACUGUAGAUGGGUUAAACUCACUGGGACAGACCUUUUGCCUGGGGAUGUUGUGUCUAUUGGGCGUUCUACUGGUCCAGCAGGAGAAGAUAAGUCUGCGCCAGCUGAUAUGCUUUUGCUAGCUGGAAGUGCGAUCGUAAAUGAAGCUAUUCUGACAGGCGAGUCUACCCCUCAGUGGAAGGUGGUCUUCUUGUUCUUUUUCUCUUCCCUAACCCACAAAACCAUUUUUUGGAAACUUUUGCUUUUUGCUUUUUGCUUUUCUUUUUUUUUUGUGGGAAUUUUAUGAUUGUGCUACUCUUUGUUUGGCAAAUAAAUAGAAUUGAUUGGUAUUUGGCACAAUGUUUCAUGGGAUCAAUUGAGAUGUUCAAUGUACGAAAGCUUGCACCUUUCUUGGCGAGAGUUAAUGCUUGAAAAGUGCAUGUUUGCAUAAGUGCAUAUCCUGGAGGUUAACAACAUAAAAAAUAUAGCUAAAAAGCUACUGUUUUAAUAUUCUUUAAUUUUCUUGUUGCAUAAGUGUGCUGAUAUCUUGGAAAAAUUAUUACAUCUAAAUUGUUCGUGGAGCCGUGUCCUGGGGGAAAAUAUAUGACUCCUAUGUUCUCUGCAGUAUCGACUCUUUGUGAGAAAGGGCAAGCUAAUAGUUGAAAAAUGAUGAAGGCUUUGGGAAACCCUUAAACUAGUUCCCUCUUUCAAAAACCCAAGCCAAGUUUGGAUUUUUAUCCAAAAGUGGCCUUUGUUUCUUGAAAGUUUGUUUUGUCAUGUUUGGGUGGGAUUGGUAAUGGACAAUUGUUUUUGCUCUUCUGAUGAGGUUGAACGUUCGCUAAGUUAGGACAAUUGUUCAGCUCCACUCAGAUUAAAGUAGGGAGACCGGGACACAAGUUAAAGCAUCUUGUUGUGAAGGUUAAGCACCCUGAUUUCACCAUUUGAAAUGAAAACCUCAAAUGUGACAUUAAGUGUUUUACUGUUCUGGACAAAGAAUGCUUAAUAAGCUCCUGUAAAGCUGGUAAGCAGCUAAUUUAGGUUUGAACUUUGCUUGUUGGUCCACUCAGGUAAAGCCUUUUGAGUCUUUUAGCACAAGUUGUGACUUGAUCUUUACCCUUACCAAAUAGUUGUUCUGCUUAAAAUUGGAUAGGAGCUAGCCAACACCCAUUAAUUUUUUAUAAGGUGAGGUGUUACAUUUUCUGUGCACCCUGAACAGUAAGGUACCUUAUCUGAACAGUCUAUGAAAACUUGAUUCUCCUUAAAAUUGGAUUGAAGAGUUUAUGGUUACAACAGAUGUCUCUCUCUCUCUCUCCCUGUUUUUUUUUUGGUACACUAACAGCAAGUGUGCAAUCGUGCUUGCCUUUGUAUCUGCAUUUUGAGUGAGGUCUGCAAAACGUUUGUAUCAAUGAACCAGAUCUCUCUGAGGGGUUGGCCUCUUAGUUUUACUGUCUUAUAUUUGAAAGAAGGAACUAGUUGAGAGAUUUAUCUGCAUGCAGCAUUGCAUUCUCUGCACAACUUUUUUUGAUGGCCAACACAAAUUACUCAUUUACUGGUGCUGCAUCUGUAUCUUCAGUGGAACUCUUUUAGUGGUUAAGCAGUUGAAAUCAAUUUUCUAGCUGGGUAGUUUUUUUUUGGAUCCGCAUCUCAUGGUCUUCUUGUUUCCUCUUUUUUUUUUUGGUCUUUUUUUGUCUUUUGUUUUUUAUAAGUUAUUCUUUUGAUGCUCUUCAACAUUUUUAAUGUGAAAAUGUCCUUUUCAGGUUUCAAUCAUUGGUAGAGGAACAGAUGAGAAAUUAUCAGCUAGACGAGAUAAAACCCAUGUUCUUUAUGGUGGCACUAAAAUUUUGCAGCAUACACCCGAUAAGGUUGUUUAUCCUAAUCAUGUAAACCUUAAUUUUUUGCUGUUUGAUGUACAUGAUGGUAAUCCUGUUUUCUUUGUCACUUGUUCUAGACAUUUCAUAUGAAAACUCCUGAUGGUGGCUGCUUGGCUGUUGUUUUAAGAACGGGAUUUGAAACCAGCCAAGGAAAAUUGAUGCGGACUAUUCUAUUUUCUACUGAGAGGGUACAUGGUCUAUGUAUUAUUUUCUUUUCUUGGUUGAAUAUACUGGCUGUUUUUCCUCAUCUUUCAGUAUCUUUAAAGUUUUUUUCAAUUAUUUGAAUUUUUGUAGGUUACUGCUAACAGCUGGGAAAGCGGACUCUUUAUUUUAUUCUUAGUAGUUUUUGCAGUAAUUGCAGCAGGUUAUGUUCUUAAAAAGGUAAUUUUUGGUUUUGUGGCCUAGUGAAUCUUUUUAUGUAUCUGUUCUCUAAAAUUACCUAGUUUUCCUUUUGCAUUUAUGUGUAUUGCAUUUCUGCGAAUACACAGUAUGCACAUGUAUCGUUUUCUGCUCUUUUUUUUAUGAUGAAAUGGUGUUCUGAUGCAGGGGCUUGAGGACCCGACAAGGAGUAGAUACAAGCUUGUCUUAAGUUGUUCCCUGAUCAUUACUUCUGUGAUUCCACCUGAGCUACCGAUGGAAUUAUCCAUAGCUGUUAAUACAUCUUUGAUUGCUUUAGCACGUCGUGGGAUAUUUUGCACAGAACCAUUUAGAAUUCCAUUUGCAGGGAAGGUUAGAAGUUCAAGUUUAUUUAUGGUUCUUUUAAAUAGUAGUUAACCGUACUGAUUUUGCUGUUGGCUGUGGCAUCAUUAAUUUAUUAGUUACAUAUGCAUAUUUAGGUGGUAUAUUUGCUCUUGUUGCAAAUAUAUUUAGAAUAUGGAAAUUUAAUACUGUUUUUUAGCGUUUGUGUCUCCUUGAAUCGUCGUGAAGCAUCUGGUGAUCAGCUUUUCUUUUCUUUGCUUGAUAUAAUACUUGAGAUGUAUUCUAAUAUCGAAUUGUUUGGACAUUUAAGGUCAGUCCUAGUUAAUGUCUGAUCGGGGAAAGAUCCUUGCAAUAGAUUCUACUAUUUUUGUUGAUUCAUUUUGUUAUAAUAUUUGGGAAAGAGUUGGAAUCAAAUGAAAAUGUUGGAGUUUCAUAUAUGAAAUUAUGACAUGUAUACGCUUUAUUUUGGUUGAGAUUAUUCUACAAGGGAAUGAUGACUGGUUCUCCAAUUUCCUGUGUUUGGAUGACAAAUUAAACUAUAUUUAAUUGUAUUUUAUGCAUUUUUAUUUUUGAAAGCUUUUUCCAUCAUGUUCUCGACUUUUAUUAUAUUUAUCACUGUAUUUUUGAAAUCAUUGGUGUAGUUCUUGUUUGAAGUAGUAAUCUUGAUUAGUGAUAACAUUGUUUAAUAACAUGAUUAUUUUAAAGAAAAUAGUUAGUGAGUUGAACAUAGUAAUAUAUCUACUCUUCUUACUAAAAGAAAUUUGGGAACAAUGCAGGCAAGGGGAAGAGAGAGGAGUUAAGGUGGGAAUAGUUUGGUGAUGGAAGCUGAAUGAUGGAUUUAGAUUUGCAAACUUCACUUUUGCUUUAUCUGCAUAACAACUUACUCUUGCAUAUUAUCUAAUAUUGUCAGCCUUCAUAAAGUUAAUGGGAAUCAUUAUUAGAUGGUGGAUGUCGGUGUAUGUUUUAGGAAAUUAUUUGUGUUUAAUUAAAUACUCGCUUAGUGUUUCUGGGUUUGGCUGGGAACCCUAUCUUUUUCUAUGGGAUCUGAUAGUAACAAAUAGUGGUUUUGUGUCCCCUGGAAAUGAAAUAAAGUGGAGAAUGUUAGAUCAAUUUUUCUUUAGUUGUUAGAAUGCUGGACUUGAUCUCCGUGUAAUCAAAUCUGUACUUAUUCGGGAUAUGAAGUUGUUGGUCGACAAAUCCAAACAAAUGAGCUUCGUGUGAUGUAGAUUAUCAUAGUGCGACCUUGUGGUGCAAAUUUGGGUGUAUGGCUGCUAGUUACUAUUUUGUAUCCAAUGUAGACAAGAUUGUUGAUGGUUUAUUUCAUGCUUAUACUUUUUAGUUAACUUGGCAAUCAUACAGUGUGACGAGAUAUGAGUUCUCUGUUAUUAGCGGAUGCAUUGCUGGUGCUGGACUAUGUUUAUUACUAGUAAAGGGGAGAAAGUGAGAGUGAAUGUUUUACUUCUCCAUACAGAACACAUAAACACUCUUUUACCUCUGGCUGGGAAGAGAAUUUGAGAUGAUACUGGUUAGGAUGGGUUGUCUUGUCUCCAGAUGUGGAGGUUUGUAAUGGAAUCAUGUAUUGGGUUGGGUCACUUGGGUGCCUCUGCCAUGUUGCUGUGUUACAUCAGUAAGGUCAGCUUGUAUUAGUUAGCGAACUUGUCAUAUGGAGCAAUUUGGAUAAGGUUUUUAUUAUUGAAUGUUGGAUUACCUUUUAUUGGUGGGUUUCUGCUACUUGUUUGAUGACGGGUGUCAAAUUGAAUAACUCAUGUUUGUUGGUAUCAUUAGACUAAUUAUUAAAAGUUCUUAUAUUAUAUAGUUUGAUUAGCAUGUUUGUUAGUAUCCUUUUCUCUUUUAAUGUGAUUAUACUCAUGAAACUUCAGGAUAUUUGUUGGAUAUGAGUUGUAUAUGAUUUUGAGUGUAGAAAGUGAUUUUUCCCCCCUUGCUGAUCCAUAGUGUUCAAUGUUCUUGAUUUUGUCCUCAUCUAAAUUAGGUUUCUUUGCUUUCUGCAGGUUGAUAUGUGUUGCUUUGACAAAACUGGCACACUAACAUCUGAUGAUAUGGUAUGAAAAUUAGAAGCUUGAAAAUUUGUAUUUGACAUUUGCAUUUUUGCCAAAUCGUUUUUCUUAUGGUACUCUUUAACCUUUAGGAAUUUUCUGGAGUUGGUGGACUAACUGAUCGUGAGGAAUUAGAGACAGAAAUGAGUAAAGUUCCAGGACGCACUCAGGAAAUUCUUGCUUCAUGUCAUGCCUUGGUUUUUGUGGACAACAAGCUGGUAUUCUUUAGACUUCUUGGCUACUAUGCACAAUAGUUGCUUUUAUGUUGUUCAUCCAUGAAUUUUUUUGCAAAUAAUUCCUACUUCCAUGAUCAAUUGAGCAUGAUAUUUUGUCGAUGAUUCAGUAGAUUAAUAAGAUUUACUUGCACUUAAUUGUUGAGAAGGCGUUCUGUAGGAAGCAGAUCAAACACAACUGCCUCCAUAGUGUGUUGUUGAGUAUUGGGUGUGGGGGCUGGCGGAAAGAAAGAUUGAGCCUAUCAAAGUUUUGUAUUCCUCCAAUUCGGGAGGAAAAAAGAAUGGAGAGUUCAAAUAGAGAUCCCAUAAUUUCCAUCGUUGGAUAGUCUAAACAUUAAAGAAAAAGUGAAUUUGUAAUGGAGCUUUUAUAAAUUGAUGCAGUUAGCAGAUUUUGGAUACUCCAAAAUGAAAUACCAGUUGUAUCGCUUUUUCCUGUGUAAUAAUCUAAACUGGCCACUUUAAUGCUACAAAAUGCUAAAUCGUCCUUCUUACAUUUUCCUAUUUGGAUGUUGCAAGAUUGCCUUUAAGGCAUCUAAAACUAGCCUUUAAUGGUUGGACGAAAGUAGAAUAAAGACAAGGCUUGGGGAUGCUGUACUUUCAUUGAUGAAAGUUUCUUCCUCAGAAAUAUUGUUUGCCUCUUCAAGCAAAAGUACUUUGGACGUUUUAAUGAUUGUGCUCAAGAUGCUGCAAUCCGUUAUUGUCUGUGACACUCUAUUUAAUUCCAUGAAGGGUCAUUUGGUUUUGCGAACUGGAUCAGAAGCAUUGAGUUGUUAUAAUAUUUAAGCAUCCCAAGAAUUAGUGCCUCCCGACUCCUAGCUGAAUUGAUCUGGUGCCUGGGAUAGUCAUCUAACUCAUGAUUGAAAGGAUCUAGUUUUUGUAAAAAUAUUUGUAAUGACUAGAUGACUCUGCAAACUUAUUGUAUUUCAAAUUAGAAGUUAUUAUUAUUUUUGUCAAUAUUCUGCUGUGGGAUAAAAACAUAAAAAACUUUGAUAUUUAUCAAAUCAUUGUUAUACUGAUAAUUUGGUUACAAUAUAACCAUCCACACAAAUAUUUAUUCUAUGUCAUUGCAAUGUUUCCCUAAAUAUAGAUUUACAGAUUAUGCAAUCACUUAACCUGUAGGAAAUAGAAUAAGCACAUAGAAGAUAAUUUUGAAACAUACAAAUAAGAAUAUGAGGGUGUUCAAGUCCUCUGCUUUUCUGCAGUUUGCUUCUUGUACCAUUUAUUACUCUACUGAACUCCCUUAUUUGAUAUUAUUUACUGCAUGUAGUCUACAUUAAGUGGGGUUGUGAAAGAAAUGGGAGAAGACACCCCUUCCUCGACUUCUUCCAAACCAAAAACUUGACAAUGAUGGGCAAUUGAUGAUAUGCUGCUUGAUGCAUUGAACUGAACAUGUACUUGUUAUGUUUAGUUGGCUGUUGAGCAAUCUUUUGCAGUUGCCAUUGUCUUGGGGAAGGCUGUAUGAAUAUCUUUUAGGAUUAUGCCAUUGUAUGCUUCCAGAGUUCCCAUUGUCUGUUGAGAUCUUUGCACUCUAAUCUCUCGUAUGAAUUGGACUGGCUUAUUGAAUCCAGUGCAUUACCCAUUUUCUAGUUUCUGCAUUACUUUCUCCAACAAUAUUGGAACUAGGGCUGCCUCUGUGCUAGCAAAAAUUUUCUGUAGUAAUAUUGUUCCAUACUUGAAUGCAGGUUGGUGAUCCUCUUGAAAAGGCUGCUCUUAAGGGAAUUGAUUGGACCUACAAAUCAGAUGAAAAGGCCAUUCCGAAGAAGUAAGUCAAUAGUGUUAAUAAUAAUUUUUUCCCUUUGUUGAGCUGAUAAAGCUAGUUGUUGUGGUUUGCAAUUCAAAAGAAAGUUAUUUGUUUUUCCGUUUCAAAGCGUAGUCAUUACUGUUGAUUGAAUGUUAUCUUUCCACUCUCUGUCAUGCAUGUGUCCUAGGUCAAAAUAUAAAUUAACUUUGCGUUAUUUAAUGUACCUUUCAACAUAAAUCUAUUGCCAUAAAGGCCUGAGAGGUGUAAGAUUGUUUUAAGAGCACAAUUUUCUUGUCUCAGCAUAUUGCACUGGCAACUGUUAAACUUUGUCUGCUUUGGUUUUUGGCUAAGUGUUGCAUGUGGGAAAUAUCAAUUUAUUAGGUUGACACCUGAUUAGAUGCCUUUUUCAAACAAUCUGGGUGUACUUGCAUACUAAUUUAUUUACCUAAGGGCUUGUUCUCAGCUGCUUGUUUGGACUUCUAACUUUUAAAUUUAAAAAAUCUGUAAUGUUACAUUCAACUGCUUUUGCUUUCUGCUUUUAUCAUUAAUAUAGCUGAAUUUAGGCAAAAACCAGAAGCUGCCAAGGACCGUCUUUUUGGAAUAUCACUUUGAUCUUUUACAGAAUUAACCUUUACCAAAAGCCGUGUCAAGUGAGAACUGGCCCUAAGUAGAAAAGGUACUUAAAAUACUGCUAAGAUAAAUUGUAUGUAGCAAGAGAAGCAUUACUUGUGUUACAAAUGAAGCUGUUCACUUUUGAAAUUCUAGUUUAUUUUCUUUUUAGAGUUUUUAUUGUCUCCAUGAAACUUGUACAUUAUUGUUAUCGAACUCAUUACUGACUGAGACUGCAUUUGAUGACUAUAUUUGGGUGGUUCACCAUUUCAUUGGUCAUUUUUUUGAAUCACUCAUUCAGUGCUGACAUGAUAGUUGUGUUUGGUUGAAGCAGACAUAAGCUUUUGCUUCCUGAAAUUUGAUUUCUUGUCUGCUCUCACUUUAAUGGAGAUAUUGUUGGCUUUGAGAGGGGAAACAGAAAAGAGGUCUGACUUGAAUUAGUAAUUUUGCUGAAGAGAUUGACAUGCCAUGCGGAUAGGAAUGGCAGCGGGGGCAGGUACCCGCUGGUGCCCGCCCCGCGGGGGGAGUAAUGGGGCGGGGCGGGUGCGGGGACGGGGGGAAUUUUUGUCCCCCCGUCCCCCGUUUCAAUUUAUUAAUAUAAAUAAAUGUAAUAUAUUAUAUAAUCUAAUAAUAACAAAUUUAGAAUAUUUGGCAACUAAACAUAACUUUUAUUCCAUUUCUAUCCAAAUUCCUAGUUGAUAUUUGGUACAAGCAUGUUACGUGUUCUAGGAGUAUUCCCAAAUGUUAUCUAUACAAUCCAAUUGAGUUUCUUAAUUUUCUUGGUGUUUUAUUUCAACACUUUUCUUUUUUCACUUUUUUCAGCUCCGUAUUUUAUUUUAUUCUUUGAAUUUAACUUUGAUUUAUUACUAAAGGCUUCUAGAAAAAAAAAAAAUCAAAUUAUCACCCGCGGGCACCCGCAGGGGAAGUGAGGCUGCCAUCCCUACAUGUGGAUUAGCUUUCUGUUUAAUGAACUCUUCUUCAUGAUUGUACUUUAGCUGUAUAGACUCUAAUUGAAGAUUUUACAAAUGUCAAUUGUUAGUUUUGCUUUCUUAUUGUUUCUUUUUGGAUUUUUUAAUAGAUAAUAUUUCAUUGUUUGGAUCAGUUACUUGAACUUCCCUUUUUUUGUUCUGAUUGCCUUGAGCUUCCUUUUCUUGAAAUUCUAUGAAACAUUAUUUUGUGUUAAUCAAACACUUUCUCUGUAGGUUAGUUUUGCAUAAUUUUAGAAGAUCAAGGUGUACCCAGUACUUAGAAAACCUAGGGGAAUUUAGUUUUGAUUACCCUGACUUAUCUUAGCCCAGUGCUCUCUAGCUUGCACAUUUUUAAGAAAAAUGUUUUCUAAUGACAAGGAUCCUUCGAAUCAAUCUUUGGCUACAUGAUACAAGUAGCAUUUCAUGAAUGCAUGUUUCAUAACAACAGGACAGAUACAAAGAGAUGAUGUUAAUUUAUUGCUAUUUUCCCUGCUCCGCUCGUGCAUUUCUGUCCAGGAAUUGGUAUUAUUUUAGUCUAAAUGUUGAGUCUUGCCUGGAAUGGUAGUAUGUUUAGGUAAAAUUGAUGCAAGGUAAUGGGCUGAUGAUUUUUAACUCGAUGCAUUCCAUUGGAGACCAAUCUUUAGAAAUCCCGAUAAUAGGUUUAGUUUUCACUUUUAUUCGUCAACCUGAUUGUCCAAUAAGGGAAAAAAUUCUCAAAUGGUCAUUCUUUAUUUAUUCACUGAUGAUGCAUAGAAGAGUGGUUUGCAGUUAACUACAAACAUUUGAAAGUUAAAAAGGCCUACACUGCCUUUUUGGUUUUUGCUGUUACGUGCUUAAAGGAUGUUUGUUACAAUUAUGCAGCAGAGAUCUAAUAUGUGAUUGUCUUUAUUAUACCGCUUAUACUUGAGUUGCAUCUCCGGAGAUUUGACAUAGUUCAGUAACCCACCCUUUUGAUUUUCUCAGUCAUGAGAUUUGUUACUACCUAGUGAUUCUAGUUUUUUCAGUAAUUAAUGUCUGUCACUUAAUUUGUUUAAGAUUUCUCAUAAUAUUGGUUAUGUUUUCCUUUUAUAACAAAUUAUUUGGAAUUGCAAUAAACAAAAUUUUCAAUCUGCAGGGGUAGUGGAGAUGCAGUUCAGAUUGUGCAGAGGCACCACUUUGCUUCCUAUCUUAAAAGAAUGGCAGUUGUUGUUCGUGUUCAGGAGCAGUUUUUUGCUUUUGUGAAGGUAUGGAUAUUGAUAUUUGAUAUCUUUUUUUGCUUUUCUUUCUUCUUGUGUAUAAGGGGGUGGCAAGUAUCAUGGCUGAUUUGACUUUGUCUGAUUUCUGAUCUGUUUAUGAUUUUGUAUCUCUUCUACUAUUUAAGUGGUUUGGCUAUGUUGUGUGGGGUAUGCCUUAACAAUGUAGCAUAUGGUUGGGCAUUUUUUCAUUUAUCCUCGAUCCCUGAUAGUUUGGCUUCAUUUUUUCUAUUUGUCUGUGAUGCACGAUUAAGCUGCCUGUUCUGUAAGGAAUUCCUCCUUAGAAAUGACAGGAACUGUAAUCCAAAUUUUCAUUUUGAGUUUCUAAUAAAUUUGGCAUCAGCUUUUCAUAUACAUGUGCUGGGACUAUUAUGUGGGGAAUGACUAUCAUGACGUCAAAAACACCUUUCUGCUAUUUGCACAGACACACACAUGUAUAAACAUGUAUAUAUUUCUUUUGGGCGUUUUUUGAGUUUGUUGGCUCUAAACAUCCAAACAUAUAUUUGCAUAAAAGGCAGUAGUGUAGGAAUCUGUUUAGCUACAGUGCCAGUUCUUUGCCUUGCCAGUUAGGCUUUCUGAAUGUUAUUCCAUAACAUGAAAUUUUCCUUCCUGCUCUUUUACCAUUGUGCACCCAAAAGUUUUAGUGACAAACGAAGACAAACAAUUGGCCUUGGUGACUAUGUUUUGUAUGUGUUAUGUUCUGGUGAGAGAUCAUUUUGAUUGUUUCUACCUGUUGAACUCCAGGGAGCACCAGAAACCAUCCAGGAGAGGCUUAUUGAUGUACCUCCAUCUUAUGUCAAGACUUACAAAAAAUAUACACGUCAGGGAUCUCGUGUAUUGGCUCUCGCUUUUAAAUCUCUUCCAGAGAUGUCAGUAAGUGUUUUUGUUUCAGCAGUAUUUUCCUACUCUUAGAUCUCAAUCUUGCCCUGUUCCAGCCUUUUUUAAAUGGUUGUAUUAGGCGUAUGUACCUGUGUCUUGUGAGUGCCUAGAAUUUGGUCAAACCUCAUUUACAUCUUCCUAGAGUUCGAUAUAAAUGUGUCAUAUAGUUUUGAGGUCAUGUUUUAUAUUCCACUAGCUUAGUCUGAAGGUUUCAAAUUCUAAGAUAAUCAUAUAGAAUCAAUAUUGGAGAAUGGAGGUGUUAUCUUGGCAAGUUUUCUGUCAUCUCCUGAUACGUAAAACAUUUUAUCUGAGGCAAAAUAUUUUUACGGUUCCUUUUCCUGGGUAUACAAUUAGAGUAUGUAAUAAGGAAUCAUACUGGGGACCUGAACCUUGCAUCGAUGUCAAAGUUUUUGUUGUUGGGAAAUUUCUGAAUGUCUAAUUAAUUAGUCAGUGUUAUUUUCCCAUGCCAAGGAUGGCGGCCAUUUGAAAGAAAGUCCAUCAUCCGUCUCAAUCACAUUAUAUGCUUCAAUGUGCUCUAGUUCAUUAACAUUUUUCCCUUGUUCUCCCUCUCUCUCUCUCUCUCUCUCUCUCUCUCUCUCUCUGUGAAAUGCACACCUUUGCCCUUGCCCUUUUUUAAAGACAUAAGACGUGUAUCUUUUAUUCAUGUUUUUGUGGUGCAAUUUUCUUUUCCAUUGCUCUUUCAUUUCAAGUUUCUGCUUAUAAGUCAUCUUUAUGAUUUACAUCAUUGAAGGUUAGUGAAGUGAGAAGCUUGGACAGAGAUGUGGUGGAAAGUGGACUUAACUUUGCUGGCUUUGCGGUAUUUAUUCUAUAGCUUGCAUCUGAUUUCUUCUGAUGUUGCACUUUCUCUCUUGUAGCCUCUGAUUUUAGAUUUAUUGCAUGGACCAUCUGUUGUGAAGUGGGUUUUGAAUCUCUUUCUGUAUUAUUCAGGUUUUCAACUGUCCUAUCAGAGGAGAUUCGGCCACUGUGUUGUCUGAAUUGAAAGGAUCAUCACAUGAUCUGGUGAGUAAUUGUAAAUUCUUUAGACAAAUGGAACCAUUUUUUUUUGUCAAGAUAUCAUGAUGAGAAUCAAUAGCAAUUGUUAAGAAGAUGUUAGUCAUUAGUAUGUAGCCUAUGAUGGUUUUUUGGGUUAUUUGCAGCAUGGCAAAUUUUAUUCUUAUUUUCAUGUACAGAUAAAUGGCAUUUAAAGGAUGCAAAAUGUUAAAAUUUUUCAUUGUAUUUUUAUGUUAGGUCAUGAUUACAGGUGAUCAAGCUUUGACAGCUUGCCAUGUUGCUAGUCAAGUUCAUAUUGUUACAAAACCUGCCCUAAUUCUCAGCCGAGCUAAGAGUGGUGAAGGAUACGAGUGGGUUUCACCUGAUGAGACUGAGGUUAUUAGCUACAGGUGCAAACAUGAAUAGCUUUUUACUUGGCAUAAGCAGGCAAUGUAGUUAUUCUUUGCCUUUGUCCUUUUUUUCCCUUCAUUUUUAUUUGCUGUUUGUUAAUUUCCACAAAUAUGUGGAAAUGUUAACGUUGAGCUCUGUUUGACCAUGUAUGUCUUGACUUUUGGUACAUCCUUUAUCUUUGAAGAGAUAUUCUUUUAUUUGUCUUGUAAAAGGUGGAUAUCCACCUUUGGUGUCUGGUUUCUCCUCUCUCUUCUUUGCUUUGUAAAUUUCAGAUAAGUUUUGACUCUUACUUUGGUCACAGGGACAAUGAGGUUGAAGCUUUAUCAGAAACGCAUGAUUUAUGUGUUGGAGGUGACUGUGUGGAAAUGUUACAGCAGAGUUCUGCUGUUCAUAAAGUCAUUCCAUAUGUGAAGGUUGUGAUAGAUACAUUUGUGAAACAUAUCUCAAUGUUGCAUGGUCUCCUCUUCUGACAUAGUAUCUCUAAUUUGCCAGGUAUUUGCAAGGGUAGCUCCAGAGCAGAAGGAACUGAUUUUGACCACUUUUAAAUCGGUAGGAAGGGUAACAUUGAUGUGUGGUGAUGGGACAAAUGAUGUUGGCGCAUUAAAACAGGUGCCACAUUACUGUGAGCUGUUUAUUCGAUCUGUUGAGAUUUUAGUUGUCUAUUGCUUGUAAAUUAUUUCUUUAGUCUUGUUAAGUCACUAAACUGCCUUCCAAGUUUGUUCAGUCCUUCUCUACAGUUUUUGAAGUUAAACUCAUUUCUUGUGUCAAUAACUUUUCAUUAACAUUCAUUGAGUUUGUUUGGAUAGGAGUUUAUUUGGAUGAUUUAUUUAAGAUAAUUACUGUAACACUUUUUGUGAUGUGAUGUAUGUGAGAUAAAAAGGUGAUUGGGAAGAUAAAAAGGUGAUUGGAAUUUGUGAAGUAAAUUUUUUUAUUUCAAAUCUUCCUAAUCCAAACACACCCAAUAUUUUCUUGCAAAUUCAUGGUUGAUUGCAUCCCUUUCAUAAUCUUGCAACAAUGACCUUGAAACUGUAAAAAAAUUUUGAUGUACAAUUAAAAGUUAAUACAUUCUGAUGUUUUUGUCAGGGUUGGGAUGGGAGAGUUUUUUUUUUCCUCUCUUUUUGAUUGUGGAAAGAAAUUUUAAGGCUUUUAAACUUAUCUCCCCAAUAAAUUUUUAAGGAAUUUAUUUUAUCUAACAUUCUCGUCUCUUUCCUGCUGAAAUUCCUACUAGAUAUGCCUCAUAAUAUUUGGCCUGCUACCUUUUUAAUGUGUUGCAUUAUUCGCAAUUUGCAUUUAUGACAAUGCUAUCAGGAAAUGAAGUUCCUGAUUUCCCCAAUUUCUACAACUAUACUAGGGGAUGACUUGACAUGAUAGAAUGUGAAAAUGAGAUAUGAAGAAUAUAUUAAUGCAAUCUCUUCUAUAGCCACGUUGAUGCUUUUUUAAUGGCUCAGGUGGUCACUACCUCUGGGAUUGAUAUUUUCUCCCCCCUUUUGUCCUGGUCAAAAGUGCUUUCUGAAUAACUGCCAAUGCUGCCUUUUUAAGCCAGAUUUUAUGACCCAAUUUAUUUUCCUUAUUCUAUGCUUGAAACAAGAUUAGUGUUCAUGUUGGUCGAAAUGUUCAUCAGGGUUUAUGUAUUUAUAUGGUAAAAGGUGGUUUAAAAAUGUUUGAGCUUUUCCUGAUGUCACCGUCUUUUGCAUAAUAUUCUAGUGGAAGACUUAUUUGGAUAAGAAAAAUAUGUCUGUCCAAGCAUUUCUAUGGCCAGUUUGGUGCUUUCUUAGGGGCUUAGGUCACCAAUUCUGCUGUGUAUAUUUUUCAAGAUUUUUUUUCUAACUUCCAUGAUUGCAGGUUAAAAUUCAGAUUUAGGAAUUUUACAUUAUCCUCAUUCUUUGCUUGCAUUAUAGUGACGUCAAGUUUGUCCAAGUUUUCAUCAGAACUUGUUUAUAACUUACUAAGGUUACAGGUGGUUUGAAAACUAUUUCUUCCUUGGAGAUUAUUGGUUUCUAUUCAGGCUUUUCCUUUUUUUUCAGAUCUUUAGCUUCUUUAACUUAGAAAUGCAGACUGUAUGGUACUAUUUUUUUAAUUAAUUUAUUUAUUUUUUAAGGCUCAUGUUGGAGUAGCUCUACUGAAUGCAAUAGCCCCCACUCAAAGUGAAAAGUCUUCAAAUGAAGCAUCAGCAAAAGGUGAAAGUGCAAAACCUGCUAAAGCAAGGAAAAUUAAACCUGCAGUGGAAAAUGGAGAAGGAUCUUCGAAAAGCAAACCUAUCUCAAAGUCUGAAUCUUCUAGUAAUCAAGCUGUUAAUCGCCAUCUCACAGCUGCAGAGAUGCAAAAGCAGAAGCUGAAGAAACUCAUGGAUGAGCUAAAUGAAGACAGUGAUGGUCGAUCUGCUCCUAUCGUCAAGCUUGGGGAUGCUUCAAUGGCAUCGCCAUUUACAGCAAAACAUGCUUCAGUUGCCCCCACAACUGACAUAAUUCGUCAAGGCCGUAGUACACUUGUGACUACCCUCCAAAUGUUCAAGAUACUUGGACUUAACUGCCUUGCCACCGCCUAUGUGUUGAGCGUAAUGUACCUGGAUGGUGUCAAGUUGGGGGAUGUUCAGGCAACAAUUAGUGGGGUUUUCACAGCUGCAUUCUUCCUAUUUAUCUCUCAUGCUCGUCCCCUUCCAACCCUUUCAGCUGAACGGCCUCAUCCCAAUAUUUUCUGUGCCUAUGUCUUUCUUUCCCUGAUGGGACAGUUUGUGAUCCACCUCUUUUUCUUGAUGUCUUCUGUGAAAGAGGCUGAGAAGUACAUGCCAGAUGAGUGUAUUGAGCCAGACUCAGAUUUUCACCCUAAUCUUGUGAAUACAGUUUCAUACAUGGUCAGCAUGAUGCUACAGGUUGCUACAUUCGCUGUGAACUAUAUGGGCCAUCCAUUCAACCAGAGUAUACCAGAAAACAAGCCUUUCCGAUAUGCACUAGUGGCUGCUGUAGGCUUUUUCACAGUGAUUACCUCUGACUUGUUUAGGAACUUGAAUGACUGGCUCAAGUUGGUCCCCUUGCCCACAGGAUUGAGGAAUAAGUUGCUGAUAUGGGCAGCUCUCAUGUUUUUAGUCUGCUAUAGCUGGGAAAGGCUAUUGAGGUGGGCAUUCCCUGGUAAGAUGCCUUCUUGGAAAAGGCGACAAAGGCAAGUUGCAGCAAACCUUGAGAAAAAGAAACGCGUCUGAGUUUGCAGGGCAUCUAUAAGUCUGCAGAAUUUUCAUCAGGAGUUUGAGCAUCUACAGGCAAGCAUUCUUAGGAGCUAUUUUGACUAGUGGAAAGCAAUGCCACCGUUCAGCUUUGGAGAAAUUUCAAGUAAUGUAUCAUUUAUACCCAUAUGUGCCUUACCCUGUGCUGUGCGGAAGAUUUUUGAUGGUUUUUCUUUCCAUACUCUUUAAUAGGUAUCAGAAGAACGAGGUAGGAAACUAUUCCUUCAUUUUUAUGUUUAGAAGGAAAACGAAUCUCCAUUAUUAUCCAAAGAAUUUUGUACUCAUUGACCAAGAUGCCGUAUAUUGUUUGGUUAUCUGAAACUACUACUUUACAAAAACCUCAAAGGGGGUUAUAGCGUAUGCAGAUGAUCCAACCUUUCCGAACUUGUUUCAACUGAAGGUUGUCUCGUUUAUAUUGGAAGACAAGUUCGUCCUUGCGCAGGCACUUGUAUCCUUUUUUUAUUUUUAAUUUAUUUCAGGGUUUCAUUGCUUUCAAUGGAAAAUGUGAUAAAUUGUCCGUCCUUGUACGUGUAACAUUUCAUAAUUUAAUUCAGGGCAAAAUCAUGAUUUAUUAUCGAGGGAAAAUGACAAAUUGUUCUCUGACCCAAUGUUUUCAGAACCGGACCGGACCGGACGGUUCAAUCGGUUGGAUCGCGAACCGGACAGGCCACCGGUCCGGUCUAGAGCUAAAGCCGGAGAGUAAUGAAAAAUCGCUAGAAACCGGAUGACCCGGACGAACCGUGAAAAAUCGCUUAGACUGGGAGUCGGCGAUUUUUGAAACUUUUCGAAAAUAAUGUCCAAAUUGAGACCAACAAGAAUCAAACACCAAACCUUGCGAAUACAACAAAGAGUCAUUACCAUUUAACCACAACCAGCGGAUGAAAUUUUUUUGUGUAGAUAUCUACUUAACUUGAAGUGAAAAAUUAAAAAUACCCCAACCUAAACCCAUAACUCAUAAGACACAUCAGACUUAUUUCUUUUUAAUGUUCAACUUUCUCUCUCUCUCCUCUUUUCUUUUGUCACUCCCUUUUUAAUCAAAACUCUUUAGUUUUAAUUUAUUGAUAUUUUCUUCCAUCUUUUAAUUUUUUUUGUCCAUUAAAUUGAAAAAAUUAAAAAAGAAUUAUUUUCUUUAACCCUAAAAACUAAUUAUUAAAUGCCACAAUCAUUCACUUUUAUCUCAUUUUUUGUUUCUUAUCAAGUUUGCAUUUCUAUUUUCGAUUCUCUUAACUUCCUUCAAACUCCAAAUUUCUUUUUUUUUUAAUUGCAAUCUCUAAAUCUCAAAAACAUAAAUUAAAAUUUAAACUCACAAUAUCUAAAUUCUCAUAGACGUGAAUUUUGUAUAAUUUCAAAAUAUUGUGGUAGUUUUGGGUUGGAUUUAAGAUUAUUUUUUGGUAGAUAUAAUUGAAAUUGAGAUGAAAUUUAUUUGUUUCAACUUAUAAUUUAAAAAAUUUAUUUCUGAAAAUCCAAGUUAUUCAAAAAUAGUAAACUUUUCAUCAUAUAAAGUUUUAAAUUAGCCCAAUACAUGUCUUAUUUUGUGCAUAUAUAUAUUUAUAUAAAUUAUUUUUAAAAAAAUUCAUUGAACCGAUCUGACCGAUUGAACCUUAACCCGAACAUUUCACCGAUUCAAUUAACGGUCCGAAUUUUAAAACAUUGCUCUGACCUUAUAACCUCUAGCUUAAGUUGUUGUUGGGAUAGAUUGGUCCCUCCACUUUAAUUUUGAGACACUCUGUCAUUUCUCAAAGUUUUGUUAGUGAGCUAACUGGGUACUAAAUUUGGAGGAUCCAAAUUAGUCCAAUGAUAGUAGUUUUCAGACGGUAUUGUUCCAAAUUAAAUUCCAAGGACCAGAAGUGUUCACAAAAUGUUUGUUCUGUUCAUAGUGCCUAUUUUUUGGCCUAUUUUAGAAAUACAAAAUUCAUCGAAAAUGAUGGCUUGUUUGGCACUUGAGAUUUUUGAAAGUUUAUCUAAAAUUUUACUGUAGAAAUUAAAAAACUUUUGUAAGAUGAAAAUUUUUUUUUCCUUUUCAUUUUCUUUCGUUCUUUUUCUUUUUUUUUUUUUUCUUUCUUUUUUCUUUUCUUUCCUCCCUUCCCGCUUCUUCUCCCUUCCCCUCCCCUGUUCCCUCUCCCGAAGCUGCCAAUGAAGCAGCAAAAGAAAACUUGCGUUUUUUCUCUCCCCAUCUCCUGUCCGCCACCCCUCUUCUCCCCUUCCCCCUCCCCCUUCCCUUGACCUUCGCUGCUUCACCUGCAGGCACCUGAGUUUUGCAGGAACAGAAACUUUUUUUUUUUUCCCAAUUUUCCCUCUCCCUCUCCUCCCCUUUCCUCUCCUCUUGCCGGCAGAUGAAGCAGCAACAGAAUUUUAUUUUAUUUUUUUGCAAUUUUCCCUCUACCCCUCUCCUCCCCUUCCCCCGCCACCUUGUUGUACCACACUCUCAUCUUCAAUGGGGUUUGUUCUUUAUUUUGGGAGAGUAUGCCAAUAUGAUCUUAAUGAGGUGCGAGGCUUUGCAUCUGACAUUCGUUGGGCUUCCGUCUUCGGGAGCCUGCGUCCCGGCCUUUUUGUGAAAUAAACCCCUCCAGCCGAAAACUAGUGGUAGGUGGUCCCACGGAGCUUUCGGAAAAGGGUAGCCUAGGCCCUAGUGUGUAAGCACAGCAAUGAACCGUGGCGAACCCUCAGACGACCUAUCUAAGACUGGGGAGGAGAUCCUCGGUAGUGGGUGAAGCAGCAACAGAAUUUUUUUUUUUUUUGCAAUUUUCCCUCUCCCCCUCUCCUCCCCUUCCCCGGCCACCCUCACCCUCCCCCGGUGCGAUCUGGUCUCGAUACCAGAUCGGCCAAAAGAGAAGGGGAAGAGUGGUGGGGGAGGAGUGGGGGAGAGGGGAAGGGAGAAAAAAAAAAAAAGGGGAGGAUCAAAAUUGGCCCAAGGGGGAGGAUGGCGAGGGAGGAAGAGGGGGAGAGGGAGAAAGGGAAAAAAAAAAGAAAAAAGAAGAUCGGCACCGGAAGAGGUGAUCGGCGCCGGAACUGCUGGUGAUCGGCGAUGGAGGUGGUGGUGGGUUGGGGUGGGAGAGGAAGAAGAAGAAAAGGGGAAGGGGAUUUUUUUUUUUUAUGUUUUGGGUAUUUUGAAGUGUGUAGGUAAGUUUUUUAGGUUAUGUAGUUAAGAGAAAAUUUUUUGUGUAUUAGAUAUUUUGGAGUGCGUAGGUUAAAAAAUUUGAUAAGUUUUUUUGGAAUUUUUGUAGCAAAAGUUGUUAAAAAAUUAGUAACAAACAAAUUUGUCCAAAAACUUGGGUUCCAAUAUAUUAACCCUCCCACUCUAAAAUACUCGCAAGUUUUAGAAAGAAAACGAAAAAAAAAAAAAAGUUUGAGUAUCGUGGUGGGCGACGCCGACAAGAGAGGGGGUAGGGAGUGUUUUGGGAAAUUCUAAAAGAUAUUUUAAACAAACAUAUAAUGUUUUUCUAAAAUAAUUAUAAUAAGUUACAAAAAAAAGUUUCAAACAAUACUCAAAAGAAUAUACACUAUCUAAGUGGAUCCUCAAUUUGCAACGUGUGCAUGGUCCACUUUCGAAUUAUUUAUUGACAUGUUUGUGUUCAAUUUUGCUAGAGCCACUGAAUUGUAAGGCCAUAUUACAAGUAAUAAUGUAGUAAACAAAUGGUGGAUAUAAAUAAAUUUAAAACUUGUGGUUUAUUAAUUAUUUUUCUUUAAAUUUAUCAAUUUAGUAUUGGUGUCAAGUUUUAUUAUGUAAAGAUAAUUUAAGUGUUUGAUCUGGUUAGAGAAAGAAACAAUUUUGUCACUAUUAUUUUUUGCUGCUUAGUAACUUGUUGCUUCAAUGGAUUAUCAUUCUACUUACAUAUCUAGGCAAAUUCACAAAAUUAUACUUAGGAACAGAUUUUUGUUCAACCAUAAAACUCAAAUAUGGCCCAUGAGAAUAAAUGAGCCUUAAGAUACAUGUUAACCAUGUCAAUCAAGAUUAUGCUUUUUAAGUUAAAUGUGCAUGUAUUCAACAGUAUUAGGCGAACUAAUGUUAUUUAACCUUAUGAUUCCAUAAUCUGAUCCUAUUUUCGUCAAACGAUCAUCCAGAUCUUACAAACCAUAGUCCAUCUAUACUAAAACUUGACCAAAACGAAAAAAAAAAAGGAAAAUUUUGAAAAAGAGUAAUAGAAAAAGAUUUGGAAUUCAUAAGUAGGGUGUAACCUUUUGGUAGAUUUGUGAAUAGCACACCGGUUAACUAUUCAUAAAUUACAGAAAAAAAAUUUAUUUUGUAGGCAAUUCAUGAAAUUACCCUUAGCGUACACAUUAGCACUCGCAUGCGCACGUAACUUGAUUUAGAUAUUCACAUUUGAAUGUAUACUAUGUAUUUAGCAAAAUGCAUAUUUUUUAUUAAUUAAAGUGCGCAUUACUAUUCAAUGAAGUAAAAGUCGGCAGACUCGGCACCAAGAUAAUGUGGUCAUUUUGCGAGAAAUUUAUUACCUAUUUAGAUCUAUAAAUAGUAACCCAAUUAUAAAUUUUUCAAAAAUUAUGCUCUACUUAUGAAUUUCAAUUUUUCCUACUACCUAUUUUCCAAAUUUUUCAAAAAAAAAAAUAACCAUUUGCUAUAUCACUUCUACAAUGUGAUCUGUAUGGAACAAAAAAAAAGAGACAAUUGAAAACGUCGCUAUUCUGUGUUUAAAGAAUUUCAAAAAGAAAAUUUCCAAAUAAGUUCCUUUCCAAGCGGAGCCAUUAAUAUUUCUAAACCCAAUUGAUUGAUUCCAUCCUUUUUCCUUAGAAUUUUUUAUUUAUUUUUAAUUAGAUAAAAUUACAUUUAAUAUUUGGAUUACAUAUUUACCAUGUUGCAGCUAUCAAUUAGCAGCAUUUCCUAAAAUCUAUUAAUUAACAAUAGGGCUAAUUGUAGUUUGCUCCCUCGCACUUGUAAUAUCUUGCACUCUGAACUUUCAAAUUUAUCUCAUUUAACUCCAAUUAAUAAUAACAUUGGCAAAGUGGCGUAGGCGGGACCUUUGUUAAUGUUCAUGCAUCAAUUGGGCCAAUGAGUACUGAAAUUACUUUUUUAUCCUUGGAAUGGAGGUAAUCUACAGGAGAAGAGAAGACGGAAAUUGUAAGGUUAUGCACUGAAAUAAUGUGAUAUAAAUUAGUGACGGAUUUGCUCGUUGUUGUGCUGGAAAAUGGCCAGUCGUAGUGUGAAGAGGUAUUCUGCUCCUCGGGACUCCUAUGAGGCACAUAGUCCGAAGAUGGAGGCUGUUUAAUAGUACAGUACAGAUGGGCAUUGUGAAUGAGGUCUUCGACCCAGACGAUGUGAUACCGUCUGGCACGAUUACAUGAAGCUAUCGGAAUUGGACUAGGGACCUGGUCAUAGAUAUGGCAACAAGUGCAAAGUGGCCUCCAUAAAAUGUCGUGGCUGCUGGGCAAGUCUCCAGCAAUGGGAUGGUUUUCUUGAGUUAUCUUCAGAAACUGAGUGAAAAACUUGCAAUUGCUUCUGAUCUUGUGUAUUAACUUUUUGUCUAGAGAUGUCGUAGCGAGUGUUGGAUAUUGUUUCAAAGGUCUGCAGCAUGGAGUUCGAGGGAAGAUUGAUUCGAAUGGGAAAGUUUCCAGUUUUUUUCCAAGAAAGAUUCUAAGUUUGUUCUUUCAGCAGAGAUUGAUCAUCCCAGAAAAGAUCAACUGAAGUUUGGGUUUGGGAUGAGUUGCUGAUCAGCCACAGCUUUCCUGGUUUCAAAGAGGAUGUCCUCUCACAGGUCUCACUUAUACGGUACAAUUAUAAAAUAUUAAAGCCUAAAAUUUGGGUAUUUGUACGUUUUGCCUUCACUGAAGCAAAUUAAUUGGUAUACAGUAGUAUGUUUCAAACCAAGAAAUUCACUCAAUUCUGUUUAACAUUCUCUGCCGUGAAAAGCUAUUUAACAUGAAAUACUCCUUAGAAAUCUCGCGCAGUAUUCUUGAAUUGUCACCCACUCUAAUUGAGCAAAAUUUUCUGCUAGCUACAAUUAGAGGUCGCAAAUCAACCCACUUAAUUAAAUUUACCCAUACCCGCCCAUGAAUAGAUGGGUAUGGGUAUCUUAAAUUUUUGUAUAUGGGUAUAAAUGGGUAUUAUUGGGUAACCCAUCAAACCCAAUUAACCCAUUUAGAAUUCUCUUCCCCUAAAUCUCUUCUUUUUCCCCACCCAUUUUUUUUUCAAAUUUUUCAUUUUGUCAUGAUGUUAACUACUUUUGUUUCAUUAUUAUUAUUAUUUGUUGGUUUUAUUUUAUUAUUUUACUUUCUCUUUGUUUGUUAACUUGCUCAUUUUUCGGCAUUACCAAUUUAUGAUAAAUUUGAACCUCUUUUCUUAUCUUUCUAAAAUGAAAUUUUAAAUUUAUAUAUGAAAAAAAUGUUAGGGGUUCAAAAUUUUUGGAUUAAAUUUUUAUAUUAACUUUUAUAGUACUUAAUUCAAAAUUUUAUAUUCUUAUUAUUCAAUUAUUAAAUAAUAUGUAAUUUUGUGAAAUAGAGUAUAAAUGAAAAAAAAUUGGUAAUUAGGCUUAUUGAACAUUAUAAGUAAAUAUUUAAAACUAAAGAUGGAUACAAAGAGCAGUAUAAAUUGAUAACUUAGUUUGCAAAAAUGAAUUUAAAUGAAUUUACAACAAAUUAAAAUAAAUGGGUUAUAAAUGGGUAAUUGGGUUACCCAAUUCAUUUUUUGACUUACCCAUUUAUACCCAUCUAAUUAAAUAGGUAUAAAUGGGUUGACUCACUUAUACCCAUUACCCAUUUUACCCAAUCCAAAUCCGCCCAAUCACCCAUUUUGACACCUCUAGCUACAAUGUUGCUCUUUCGUUGAUUCAGCAGUAAAGGCUUACAUUGGGAAAUUCCAUUCGAAUAUAUACACAUCUAAAUCACUAUCAAGCACAGCAGAUCUACAAAAAUUUGCCAGCUCAGAACUCUAUAAAUCAAUAGUAAGUUUCCAAUUCUCUCUGCUACAAUUCGCUGUAGUCAGCUGCUGCAAUUGCACUGAAGAAAUCUUUUCAUAAUGUAGUGAAUCAGUUACCACAAUGGGUGGGCAAACUGCCUUUUCUCUUUUGCCUUUUGGAGAAGUAGAGCCAGAAGUCGCUAGAUAAGGCAAUGCCAUCACCAGAAAAGAAUAAAGAUGGUCAAAGCUUUGAGUUCUUCGGACGCUAAACUAGAGGAUAUGGCUUGUAAAAGCAUUUAAAUCUUGUCGGCGUGCAGUUUAAACUUGCCUCAAUAUUUCACUUUGUUAUAACACGAUCACCAAUAGUCCCCACAAGAACAUAAACCAUUUCUAAAAUGGUGAAAUCUUUUGGAAUCUCUUACCACAAUCUCCCGUUCAACAAUCUUCGAGAUUAAUCGUAUAGUUGUAUGACAAUCCAUACAAAUUCUAAGAUUCUUUAUCACCUGGAUUGUUGCACCGGGAACUGAGUUUAGAAUUCCAAAAGCUACAGCUAGCUUCUCACUGUGGACUUGUAAUGUCAUUCCCUUCUCUUCGUUCUCAACAUCAUGAAGAACUGAUGUUGUAUCUGCUACAUAGCCAGCUUCCUGCAGCUUCACAUAUAGUUCUUCCAAGUAUGCAUACGUCUUCUCAUGUUCAGGAUGUUCUCUGUCCCCAACUAGAAACACAUGAGCUCUACCUUUUAGUUCCACCAGACUGAAACCAGGUGGUUUAGCCAAUCCAUGACUUUGCAUAUAAAUUCUCAUCCUUUUCACAUCAUCCCACCUACCAGCUUCAGCAUAAAUGUUUGACAGCGAGACGUAAUACCCACAGUUGUUUGGGUCUAAUUCAAAUAGUUUCCUAGCUGCAAUCUCCCCAAGCUCCACAUUCUUAUGCAUCCUGCAUGCUGCGAGAAGAGAACCCCAAACAACAAAAUCAGGCAGAGUCUUCAUUUCCCUAAUCAAAUCAUAUGCCCUUGAAAGAAAACCAGCACGCCCCAGAAGAUCAACCAUGCAACUAUAGUGCUCCACUCCUGGAUCUAUGCAAAACCUGUCUUUCAUGGCUCUAAACCAAAACCAUCCUUCAUUUAGAAAGCCAGCAUGACUACAAGCAGCUAAUACCGACACGAAAGUUAUGUAGUUUGGUUUCACCCCCAUCUGAUUCAUCUCAUAGAAGACAUCGAGAGCUUCUCUGGCUUGUCCAUGCAUUCCAUAUCCAGCAAUCAUGGCAGUCCAUGACUUCACAUUCCUUUCUUUCAUUCGAUUGAAUGCUUUCCUUGCCAUUCCAACCCUCCCACACUUGCAAUACAUGUCAAUGACUGAGGUUCCCACAUAUAUAUUAUCCUCCAAUCUCAUCUUAAUAACCUGAUCAUGUAUGCACUUGCCCAGCUGGAGCGCUCCAGAAUGGGCACAAGCCAGCAACACCGUAGACAAAGUCAUAGCAUUAUGAUCAACAUCUGUGUCACUCACCAUCGAACGAAAUGCUUGGAUAGCCUCCGUUGAGAACCCAAGUUGUGCAUAAACUGCAAUUAGCGAAUUCCAAGAAACUACAUCUUUUUCCUCCAUUCCAUCAAACACCUUCCUAGAAAAUCCAACAUUUCCACACUUGGCAUAGGCAUCAAUCAAGGUAUUGCCAACACCCAACUCCCCUUCAAAACCCCGUUUUAUUGCCAACCCAUGAACACUUUCCGUAAUACUCUUAUGCGAAACACGAGAACACGCAGACAAAACCGAAACCAUGGAAACCGAAUCAAGAUAGCACACCUCCUUCUCCGCUUGGCUGCUCCACGUAACGCCACUCUCACCCGCCUCUUCAACCAGGAGCUCCUUAAAAAGCAAUAAUGCAUCAUGGGCACGCUCAUUUUGCACGUAUCCAGUUAUCAUUGAAGUCCAGGACACCACAUUUCUAUGGGGAAUUUCGUCGAACACCUUUCGCGCAUCAUCUAAGUCCCCGCAUUUGGCAUACAUGUCAACGAGCGCAGACGAAACAAAUAUGUCAGCAUUGUACCCAAAGAUCAACGCUUGUUGGUGGGCUUGUUUGCCUGAAGUAAGAUCGCAUAAAGCAGAACAAGAUUUGAUGGCACAUGGAAAAGUAGAACGAUUGGGCUUGAGGGAGAGUUUCCGCACGGAUAAGAAGGCUCGGAGGGCUUCAACGUAGUCGCCAUUCCGGGCCAACUCGGCGAUGAUGGAGUUCCAGGAAUAGACAUUUGUUCUGUCAACGUACUUGUUGAAUAAGGUGGUUGUGAGAUUCAAAUUGGUUGAAUAAAAUCUAACUGAAAUGGAACGCCAUUUUGAUAAAAACUUCAUUCAUUUGCUGCUUCUGUUUUUGUUCUUUUAUUUGGCGAGUUUGUGCCCGCUGGAGAAAUAAGCGACGUCAGACACAGGGGUUUAUGUUAAAAAAAAUUGUUUAAAACAUCCCCCACAUUUGGCCAAAUAAACUUUUUCGUUCUUCACUUUUAAAAUAGUACACUUACAUCUCUUACAAAAUCAAGUCGAUAAAAUUUGAUCGCAAUCUAAGUUUUUGAUCAUUUUUACCUUGAAUCCGUCACGUGACACACACAUGGUCAUUGUUUUAGGAGCAAAAAAGUUGGAUUUUAUUUGUAAUUAAACAAAUGACCUGAUUCAUAUUCACUAUUGCCUCUAAAAAAAUAGGAUCUGGCCUGAAUCAUAUUUAUUUUUCUCCUAAAAUUGUGAAAUUUGACAUAAUCUAUAUUUAUUUUUGUCACUAAAAAAGUGAGAUCUGACCUUUUUAUAUUUAAAAAAUAAUUAUAUGCAUGUCAAGUGGUGAUUUUAGGCUACAAAGUGGUUGAAAAUAUUGGUAGGGACCAAAUUUUAUUAAUUUGAAUUUAUAAGAAAUGUAAAAUUUAUAUUUUAAAAGCGAAGGAUGAAAAAAGUCAUUUGAUGAAAUGUAGGAACUUUUGAACGAAUGAAUCUAUUAUUUGUUUGUUAACGUGACAGGCACGGUGAAAUAUGGGAUUAGGUAUCGUACUUAUGGCCUUUGGUGCAAUUGGUGCAAAAACAACUUUUUAGCUUAAUCCAUUGAGUUAAAUCAGUGUAAUGAACAAAGUUCACACUUACUAUAAAAUUAUACGAGUGUAAACUAAAUUGUGUGAUAAAUAAAACUGUACUGCCGUACUUGAAAACCUUAAAUCUACAUGCCCAAGGCAGGAUCGUGGAUUAUUGCGGAAUAAGGUUCUUGUAACACACAUAACAUUUUAGUGUUACACAUAUAUUACACUAUAUUUUAGGUCAUGCAUGUCCUUUCACUUAGGUCACCUUUUUGGUGUUAUAUCUAUAUACAGUUAUACACCAUAUUUUAGGUCAAAUAUGCCUUUUCGUUUAAAAAUUGUUGGUACAAAUAUUUUUUAUGUUGUUGGCACAUAUGACCUUUCAUCACAUUUAAUGUGUCAUACUUUCAAAAAUAUUUGUCAUGUUAAGAAUGUCGAAUUAUCUUUUAACUUCUAUUGUAAUAUCGUCCUUGAAUUAAGUUCAUAUUACAUUCACAUCCAAAUUUUAGAUUUUGGGGUAUCAUAUUGGAAAGAAAAGAAAAACAUCAUAAUCAAAAUACUAUUUUUAAGAAGUUAACUUUCUGAGAAGUGACAACAAAACUAGAAUGGAGGAAAUAAAACUUUGCAUGGCAUGAAUAUAACACUCAACAAAGGUCAAAGGUUGAGGUUUAAGGCAUAGGAGGGAGCUAUCAUGAAGAAGUUUUGGUCAUGGAUCAAGAACAAUAACUAAAUUCUAUGAAAUUUGAAAUUCAUAGUCGUUGAUUGUUAAGUGGUUGGCUGUGUCGCGCUCCAUUUUUUGUAACAAAAAGCUAUUUUAAAAAAAUGUGUUUUUCAUUUAAAAAAUAAGUGAAAAAAGACCUAAAUUGAGACUUUAAAAAAUUGAACUCAAAAUUUAGUCUAAAAAGGGUUUUUAAGAAAAUAGGAGUUGCCAUUUGAUAUUAAAUUUAGGUGUACCAAAUCACCUAAAAAUAUUUUUUUACUAAAAAUAAAAUGAAAUAAAACCCUUUAUGACAACUCUAGAUAUCAUAAAACAAGAGAAGAUAAGUUCGGGAGUCACGAUUGAAAAAAGAGAAGGCAAAUGUUCGAUCAACUCAAACUUAAGGCGUAUUUUCAACCUAAUCUAAGUUAGUUACGAGGUUUAGUAAAAAUUUUCAUAAUCUAAUUUUUAAACUUAUCACAUUUAGAUGUUUCCUAUAUGGCUACAAAACUAAAUUUAAAGAAAAUAUAGAAAAGAGUCAAAAUGCCCAUUUAAUGACUAAUGGGUACCAAUCGUAUUAAUUGUGAAGUCUCAAAACAAUUUCUUGAAAAGGUCACUGGUAUACAAAAAUGAGACUCAAAAAAAGAAAAUUAAAUUUUAUAUAUAUGGGUAUCAGUGGCAAAAAAAAAAGAAAAGAAAUGCAACAUAAUGAGUACGAGAGACAAAAACUCGUGACACUAUUUUUUUUCUUAUAAAAGGGGUUAAUAGGGUAUUUAAGUUAAAAAACUAUAAUCACCCAUUUCCCAUAUUUGAAAAGUAACUCUUAUAAUAUAAGCAAGCAAAUGAAUUAACUUAUUUUUCUAAUUUUCUAAAUGAAAUGCGAAUCUAAAUUAUAUGACUCAUACAUAUUGGAAUAAAGGGAUAAUAUAAGAGAAAAUAUCAUACAAAUAAGAAAAGCUGCCUAAAAUAGGGAAAAUGCAAUGAAUGACAUACAAAAAAUGAAUUUAAUGCGUAGAUAACCUAAGAAUCUAGCGUUGGACUAGCCAAUUUUUAGAAAUUCUCACUAGCAUUGGACUAACAAUGAGGUGAGUAAGAGCCACAACUAGCGUUGGACUUAGAGGUAACAAAUUUCGACACGACCUGAAAAUAUGAUAGGAACCUAACACGAAAUUAAUGAUUGGGGUUGAAGUUUUGCAGGUUCGGAUUAGAAUCGGGUCGAAUCCAAAAUAAAAUGUCGAAUUCAAAUCGCCUACGGGUUGACCCGAUAACCCGUUUAUAAAUUAAAAAUAAUUUAAUAAAUAUAAAAUAUUUUAUCUAACUAAACUAAGUUAUUCUUUUUUCCCCAAAGGCAUUAACUACAUAAUCCUAAAUGAAUUUUUUAACUUGUGUGAAGUUGGAAUUAUUAUGUUUGGACAAAUGACAUAUUACAUUAUUUUCUAUUUUUAUAGUAUCUUAAUUUGUUUUAGAUCUGGUUUGGGAUAAAAUACUUUUACAAUGUUUUAAUUUAUUACAGGUUUGAUUUGGAAUUGUUUUAUUGAAAUUUUUAUUACUUGAUUAUGUAAUUAGCCUUGUGCGAAAUUGGUUCUAUUAGAAAUUACAGUGGUAAAUUAGUAAAUUAAAAUUAUGUUUCAGGUCAUUCGAGUUGACCCGCCAACCCGAAAUUUUUAGGUUGGCGGGUCAGGUAUCUUGACACGUUUCAGGUUGGCGGGUCGUGUUCGGGUCAGCAUGCUAUCUGUUAUACCUGAGUCUCAACAUGACUCGCUCAUCCGUUUCUGACCCGAUUACCACCCCUAGUUGGACUAGUGUUGUGACAUUAUGCGUUCAUAAUAUAUAAUAAAACAAAUAAAGUAUGAAUUAAAGCAAGUAACCACAUAAGAACACAUAAAAUACAUAACAUAUAAGUAUAAUAUCUAGAUGCAAAAUCCUAAAAAAAGCAAGUAAAAUACAUAAGCAUGUAAGACCAUAGUUAUUAAACCCGGCCCGGAGAGGAAUCCUGUGAAAGAGGUGGGUCAUCGGGUUACUGGUUCAACCAGUGGGUGAGUGGUCCAACCGGUGGGUCACUACAUAUAUUUAAAUAUUAUGUUUUAUAAUUUUUGAUAUGGUUAAAACUCUAUAAUAAACUAUGUUAUAGUAAAUACUCAGUUAGUCCAAUUUAUUAUAGAAUCAUUAAUUCUUAUAAGAAUUAAUAAAACCUAAAUUUAAUUAGUAAUCCGCCAAACUUCAAGUAUAAAAUUUUAUCUAAAUGUAAUUAUCUAGUUUAUUUUUGAAUUUUAAGCACAAAAGGUUAUUAAGAAUAAUAUUUGUUUUUAAAAUGAAUUGUGUAAUAUGUUAUUUUUUAAAUCCAUUUCAUAAUUUAUAAAAUUUAGAGAAUAAUAAAAUUUUAUUAAAAGAUUCCAAACAAAUAUUGUUUUGAAGAAAUAAAAUAAGAAUAAAAAUCUAAUAUAUAAUAUAGAAGGAGUGAAUAAGCACCAAGUGAGUUGCUAGGCUAGUGGUGAGUGCGCGUAGCUUUUAUGCUUGAAGUCUGAGGUUUGAAUCAGUAUUAGAGCAUUUUCUAAUCAUUGUUAUCGCAAAAUCGAGUUCCUUACAAACCUCCGGUUCAACCGAGUUGACCGGUUGAACCUCCGGUCGGUUGAAAAGUCAAUGGGUUUGGUGCACAAACAAUCCAAUUACAAACCCAGUCCGGUUUCAUGGCCGGUUCACCGGGUUGACCGGUUGAACCGUGGGGCCAAGCUGGGUUUAAUAACUAUGUGUAAGACACAUAAUACACAAAACCUAUCUAUUACAAUGGUGGAUCUAAAAUGGGAAAAUAUAAUAAAGUAAAGCUAUCUAUCCUAUCUGUUACAUUUAGGACCUAACUAUAAUCUAAAAUAGGGAAAUAUGACAAAACGAAUCUAUGUAUCCUAUCUAUUGUAUUGGUCUAUCUAAUUACAACUUUUAUAAAAAUAUUACCUAUCUACUAUAUCUUGAGGUCUUUAAAUACCCUCCAAAUGAUUACAGAAUUUAGAUUAAACACACAUAAAAUUGAAUAGAAAUUUAAAAUAAAUAAAUAAAAGAAAACAUGUAAAUACAUGUAAACACAUAAGAGCACCUAAAAUCACGUAAUUAAAAUUCAAAGGAUAGUAGGAGUACCUCCAUUUCGAAGUGGUGACUAAAUCAGGUAAGGUUGCCCUCAAUGAAUGUGGUAGCCUUAACCGUUUAUUGCUUGCUUUCUUUUUGUACUUGACUUGAGGGAGUCGAGAGAGAGGAGUUGGAGUUGUUUUUAUUUUUUGUUGUGUGUAUGAGUGUUUGUGUGCAUGGGUGUGUCCGAGAGGGAGAAGGAGAGGGAGUGAUUAAUGUGUUUUUAAUAAAUUGAAAGGGGGGAUUGAGAGAGAGCUGAGAGAGAGGAGAGAUUUUGUGUUAGUGUGGAGUUGUGUUGUGAGUUGAGGGGAGAAGAAGAGAGGGAGCCAAGAGUUGUUUGUGUGUGCAAGUGUUAAGUGUAAGUGUGUUGUGUGAAUUUUGGAGGAAAUUUUUGAGAAAGAGGGAGAGAGAGAUGACCGAGAGAGGAAUUGGAGUUGUUAUGGAGUGGAUGUAUUUGGUUGUGUCUUGUAAAAUUGAGAUAGAGUUGAGGGAAAAAAAGAAUUGGUGGAGUUGUUGAAGUGAUGAUGGAAUUUGUGCAAGAUAAUGAAAAAGAGGGAUGGAAGGUGGAGUGUUUUUUUAUUAGAGAGUAUAAAAUUUGUUAUGAUUUAUUUUUUUUCUUUUUUUUUUUCUCUCUCUUUUUUUUUUUAUAAAUUCCUCAAAAAAUAAGAAAAACGAGAAAACUCUCAUUAGCAUAUAUGAAAAUGAAUAAUCAAUAAGCAAAUAAAUAUCUUAGAAAAAAAUUAAGGAGCAACAACAAAAUUAAAAAUUUGGUGUCUACAGGCUGUGCACUCGUAUAUUCAAACCUAUUUUGAGAAAUAUAAUUUAUUCUAAAUUCAAAAUAGAAGAAGCUCUUUUAUAACUGUUAAACGGACAUAUGUAUAAGAAAGUUCUGUUUUUUUGUAUAUAUAUUUUUUAAAAAAUAGUGAAUCCAUUUGAUAUGGAGUAGCAUAAUUUGGAAACAUUUUAGGAGUUUUUAUUGAAAAUAUUUUCUUAUUAUUUUUCUAUUUUUACAAUAGCCUUUUUAUCAUAUAUAAAUCACAUUAUAAAAAUACUUUUAAUAAAUAUUAGUUUUCACUUGUUAAACAAUCCAAAAUACUAUGAGUGAAAAUGUGCAAAGUUGUAACACAAAUAAAGGUUAGUUUGGAAGGUGUUUUUUCGGAUGUUUGUAUAAAACUAUACUAUACCUUACUAUAAUAUUCGUAGAAAAUUUUUUGUGUAUUUAAGAAUUGAAAAAAUAAUUUUUCUUUUUCUGAUCCUUUUCUUUUUUCCGCUUUUCUUCCUCCCUCCAUACUGCAACAACCCCACUCUCCUCACUGGCACCAGCAACUCUUUUUUUUUUCUUUUACCUUUUUUUUCUUUCCUCCCUCCCUCUCUUUCUCCCUACUCCUCCCUCUUUCCUCCUCCUUCCUCCUCUCCUUGUCCCCUCCUUUUCCUCGUGACCUUCCCUUCACCUCCCUCUCUCUUUCUAGUCACACAACCAAAGCUGGCCAUGGCUCUGGUUGCGCGACCAAUGGGGGAGGGGGAGGUUAUGGGAUGGAGAGGUGGAGGGUUUUGGGAGGGAGGCGAGGAGGCGAAGAGAUCCGGGAAGGGGAAUAAGAGGUUACGGGGAAAGAAGGGGGCGAGAAGAGGAGGAAAAGGGGGAGAGGAGAGGAAGAGGAGGAGGGAGAGAGAGAGGAAGGAAAGAAAAGGGAAAAAAGAAAAACUCUUGUUGGUGCCGGUGAUGGCACUGGUGGAUGUGGCGGUCGGCGGUGGAGUUGAUGGUAGACUGAGGUAUUGGGAGGAAAAAGAUUAAAGAAGGGAAAAAAACUUCUUUUUUUUUUGUGUGAUUGGGUAUUUGAGGCGUAUAUUUAAAAAAUUUUGGGAAGUUUCUUGAGACACUCUAGAUAAAGUUGUUAAAAAACUUGUAAAAGAAAAACUAGGUAAAAAAAAGCCUAGGUUCCAAAGAGACCCUGAUUUUAAAAGAACACAAACAUAGAAAGGCAAUUUUAUUAGGGUAAAAAACAAAAAAAACCCCUGUGGUAAACCUAAUACACAGAAAAGCCCCCCAUAAUUUUAAUAUAUAUAACACGACCACUCAUGUUUUGAACUAAAUUGUAAAGGUGACGGAAUCCGUUAAACUUAACGGAAAUGGACAAAAUGACCAAAAUGCCCUGAUAUAAUUAAGCAAAAGACAGUUCAAAAAAAUCAUUUGUUCUAUUCUCUAAAUAGAGAGAAUUGAGGGUUAAGGGGUAGAAUAGGUAUAUUUGAUAAAAAUUAGGAAUAAAAUUUUUUUUUGAGGUUCCAAUAAGUCAUCUCCGUUAAGUUUAACGGAUUCCGUCACCUUUACAAUUUAGUUCAAAACAUGAGGUGUUGUGUUGUAUAUUUUGAAACCAUAGGGGGCUUUUUUGUGUAUUAGACUUACCACAGGAAAUUUUUUUGUUUUUUACCCAUUUUAUUACACGGAAAUGUGGAUUGGACAAUUGAGUCAAUUCGGACUGAAUGAUAAUAUGAUACUGGAGCGUCAAAAUCAUUAACCAUAUAUAAAAUUACAGACAACUAAAAAGGGAUAUUACUCUUAUACUUCAAAAAAUUCCAAGUGGAAAGGUUAAUUUUUAUCAUGAGAAUUAAGAAUUAAGAUUAAUUUCUUAGACAUUAACACUAUAUAUACUGUAGUAGAUUUUUAAGAUUUAAGAAUUAAUGAAAACAAACCGCGGCGGCUCCGACCCACGUGAAUGUCAUUUCAUUUCGUUUUCGUAAUAGGAUACCAUAUGACCCGCCCACUUUUCCUACUGCUCCGAUGAUGUCCAUUGACUUUAUUGCUUGUUUAAGUUAUGGCCACAUGGAGAAAUUAGCCAAUAUCACAUGAUGAAAGCUUUUUACUUGGAUUUUUCCACUUUUGACGGCACUUGUUUUCUAAUUUGUGAAUAGUGUAAUUUGUGGUGGUAGUCAAACUUAAUGUGAGAAACACUUUUCAUUUAAAAUAGUAAUGGUACAUGCACUUUACCAAUAUAAAAUAUAUCCAACUAAUUGUGUCUUCUUCACUUGUAAGUUGUAAACAAAUAGGAUUAAGAGAAAUUGAUAUUAGCCCUUUAUCUAUGUGGAAUAUUGACAAAAAUAUAGAUGAGUUGGGCAUCGCAAUGCAAGAGGCAGAACUCUAACUAAUUGGUUACACGUUUUGGAUUAAACAGUUUCACGUAAGGUGAAAUUCUCCCUCAAAAUAGUGCAGAUGUUGUCUAUUGAUAAAUGAAAAAUAUUCUCAAAUUAAAACAAAUCUUAGAAUAAUUUAAGCUUUAAAUAUUCUAGAUCACAAAGUCUAUAUUUUCUUAAUUAAUGCAAUAAAUCAUCAUCCUAAUGACACAUACAUAUGAUUUUAAUAUCUGAUGAUAAAGCAAAAAGCUAAGAGUUGAUGUAAUAUUUAGAUUUUAAUGUUUAGAAAAAUGUCUUAGAAAAAGUGGAUUCGCCUUAUCAACUCCAUGACUUCUCUCUUUUGUUAUAUAGCAUCUGUUGUUUUGUUAAUUCUUUAUAAAAUUUGCAGGUAAGUAGAGUGUGUCUUUAACACUUAUACGUGAAAUUACUAAGUAUAUCUAUAUCCAUAUUGAUUCAUAUUAUUUGUCACACUUGGCAAUUGUAUUUUUACUUGAAAAAAUUAACUAAAACAUAAUAUAUAUUUUCAUUUUAAAACAUUCUAAAACAAGUUUUGACAUCAAAAAAAAUAAUAAUAAAGAGGCAAGAAAACCAAGCUUAAAUUGAAAAAGACGAAAGUGCCUGGUUUGUGAGUCUAAUGUUUGUCAACUUUUUCAAUCAGUCCGAUACAAUUGGAACAUUUUCAGUCUCUCUUCCUAGCGUGUUAUCACCAAUAGUGGGCUACUGACACGUUUGCCAAUUUUGAGGCCUUAAAGCCGCCUCUGUGAUUUUCCUCCUCAGAAAACCAGUUUUUGGAGAAAAGCAAAUCAAAAAUUGGUUAUUCCUAGGCCGAUUUCAACCUUGUUUCUCCUCUUUUUGUUUCUCUCACAAUCACACACAAAAAAACAAGCCCCAAAACAUACAAGACUCUUCAUGGUUGUUCCAGAACAAUAUUCUUGAUGUUUACCUCCUCAAAUAUCAGCAAGUUUAGUUCCAUAAUCAGCAAUCUUUAUUGGGUUUUUUCCAUUUUCAUUGAUUUCCCUGCAAUGAGAUGAUUGGGCACUUAACUUCUUCUCCAACUUGUCAGGCUUUUUUCAUUUCUUCACCCCUUUUAUGCCCAUGUAAGGAAAGUUUCAGUGUCAGUUUGUUUUCCAGUAAUUUCCCUUUAUCAAGGAGGAGGAAUUCAAUUUCCUCUAGGAGGAAAUGGAUAAUGCUACGGGGUUGUAUCAGUGGAGGAGGAGGAGGAGGAGGAGGAGGAGGAGGUGGUGGUGGUGGAAGUCAUCAUAAUUUGAGGGCUAAAGAUGUCGUGAGUCCAGCAGCAAAAGGGACUAGAACCAUUGUACUGAAAAGAUUGUCUGAUGAGAAUGAAUUGAAGGAUUCUUCAGCGUCUUCAUCUAGAAAUGUUAUUAGUAGCAUAAGUACUAGUAGUAGUAGUAGUAACAAUUUUGUCGGGUUUGAGGAAGACCCUCUUGUAGAUAAGUUGAGGACUCAAUUGGGAGUAAUUCAUCCACUUCCAUCACCGCCGAUAAAUCGGCAUAUUGUGGGGUUAUUUGUGUUCUUUUUCUUUGUAGGAGUAGCGUUUGAUAAAUUGUGGACUUCAAGAAAGAGGAAUAAUAGUAGUAGAAAUGGUGGUAAGUUGGGUGGGGAUAUUUGGAGGUCAUCAGUGCAGGUGCCAACAAGCCUUUCGACGUUUUUGGAAAAGGAUUUGCAGAGGAAAGAAUCAGUUGAGUGGGUAAAUAUGGUGUUAGGGAAGUUGUGGAAGGUUUAUAGAGGUGGGCUUGAGAAUUGGAUCAUUGGUUUGUUGCAACCUGUUAUUGAUAAUCUGAAAAAGCCUGACUACGUUCAGAGGGUUGAGAUAAAGCAGUUCUCCCUCGGGGAUGAGCCAUUGUCUGUUAGGAGUGUUGAAAGGAGGACUUCGCGCCGUGUUAAUGAUUUGCAGUGAGUGGAUUUUGAUUCAAUAGAAACAUUAAUUGUUUAUUCCUUUUUCUAUAAGGUGGCUGCUUUUGAGUCUUUUGUUAUUUUCUUUGCAUUGAUGAUUUAGCUGCAAGGUCACUUUUUAUCAUAUUAUCACUCUUCCAAUAUGGUUUCAUGGAUUUGAGAUUGAUAUUUGGGUAAAUUGUCUUUCACAUGACACUAUAAUAAUCUAGAGGAAAGAACAAGGAAAAAUGUUGCUUAUUGGUAUUAUAUUCACGUAGCUCUUAUUACAGCAGACAAUAGAAAUAUUAGUGCUUAAAUAUGGCAUAGUAGUUGCAAAGAAAAAUAAGGAGGAACAGAUAACCUGGCAAUAGUAGAAAUGACAGAAAAUGGAGUGGUCAUUCUAAGCACCGGCAGUUGUAGAUCUGUUGUAUGGCAAAGAAUUUUUUCUGUCUGAAAGAGAUCCAUUUACCUCAAUGUAAUGCACCUUUUAUACUUACAUGUCAUAUCUUAGUUUGAAGUUGCUAAUACCUUUUAAAAUAGAUUGAGGAAUUACUAUAGAGUGCCUUGUUAACAAAUGCUGUUCUGAGAUCUUGGCAUCUUAUAUGCCAUUAAGAAGCUGGAAGCUACAGAACUUAUAGUAUCGCUUUCAACUCGGUCUACCAUCUGAUAGCAUCUUUCAGAGAAUGGCAGGAACCAUUGUCUGAAUAGAAUUUGUUGAAAACAGAUAAGAAUCAAGUAAACCUCUUGGCAAGGGAGUUUUAUCUGGAAUAUCAUAGAUUCAAGAACUUUAUUAGGCUUGGUGUUCCAGAUUGACUUCCUCCCUAGAACCCUCUCAAUCAUGGUGAUUCCUUUUCGUACCAUUCUGGUAAAGAUGCUAUGGUGGAAAUGUAACACAGCACUGGAACGGUAUUAAAUUCUGUGUAAGUUACCCUUCUCCCACCAAACUAUUCUUCAAAUAUUGGUGGACAUUAGAUUGUGAUGAGGAGAAAUUUUUUGUAUUCUGGACUGGACUUAGGGGCUUUUGAAAACUGCCUGACUUGUCAGUUCCUGUUUCCAUUGCUUCAUGGACAAUCUUGAUGACCAGAAAGGUUCCCUAAAAUCCUAAUAAAGUUUAUCUUGAUCCAUCAAGUGGGGUAUUGACUGCAGAAUUGAACCUAAUGAAUCUUGGCACUGUCAAUUGCUCGACAACCUGUACUGGUAAAGCUAAUUUAGGUCUAUUCACGACUCAAGAAAAUCUGUUCCAAUCUAAACGUGGAUAUAUCAUGUACAAGGAGUUGGCAGUAGUUUGUCAUUUUUCAAAUGAAUGUCUAUUGAUCACAUAUUUCAGUCAUAAUAACUCAGAAGAGGAUGAGGAAACAAAGGAAAACUUAGCUUGUGUGGGACAUGACAGUAUUCUCUGCUGAUUCAGUGUCCGUCUCCUUAGUAUUGCAUUAUACAGCAUAAAGUUUUUUUACAAAAUCUACCAUUGUCUACCUAGACUAGAUCUUUAUGGUUGGGAAUAUUUGGCUUUGCAUCUGACUUUGGUUUCUUUGUACUUUCAAGGUACCAGGUUGGACUUCGUUACACUGGUGGUGCUCGUAUGCUGUUAUUACUAUCACUGAAUUUCAGCCUUGUUCCCAUUUCUGUGCCUGUUGGUAUUCGGGAUUUUGACAUUGAUGGGGAACUGUGGGUGAAACUGAGAUUAAUACCAACAGUGCCCUGGGUGGGAGCAGUUUCUUGGGCAUUUGUUUCUCUUCCAAAGAUAAAAUUUGAACUAUCACCAUUUCGCUUGUUCAAUCUGAUGGGUAUGCACUACCUUUAUGCUUUGAGGUUUCAUGCUUUUAUGUUUUCAUUCCAUUUCAAGAGAAAACAUUUGUUGUCAACAAAUGGAAGGUUAUAGUGAAAAAGUCCAGAAUCUCAUUAAUGCUUGUGACUUGAUUAUGUCUAGUUUUUAUCUUCAUACAUCAAAUUUCAUUGGUAGAGGUAGCAUUUAUAAUGAAGAAACAGCCAAACUUGCUCAUUCAAAUAGAAAGCCUUGUGGACACUUUUGAAAGCUUGGGAAUGUUGUUUUACCAAAUUUGAUUGAAACGGUUAACUAGUAGGGGGAUUUGAGUGUGAGACUAAGCCUUAAAAUUGGAAUAGCCUGAAAGAACUUAAAUCCAGCAGCUGAUGUUGGUUAAUGUCCUGUGCUUUUCCUGCUUUGACUAGUAGUUUUGGGAAUUUGUUGUUCUUUCUUUCACACUUGCAUUUAUAUCCUUGUUAACUAGUCAUCCCAGCUCAUAUUUGUGCAUCUCUACAUUAAAUAGAACAUGGGUUCACUCUUAGGUUUCUCUUUCAGUUGCUUGUCUUUUCAUCACCUUAUCCUAUCUCCCACUAUAUGACGUGCUUAAUUUAUUAAAUUAACUUACAGCAUUCUCUCCAGCUAAGAGUUGAAAAGUUGAGCUUUAAUGUCCUAGAGUAGUGCAUUCGGAAAUUUUGAUUAAGAAUUCCACUCCAGUUGGAAACCGUUUAAUUAGAAAUGAGGAGGAAAUACAAGAGAAUAAAGACUGUAGGAAGGAAAAAGAUAUGGAGUAAGCUUAAACCUGCAUGUUUUGUCCCCAAUUUUGCUAAAUGACUAUGAUAAUUGUGUAGAAGUGUAUUUCAUGGAAGUCAGUAUGAUAUGAGUAUCGAUCGGAAGAAACAAAAAAUGACUUAUCAUAAUGCAAUCAUUUAAAUCUUUGGAUAUCUAAUAGUUGAAAUAUUGUAGAAUCAUGGUUAAAUGGAGAAAACCUUGGUUGAUUAUAUGAAUUCAACAUCCUAGCUACCUGAAGGUUGGAUACGAACCUUGUUAUUUGGAGCCUAAACCAAAUUGUCGUGGAAAAUAUGGUCACCAGAUUAUUUGCGCCUGCUUUUGGCCACUGAAUUUUUAUUUUUUUUUUACUGUUUUGGGUCAAAUCACCCACUUAACUUCUAGAAUAUUACACUAUUAAUCAUUCCAUCUAAUUUUGGGGUAGACUCAAAAGGACUAGUCUAAUCGCAUGCAUGGGUUGUCUGACUUGUUGGUCAGAGUUAACCCAAAAUCUGACUCUAAUGCAAUGGGCAAAGUAUACAACUUUAAAGUUUGAGUGCAUUAUUUUAAAACAAUAGUAGUUUACGACCAAAAGUUUGCAAAAUGAAAAGUUCAGUGGAGUUAGUUUGGCCUUUGUGUUCUGAUAGGUAGCUGUACUUAUAUAUUGUUUUUAUUUAAAUCACAUUGCAUGUGUUAGUUUUGAACUGGGGAUAUCUCUUUGGACUUUGAUUGUUCUUGUAGCAGAUUAGAGGUGGCAAAUCAACCCACUUAAUUAAAUUUACCUAUACCCGCCCAUGAAUAGAUGGGUAUGGGUAUCUUAAAUUUUUGUAUAUGGGUAUAAAUGGGUUACCCAAUAAUACCCAUUUAAUAAAUGGGUAUUAUUGGGUAACCCAUCAAACCCAAUUAACCCAUUUAGAAUUCUCUUCCCCUAAAUCUCUUCUUUUUCCCCACCCAUUUUUUUUUCAAAUUUUUCAUUUUGUCAUGAUGUUAACUACUUUUGUUUCAUUAUUAUUAUUAUUUGUUGGUUUUAUUUUAUUAUUUUACUUUCUCUUUGUUUGUUAACUUGCUCAUUUUUCGGCAUUACCAAUUUAUGAUAAAUUUGAACCUCUUUUCUUAUCUUUCUAAAAUGAAAUUUUAAAUUUAUAUAUGAAAAAAAUGUUAGGGGUUCAAAAUUUUUGGAUUAAAUUUUUAUAUUAACUUUUAUAGUACUUAGUUUAAAUUUUUAUAUUCUUAUUAUUCAAUUAUUAAAUAAUAUGUAAUUUUGUGAAAUAGAGUAUAAAUGAAAAAAAAUUGGUAAUUAGGCUUAUUGAACAUUAUAAGUAAAUAUUUAAAACUAAAGAUGGAUACAAAGAGCAGUAUAAAUUGAUAACUUAGUUUGCAAAAAUGAAUUUAAAUGAAUUUACAACAAAUUAAAAUAAAUGGGUUAUAAAUGGGUAAUUGGGUUACCCAAUUCAUUUUUUGACUUACCCAUUUAUACCCAUCUAAUUAAAUAGGUAUAAAUGGGUUGACUCACUUAUACCCAUUACCCAUUUUACCCAAUCCAAAUCCGCCCAAGUCACCCAUUUUGACACCUCUAUAGCAGAUAUAUGAUUAUCAUGUCCUUGUGAGCUUCUUCUUCUUGCUUGAAACCUUGUAGUUCCAAGAACUAAAUAUAACGGGGUCUAUUUCAUUCAAUGUUUAUUCAAAUUCAUUGGAUAAUCAUGAGCGUGACAGUUGGAUGCAUAGUACCUUUUCUAUUGAUACAUGAAUAUUAGCAUGUAUUUGGCUAAUCUAUAAAAAUGUCAUCAAAACUUUUCCCUGAUCACCUCAUUGGUACGAGUUUUGUUUGAGUUUUAUCUUACGGUAUUUGUAAAAUUCGGUUUUGAUGACAGUCAUUGGUUUUUUCCUUUCCUUUAUCAGUUAAAAAGUUCGUAGUAGUAAUUUUUGAUUGAUGCAAUUCAAAAUCUUGUUAUUCUGAAUUCGAGUUGCCACUAUUCUAAUGCCUAUUCCUUUCUCCUUCGCCGUCUUUUAUAUGUGCGUGGAACAACUCCAGCCAUUCCUGUCCUCUCCAUGUAAGUAGACAUUUCUCUGUGGUAUCAUUAUCUUUUUGCAUAAGAUUAUUAAGCACAAUAACUUUUGUGCUCUCUCUCUCUCUGAAGUCACUGUUUUAACAUGCCAGGUUUCUGAGAAAACUUCUUACUGAGGAUCUACCCAAGCUAUUUGUUCGUCCAAGGAAGAUCGUUUUGGAUUUUGAGACAGGGAAAGCAGUUGGCCCUGUUCCAAAUGAUAUCAAGUCUGGAGAAGUUCAAGAAGGAAAUAAGGACUUUGCAGGAGAAUUAUCAGUGACUCUUGUAGAUGCAAGAAAACUUUCAUAUUUUUUCUAUGGUAAGAAAAAUCUUCCGUUCAUGAGCCACACCUAGGAAGUCUAUUUGAGUUGUUUCUUCUCUCUAAUUCUUAAUAUCUUCUGUGUGAGAAUCCAUCAUCAAGUGGAUCUCUGAGUGGUUAUAUGUUUAAAUGGUUACCACUGACUUUCUUAGGAGAGCUUGGCAUAAUCAUUUUUGCCUUCCCUUUCCCUUUACCAUUCAGGCAAAACAGAUCCAUAUGUUAUAAUAUACCUAGGUGAUCAAGUGAUACGCAGUAAAAAGAACAGUCAAACUACAGUCAUUGGACCUCCUGGUGAACCUAUAUGGAAUCAGGUCAGUUACAUAGUCUUUGGCAAAAUGGAUUUCAAACACUUGAAGCUACUUAUUUAUCAACACUUGUAAGCAUCUUGUAUGCAGUUUAGCACUUGCUAGUUAUUAUAAUGCCUCUUUGCCCUUUGCAGGAUUUUCACUUGCUAGUUGAGAACCCUAGGAAACAGAAGUUAUACAUUGAAGUAAAGGAUUCCCUUGGUUUUGCUGAUCUCACGAUCGGUACAGCAGAGGUAAAGGGCUAAAACUUGCUAAUAGUUGAAUUAAGCUUUUAUGUGAACAAGGAAUUCCAAUAUCUGCUGUUUCAAGAUAGUGCACAUAUUACAAAAACCAGGAAGGAAAAAGACAAAAAAAAAAAUACACUUUCAGCUCAACAUACAAAGCUUGUGAAUAUUUAAUGUCAGGCUAUUAUCCGUUAGAUAAAAAUCUUCCAAAUUGACCAAACUUUACUCCUUUUCUUCCUUUUCCUUUUUCAAAUCUGUAGGAGAUGCUUAGGUUAAUUGUUGAUGCUGGUGUCAGUAAUAUUUUCUCAAGUAUUAGUGUGAACUGAUGGGUGGUUCUGGACUUUUUGGGAACAAGUAAAGAAUAAUGCCAAUGAGAUGGAAUCAAGUCAUUUCCCUCAGAUUCAAGAGGUUAUGUUAUAGGAAGCACCCAUGCAUUAUCUAAAAUGGUGAAUUGGUUUCCAUAGAAGCUGUGUCCAUCAUACCAUUGGGAUAUAUCUAGAGGUGGCAAAAUGGGCGGGAUGGGCGGGAUUUGCUUGGGUUUGUGAUGGAACCGGGUCAUAUGGGUUUGGGCCCAAUCUUACCCAUAUGUAUUUUGGGACUAAGUUGGGCGGGAUCACUUUGGGAUGGGUUUAGAUUGAUCCCGCCCAAUACCCAAAUCUAUUUUCUACAUAUUUUUUUCCUUUAAUUCAUUUUUAUUUUUUAUAUAAUUUUAAUAUUUUUGAUUUAUUAAUUUUUUUUAAUUUUAUUAAAUAAACAUGCAAGUGCUUUAUACUCAGGAUUCCCAUCAAAAAUUGGAUUAACAAAUAAAGGAAAAAAUAGAUAUACAGUCAUAUUCCAACAUAUAUCAAGAUGGCCAAGGUACUUAAGGUAUUGAAUAUUUAUUCUCAUCAUUGUCCAAAGAUGACAGGUCUAAAUUGACUGAAAUGUUGAAAAUUCUUGUGGAUAAUGACUAGGAAAACUACUAGAUUAUAUUCUCUAGUAUGACUAUAAAAAUUGUUAAAGAUAAUUUUGAAUCUAAGAGUCCGUUUGGAUUGGCUAUUUUUUCAAAAAAUAAGUUUUUCAAAUACAAUGUUACAGUAAUAUACAAUAACUCAAAAAACAUCCCAUCCAUAUUAGUAUAUCAAAUAUUUCAAAAAAAUUUUAUAGUAAAAAUUUUUCAUAUACACUGCUAUAAUAAAAUAUUUCAAAAAUACCCCCCAAAAAUAGUUAAACCAAACAGAGCCCUUGUUAUUUGAGCCCAAUGGGUACCCAAGUAUUUCCCAAGUAUUCCCAUCAAUUAAUGGGUACAAUUGGGAUUUGUCCCAUUUUAAACCCAAUAUCAAAAUCCAAUACCCAUCCCGCCCAAAGUCCCCAUGGGCAUGGGUAACCCAUUGGGACUUGGGACAAAUUGCCACCUCUAGAUAUAUCUUAUCAUUCAAGAGGCAUCUUGAAUUGUGUUUAUGCAUCAAUGCCUCUCGAGGUAUACAGACAAAUUUAGCUGUCAUCUCAUUUUCAGAUGGCCUUAGGGCAGCCCUCUAUUAGAAAAAUUUCAAGCCUAAUUUUUUAUAGGAAGUAACCACCUUUUACAAACUUAGUUAGUCAAAAUUUAGACUUUCCUUUCCCAUUAAAGCCAGCACCUUAUACGUAAACACCACUUAAAACUGUGUUAUCCGCUAAUGCGGGAAGAGUGUUUCUGACCACUUAUUACAUAUUCAUUCACUCUCAAUUGUACUCAACUUCUCAUUAGUUUUUCCCUGAAUCCAGCUGGCAAUGAGGCUCUGAAAUGAAGAGAAAACAUGGUUAAAGCUCCUUAUAGUUGUGUUGAUGUUAAAGCAAAAUGUUUAGAUUAUAUUGAGCUUUCCCCUCAGUUUAAUGUAAGAAGUAGAUUUUACACUUAAAACUGUUAUUGGAAAGAUGGCAUAGAAACACCUCUAUGCCUUUGAGUAGGUGAUUUGCCAAAAAAGCAGCAGUUGCUGUCAUACAAAUAUGCAAGUCCACUUCACAUUUUUGCGAUGAGAUCACUCUUGGCUGACCCUUUUAUAUGGACACUCACAUGCUGUCUGUGAGUUUGUUGCCAUUUUGCUUGAGCUAGGUUCAUUCACAAUAAAGAGUACUUUCUUUCAGGUCUCUCAUUUCUUAUUUCUAUGUUUACCUUUAUAUUCUUUUGUUUUCUCAGUUACAACAUUGUUUGUGAAGUAAUACUGAAAGAUAGCCGAAACUUUUUAACUUCUUAGGCAGUUUUCUAUUCACUCAAAAAAAGCUUCUUGCAUUACUUUAAUGUGUAACUUACCAUGCAUACUUUCGUUUUAGUUUAGAAAACAUUCAAAGGGUGUGCAAGAAGCUAAGCAGGGUGUGGGAAUUUCAUUAUCCCUCAUUUUAUCAGCUUCUUUCCCUGUCAGCUCUUAGAGAUACAAACUUGGAACUAUCUUUUUAAGUUAUUUCUAGCGAAGUCUAUUUGUGUUUAUCCACUCCAACAUUUUUCUCUUCCUUCUGUAUAUCCAGAGUAUACAUGAAACUAAUAGUAUGGUUUAAUGUUGGUUGCAGGUUGAUCUUGGAUCUCUAGAAGAUACUAUACCUAAAGAUAGAAUUUUGGUCCUCCGAGGUGGAUGGAGACAGUUUGGAAGGGGAUCUGCUGGCGAACUCCUUGUGAGGUUAACCUAUAAAGCAUAUGUUGAGGAUGAAGAAGAUGAAAGAACUGAGGCUAAGUUAAAGGAUGGAGAUGCUUUGGAUGAUGAUAUAUCUGACAUUGAUGAACUAGAUGCUAUGUAUGAGCAGAAUGGACUGGAUUCAUCAAGCGCAACUGAUAAAGAAUCAUUUAUGGAUGUUUUAGCAGCGUUAAUUGUCAGCGAAGAAUUUCAAGGGAUAGUUGCAUCUGAAAAUGGAUUUAAUAAAUCUUUUGAUAAUUCAAAAAAUGGAUCCAGCUCUAGAUUGGCAGGGACUACAAUUGGUUCUGUUCGCCCAAAUUCUGAUAGUGGUUCUAGAAGCUCUGGAGGUAUCUUACAUUGAUAGUCAUCUUUUUUCAUGCUCAGAAAUUGAAUUUCUAACUUCAAAAUUUUAGUACUUUCUCUUCUUUGUUGAAGCAUCUUAGAAUAUUUAUUCUUUGCAGGAUCAGCUUUACUUUGGUUAGCUGCUGUUACGAGUGUUGCUGUCCUAAUUGCUAUCAAUGUGGGUGGUUCGGGCUUUUUCAAUCCUUGAUAUCAUUGGGUCAACCCAGGAAAAAUAUUUUCAGCUUCUUUAGGUCCAGCUACCAUGUAAAUCUCCCCUUGUAUUCUUGUUGACAAAGCCUGCAGUUGCGUCAAUGUUCAAGUGGUUACUGUGCCCGAUCUAAAUUGCGGGGUGAGUCUCUUUUGCCAACAACAUCCAUUGUGUUAUUCUGGCUUUUUCUUUUCUUCCAUGCAUCUCCUGUAAAAGUGAUACAAUGUGUUCUGUAAAGCAGUCAGUUUCUUGUCUACAUAUCUAAUGGUCAGAUUGACAAGUUUAAGAAUAGCAUGAUACGAGACAAGUAGAUAAUGACACAGUUUGAAGGAUGACACACUUGUAUGUGAUGAUUCUCUGCUCCUUGUUUGUCGAGUCUCAGCUGGUGUAGCAAUAUCUUUUCAUUUGUGACUUUUAAGGCCCUGCUAUUCAAUGAUAUGUUCUUAAAAUUUAUCCUCCUCGUCGUUCAACUCCAAUAAAACUUCAAUCAACAGCUUGGUUCCAUGUCUCUUGCUUGCUUCAAAUAUACAAAUUAUCCGUUGAUAAAAUACGUGGGAUUGAACUCAUAUCCAUCUACAACUAGUUCUCAACCCAAAGUAAUGUAUGCUGUAUUUCCCAUUAAUAAUAGCAUAGGUGUGUGCUGUUUUGCUUUUGAAGUUGUUCUUGAGACCUUUCACAUAUGGUCAAAGGAUUUUUUUGGAUUGAUGAUGGUUUUACCUAUUAUUGCUUCUUGUAUGCAGGCUGGCAAAGUUUCUUUUUGAAUAAAGAGAGGAUUGGUGCAGCUUGUAGGCUGAUUUUUACUUUAACCUUUGUGUCUUCUGAUUCAUUUCUAAGAUCAUUGACUUGAGGAAGAGAGAUGUUCUUUUGGCGGCAAUUAUGGAAAUAAACUUCUAUGUUUUUUUCCCUAUUAUAGCUUAUACUUCUUUCAUCUUUUUGAAAAUUUCUGUUGUACAUAUGAUAUGACUGCCUGUAGAACAACAUCUAGCUGCUGCCCUUCUUACCUUGCCAUUUGAAUGAAAAAAUAUGUACAUUGAUUUAUCUCAAAUGCAAGAAUUGCAAUUUUACCAAGAUCAUACUUGACAGUGAAUGUUUCAUCCACAAAAAUUACUUAAUCUCUCUAGCAAUGUUAUCUAUGCAAGUUAUUAGUGGUAGAUCAUGCCUCUUGAAUUAUACUUUAUAUGUAUAAAUAAAGACACAACCUAGGACUUGAGAGAAAAUAUUUACAAAAGGGGGGAAAAAAAAGCAUAAUAGAGGGGGAAUGAAGGGCUGUUUUUUUUUUUUUUUUUUUGUAUUUUCUUUUUAUUUUUUAUUCUACAGAAUCAAUAAUGAUUCCUCAUUUACCUGCUUUAUGACUUGAACCAAGUAAGGGGCUGUUUGAUAAUGUUUAUGUUUCUGAAUUUUUGGUCUUAUAGUACUAAAAAUGAAGUGAAACACUUGUUCUGAUUUUUGUGAAAUGUAGAUUGCAAAACGUAGUUGCUUUUGUUAAAAAUUCAAGGAAAUAAAUACCAAAAAUAAGUGCAUUUGUUACUAAAUUUUAUUUUUUUUGAGCAAAUGAAGACGAAUGUUUAAUCAAGCAAAUUAAAUACCAAAAAUAAAUGUGUUUGCUUCAGUCUGGAUUGCUAUCUUUUGGAAUUUUUAUAGAAAAAUAUACUGUAUCAAUUUGUGUAUGUGAGGUAAAAAAGUGAUUGAAAAAUGAGUUCACAGAAAACGUAAAAAUUUUUGGUGCAGUUUUAUAUUUUUUUUUCAGAGCAAAUGAAGACUAAAUAUUUAAUCAUUAUAGAAUUAGUUCUUUUUUCUACUACUUGAAAUGAUUUUCGAAUCCUCAUCUACAUAUACUUGGAGACUAUAAUUUUACAUCCUCUAACCUUUGUUGCUACAAGCUAUUAUCGAGUUGAUACAAUUAGUAAGUACAAGUGUACAACAUCUAAAACCAAAUAAUAAUCACUCAUCAAGCACGAAAAAUCAACCCUACCAAUAACAUUGGAGUUUCUAGUUUAAUUUUUCACAUGAGUAUGGGUUAUGGCAAUUUGUAUGGCUAAAACAAAAAUUUAAAUAUGUAAAAUAUAUAUUUGUUGGACACUGAGUGGAGAGAAAGCAUAUAGGAUAGACUUAUUGUUUUAUUCAAAAGUACUCUGUGAAAUCUACUCAAGUUAAUCUUAACAAAUACAAACACCUAUAACAAAGGGAAAAUAGAGUGAUAGUAAUGUUAGAAGAUAUUAGUGAAGUGUACUGAAAAUGCAUAAAAAAAAAAGUCUAUUAUUAUCAACAACAUUCUUAUUACCUAUUUAAUAAUUGUCAAAAAAUGGAACACACGUAAUUGUGACUUCUUUUUUAAAAUAAAAAAGUUAUUAAUUUAACAAAUUGAUAUAGCAAUAUAUUAUUCUGUCCUUUUUUUUUUCAAAUUUGAUAUAUAUGAGAUAAAAUGGUCAUUCUAAAAAAAUUAAAAAGUGGUUGAAAAGCUUGUAUAGAUGAUAUUGCAAAAAUGCCUUUCAAGUCAUAUCCAAAGUCCAACCAAACAGAGCCAAGGAACCAUUCCAAAUCCGGGCUUACAAUUCCGAUUCCAAUUCUAGUUAGGCAAUCCCGUGCUAGCCAAACGGCUAAUUAGCGACAAUAAUUAUUGUCAAAAUCAUUAUAAAAAAAAGGGAUAAAUAAGGACAAUAUAUUGUCAAUUGGAAAAGGACUCCUGCAGCAAAUCGAAGCUCUCUGGCGUAUCCAGUUCUCUCCAAUUCAACUCGACUGUGUUUUAUCAGGAAGUAAGUACCCAAAAUUUCAGUUUUAUUCUCAUAUAGGUAUGGUCCAUUGAGCUCGAGUUUGUUGAAAGAAAAUGCGCUUCAAUUUCUGUAGAAAUUUGAAGUUUCGUUUGCGAGAAUAUCAUAGUAGUUAUGGUGUAAUUUUUUGUAAUAGACCAAGUUGUAAUGGCAGAGAUUUUGUUUCCAGAAGCCCUUUUGGAAAUUGUGGAGUUGCUGCAUUUUAUUCAUCAGAAAACACUAAUCUUGAUCUACAUUUGAACCCUGAGAAAGAUUCUGGGAAAUAUGUCAGAGAAGGUGAUAGUCAUGGUACUAGAAAUGGGUAUUCUAGAGUUCAAGAAAUGGGCUGGAAAGAGGGUUGUGGGUUCGGGAAGAGUAGCUUAAAUGCAGAGGAGAAUGGAGAAAGAAGUUGUCGAUUUGAUGAGUUUGAGGUUGAGGGUUCGGACGAGGACGCGGAAAAUGAUGUUGAUGGUGAUGGGGUGGAUAAUUUUCGGAUUUUGGAUUCGUAUACUGGAAAUAGAAGUCAGAAGGAAGAUGUUUCGAGGAGAGUUAUGGAUGAUGUGGAAGAUGAAUUAAGACACCCUCUAGUGAAAGAAGUAUGUAGGUUAAUUGAACGUAGGUCAGAAUGGGGUCCGAGGUUAGAGAGGCAGUUGAGGACGUUGUUGAGAAGUUUGAAGCCACUGCAAGUUUGCGCUGUACUAAAGUGUCAGUCUGAUGAACGUGCUGCUUUGCAGUUCUUCUACUGGGCUGAUAGGCAAUGGCGAUAUCGGCAUCACCCGAUUGUUUAUUAUGGAAUGCUGGAAGUUCUUAGUAAGACCAAGUUGUGUCAGGGGGCUAAGAGGAUUCUGAGUCUUAUGAGGAAGAGGAAGAUUGAGAGGCGGACAGAGGCAUUUGGCUAUGUUAUGGUUUCAUUCAGUCGAGCAGGACAUUUGAGGAAAGCAAUGCAGAUAUUGAAUGUGAUGCAGAAAGCAGGGAUUGAACCUGAUUUGUCUAUCUGUAACACUGCAAUUUAUGUUCUGGUGAAGGGGAAGAAAAUGGAAAAGGCUUUGAUAUUUUUGAAAAGAAUGCAAGUUGUUGGGAUUACACCAAAUGUUGUUACAUAUAAUUGUUUAAUUAAGGGUUACUGUGAUAUGCAUCGUCUUGCACAAGCAUUACAGCUGAUUGCUGAAAUGCCGUCUCAAGGUUGUUCCCCUGAUAAAGUUAGUUACUGUACUGUAAUGGCACAUCUAUGCAAGGAGAAGAGGGUUGAUGAAGUAAAGGGUUUGAUGGAGAAGAUGUGGAAGGAUAGCAAAUUGGUUCCAGAUCAAGUAACUUAUAGGACCCUUAUUUAUAUGCUUUCCAAGCAUGGACAUGCAGAUGAUGCAUUGAAAUUUCUCAGGGAAGCAGAAGAAAAAGGAUUCCAUAUUGAUAAAUUUGGAUAUAGUGCAGUUAUUAAUUCUUUCUCCCAAGAUGGGAGGAUGGAUAAGGCAAAAGAACUUCUAAAUGAAAUGUUUGCAAAGGGGUGCGACCCUGAUGUGGUGACUUACACUGCUGUUGUGAAUGGAUUUUGUCAAGUAGGAGAGAUUGACCAAGCCAAAAAGUUGCUCCAACAGAUGCAUAGACAUGGUUUUAAGCCGAAUACAGUAUCAUACACAGCAUUGUUACAUGGGCUUUGCAAAAAUGGAAAGUCAUCAGAAGCCAAAGAGAUGAUGAACAUGAGUGAGGAGGAAUGGUGGACACCCAAUGCAGUUACAUAUGGUGUCCUGAUGCAUGGGUUCCGCAGGGAAGGGAAGUUGUUGGAGGCCUGUGAUGUGGUUGGGGAAAUGAUAAGAAAGGGCUUUUUGCCAAAUCCAGUCGAAAUUAAUAUGCUGAUUCAGUCUCUUUUCCAAGCAGGCAAAACCAAUGAAGCCAAGAAAUUCAUGGAGGACUGUCUCCACAAAGGAUGUGCUGUUAAUGUGGUAAAUUUUUCUACUGUAAUUCAUGGAUUCUGUCAGAAGGAUGAUUUGGAUGCUGCUCUCUCAGUCCUUGAUGACAUGUACCUGAAUAACAAACACCCAGAUGCAAUAACUUACACUACUUUAAUUGACGCACUGGGAAGGAAUGGUAGGAUAGAUGAGGCAAUUGAACUUGCAAAGAAAAUGCUUCAUAGGGGCCUGCUUCCUACUCCAGUAACAUACCGUGCAAUCAUCCACAGGUUCUGCCAGCAUGGUAGGGUGGAUGAAUUGUUGAAGUUAUUAGAGAAAAUGCUAAAAAGGCAGAAGUGCAAAACAGUGUAUAAUCAAGUUAUUGAAAAACUUUGUAGCUUUGGAAACCUUGAUCAGGCUUAUAAGCUCUUGGGGAAUAUCCUAAGGACUGCUUCAAAUAUUGAUGCCCGUACUUGCAACAUCCUUCUGGAGAGUUACUUGAAGAAAGGGGAUUCUUUGUCAUCUUAUAAAGUGGCUUGCCAAAUGUUCAAGCGGAAUCUUAUACCUGAUCUCAAGUUAUGUGAGAAAGUGAGCAAGAGAUUGUUGUUAGAAGGAAAAACAGAUGAGGCAGAUAAGCUUAUGCUGCAGUUUGUUGAACGCGGGUGCAUUUCACCUCACUGCCAUUAGUUUUCAUUUGAAAUUUAGGAGUACUUUCCCAGAAGUUUUUUCAAAGUGCUGCCAAAGUUUUAUAUCAUCUCAGUGAAAAACAAUAAUGAUCAAAGAAAUGGAGACGGAUAAAGCUCCUUUAUGGUUGAGCAAGGAUCUUCCUUUCUCUAGUGAACUUGACUUGAAGAAGACUAUUAAGGCUUCAGACAAUUGUCGUUUAAUGUCCUAAUGAAAUAUUUCAUGGUAAUCCAUCCUCUUUUCAUGCUCUGCAUUUCUCCUGCUGAAAAAGUGCCCGAAGAAUCAUGUACCUUCUUUAGUACUUAUCCAAUUUAUUUUAGCAUGUUGUCUGUCCCAAGGAAAUAUUUCAUGGUAAUGUGGUCUUCUUUUCUGUCUCCAAUUAUCCUGCUGGAAAUUCCCCUGAAAGAUCACUUUUUUCUUGUAUUGCAUUUACUUUAGCAUGUUGUCUUCGUGCAAUUGGUUUUUGGGAAAAUGAAUACCUAAAUUUCAUGCUUUAUGUUUUUCAAACUUUGUUAUUUUUCAGGUUGAACUCUGUUAUGAUGGGAUCAAACUGUCAUCAGCAUUCUCAGGUGCAAUGGAACCAAGGGCGGAUCUACACUAUUCCCUGUGGGGGCAUGCAUUCCCCUUCUGGCCAAAAACAAGUGUACGUUGUAGCUAUGCAUUUUUCAAACAUUUAUCUGUAACCCCACUGAUUUCUGGCAAAAAAUAUGUAUACUACUAGUACUUGCUAUCUUAUGCAAAUGCUACUUAUUUAUUCCCACGCUCAAAAAUAAUUCUGGCUUGGAAACUGAUUUGGCGCUUUUAAAAUUUCUAUGAUCUAUGAUCAAUAGAAUGAUUUCAGCAACAUAUGUUAAUCAAGUACGCUCUCUCCAUCAUGUAGUUGCCCAUUACUGAACAUGGUUUCUGUUCAAAUCCCGUGCAGGAAGCUUCUGUGCAACGAUGGCUGCAUGAGUAUGUCUUAUUCAUGUAUAAUGUGCCCGAAUAUAUCUUCGGUAUUUCUUUGUUCUUUUCUUCAUGGUGUUCUGGAUGUGUUUUGUUCUUCGUUGCUAUCAAUUACUAACUUUUGAACUACAUUUUUCAUGUCACUAUAUAGGUGAUGACACAGAAGUGCAGUUAAUCGAUCAUUUGCUGUCAAAUUGCUUAGUAACUCUUCCGCCAUACGAUGACCCAAAUUAUUGAGUAAUCAAGCUUGUUUGUAUUUCUGUAUAUGAUGUAAUCCCCAGUACUUGCACUUUUGUUUGUUGUGGCCAUAUGAUGCAUUAUUUGGAAAUCAACAUCCAGUAUAUGAUGUUAAUCAAUGGAACAAGUAGACUUGGCAGGUAGUUGCUGGCAUUUCCUGUUUCAGGGAUGUUUCCUUUCUGGUUUUGGCUGGAACUGAUUAUUGAGUUGUAUGACUUCAACUAGGAGAAGAGAAAUGUGCCUAUAGAUGAUAUGGAGAAAGGCUGGCCAAUCAUAGGGCGGCCAUGUCCCCAACAGAUUUGUCAAUGAAACAGGUUUAGCUUUGGCCCUAUUGAGCUCCUUUUCUUUUCCUUGGUUUUCAUUUUGAAACAGAUUUUGGGGUAUUUCUUGACCUUUCUUUCUGGAUUUUCACCGUUUUCUUUGUGUUUUCCUCCUUUUUCUUUUCUUCUUCCUGGCUUUUUAUUGUUUUUAUUUUUAUUUUUUUAUUUUUCUUCUUGUCUAGGAUUUUUCUUCCCUUUCUGUUUCUCUCUUUUUUUUUUGUUUUUCGUUUUUGGUUUUACAUAUUCAUUGACCAAUAUUUAAAUUUAGCAGCAUAUUAACAUUCAUAAAAUCUUUAUCCAGACAAACCUUUUACUACCUACAAUUUGCACAAGGCUAAAGAGCAAGAUUUCCUUUCAAGAAUUAAUCAUAACUUAUUAGCCCUGUCAAAUGGUUAAUAAUAGAGGCUUAAAAGAUGUGAAAUGUCAAAAGUUUUAACUCUUCAAAUUAAUUGUUGCCAGUUAUAAGAAAAAUUACAAAACGUAAGAAAAAAAAUGAUGCUGCAGUUUUUCCUAUAGUUCUUGAAUAUUUAGAUCAAGCUAGUGAUGACUUUUACUUAAUUUUCAUGAUGAAUAACCACAAAAUUAGUUAAUUUAUUUAACCUUGUAACGGAGACUCGAGAAUGAAUUUUGAAUGAUGUGAAUCCAAAAAUGCUAUGUGAUUCAUUGUUUCAAUAUCAUUCUUGAGAUAAUUUAUUUUGUUUUGAAUUAAUUUCUUGUCCAUAACAAAAAGGGUGUAUUCGAGUCCAAUCAAAUUUGAAUAGCUUUAUACUCGCAUUUGAGCUCGAAUUAUAGCUAACUACUCGAACUUGAGGUUGAAUUCGAACAAGUAAUAAAUGUCAAAUUUGAACUUGACUCAAAAAUCAUAUUGGCAGAACUCAAACUCGAACUCGACUCACACAGGUUUGAGAACCAGGCCGAGCCUAAAUGAGCUGGAGUACUUGAAAGUACUCGAGCUUUCAGGCUCGUUAAUUAUUUGCUUCUUUGAGGAUUUUACUAUCACCUUCUCAAUUAUGCAUUACUCGAUAUUAGUUACUCCCUGUGUCUCCAAAUCUUCAAUGUCACUUACUAAAUUUCUUUGCAUAAUUUAAAGUCUAGUCAUAGGUCAUUUACCAAUCAAUAGUAAAUACUAAUUUUUCAGCAAAAAUAGUUGUAUUCUCAGAAAAAAAACCAAGAUAUCACAUGUAUGUCUACAUAGGCAAAAUAAGGAAUGGUUUACAUUAAGAGAAUCAUUGAAGGAGUGAAGGACCUUGUGAAUGCAAAGGCUGAUGGAAACCUCAUUUUCUUUAUGCCCAUCUUCAGCUAAAUCCUGAAGUUGAAGCUCUUGGAGUGACAAAUUGUAGUCUAGAUUCCAAUUUUUUUGCCAUCUCCCAUCUGCUGUUGAUAUCUUGAUCAAUCCCCGUGGAGCCUUUUGACUUCUAUUCGUUGUCUUUUAGUAUUUGUAUAUCAGGAAAAAAGAAAACAAAACGACAUUAGUGCAGCCAACAAGCAAAUACAACUUAAUUUGUACUCUUUUUUUUUGGGUUCUUUUAGGUGGGAUUUAAGAAGUGGAGAGGGAGAAAGUGGGGGAACUGAAGCCAAAAUCUGUAAAACCUGCAGGGACCUCCACUAUUCAGCACUUCUGUAAUUCUAUUUACAGAACUUGAUAAAAGAGCCAUUCUUCGAAAACAUGUUUACAGAAAGUUUCUAACACGUUCUUCAAAAAUAACCAUGUAGAUUGUAAUAACAUACCACAACAAAUGAAAUAUAUAUCAAGAUUGGAGGAUGAAGAAAUCCAUGCAGCAAAUGCAGUAUUGCCUUGGAAAGAGGAAGUGCUAAAGAAAUGAACAUUGAAUUUGAUCGUAACAAAUGAAGAAGAUAAUAUAUUACCAGUGAGAAAUCAUUUCUCCUUCGAGAAGCUCUAGUCUUGGAGCUGGCCCGAGGAGACAAGAGGAUGGAAUUGGCUUGUGCAAAAUGUUGAUUAGGAAUAGUGUUCAUUUUGCUGAGUGGAAUGCAAUUUGUUUCUCUCCUCUUCUUUUCCUUGCCUCAAGGAUUAGCCUUAUCCGCAAAGGCAUGAUGGCCGUUGGGUGUCAAUAAGAUAUUUUAUGGCAUGAAAUUCCACUGUUGCUACAUGAGAUAUUUAUGGUAUGGAGUUCAACCCUUGUUGCAAGUGGUACCUAAGGUCUAGCUACUUGUAUAAUAGUCCCCUAAAUUUGUUUAUCGGAAAAAAGAAAGGGUCGAAUCUUCUACACAUUAGAAGGGAAUCCACGGAAAUUGAAUCAUCAUUGGGUCAAAUGGGUGCACUAUGUACCCGUAUGAAUUUAAAUCAUUUAACGUGGCAGCCAUAUAUAGUGGCAACUAGUGGGAGGUAAGGUUUAAACCCUAGACCUCCCACCCCACCAAACUUUAAAGGCUAUGGUGGUGGCCAACAGUUUGAAAUUCAAAUUUUGUAUACAUAUCAUGUAUCUAAUCAUAACACUAUAUAUAUUGUUAUUAUAUGUAAGAUUUAUUAAAAAAAAAAUCCAAGCAACUCUAUUGUGUAGGAUUGAUAACACUUUGCCCCCUGAAUUAAAACAAUAUAUAAAUUGCAUCCCAUUGAAUUCAAAGGUAACUGCAUUUUUCAAUAGCCUAAAACUAUGUGAAAAAAAUUCUAUUUUACUUAUGCCCUCAAAAUUAUUUGUAACAAACGGCUGCAAUGGGCAAUUUCUUUGACUCCCUUAAAGUAGCGAAAAGUCUGUGAAAAAAAGGGGAAAAAAAAACUUACAAUGGAGACUCUGCUAUUACCAAAAGAUCUCCAGCAAGUUGAGAAGCAUUACAACAUUUAUCACAACACGAGCAGCUCAAUAGAAAAUGCGGAGAAUGGAAAAAAAAAAAAAGAAAAAGAAAAAAAGGCAACACUGUGUACCUCAAGGACAAUUUAAAAUAGCAGCCUUUUGUGGUUUUAAGAGUGUGAAAAAUUUUGUAGGUGUUGUUACGUCCUAGAUUUUCGUUGCUUUCUCUUAUUGAAUCAAUUCAUUUUCCAUUUUCAUUAUCUCUAUUCGCCAUCAAGCACUUGAGAGGCAAUUUUUUUUGCCUGUACAUUGCAAGAAAAUGGACCAUUUUGUCAUUAAUUCACUUUUUAUUUUUUGGUUUACUGUGUUAUAUGUUAAAAUUUAAUGGGUCUUCAACAAGGGCAUUAUGCAUAUUGCUUAAUUUCAAGAGGGCAAAUUGUAGUUAACCCUAGUUCCAAGAGGCAUAGUGGUAUAACCUUUUUACAUAUAAAUAAGUUUGAAUCGAAUCAGAUGUUAGAUGUAGGACUGCAAAUGAAUUGAGCCGCUUGCGAGAAGCUCGAGUCCAAACUUGACUCAAGUUCGAUCAACAUUGAUCUCGAAUUCAAAAAUACUUUACUUAUUAGUUCACAAGCCGACUCGAUUAUAUAUAUAUAUAAUCAAUGCUUUUGGACAAGCAUGAAAGGACUUGCAAAGAAUUGGGCGACAAAACCUUCUAAGCCCAUGCUUUCGAGGAAUAGCAUUAAAAUGGAUUCGAGUGUUAUCUACUAUCCACUGCUUUUGACUUGGGUUCUUUGGUUACAUUUUUUCAUGUAACACUUUUGUUUCAAACCACUGGGCCAAUGGCUUAAUUCCUUCUUUGGGUUGUUGGUGUGAGUUCAAACCUCACCAGCAGCGAAAAAAAUCUAAGGGUUGUGUCAUAGCACUUCCUUGGUCUAGUUGGAUCUGUAUACCCACUAGCCCCUACCACAGCCUCCUUAGGCUCCCCUCCCCCUAGAUUAGGAUAGAGUAGGUUAUACAAAUGUAUCUUGCUGACAAAAAAAAAAAAUGUAACACUUUUGUUUCACCACAAUUGGAAGUGAUAAGUGUAUGAAAAGAGAUAUUUUAAAACUUGAAUUAUUAUUUAUUGUUACAUGGUACACGUGUCAUUUAGAUAGCUAGUAUAACAGAAGUGUAACAUGAAAUGUUAUAACAGAAGAUGUAGCUUCAAAUUAAUCUUGCAUUAUACACCUCCUAGUUUUCAUUUUUCUCCGUUAUGUUAAAAAUCUAUUUCCCAAGAUGUUUUCCCUUUUUUCUUUUUUUUUUUUGCCAACUUUUGCUGCUAAAGCAUUUGUCACGGUCGGACCGAUACAUUGUAGAAUGUUGUAGCCUAACGUUGUGCAAUAUUGUGAGGCAACGCUGGUGUAUUAUUCUUUAUAGGGUAACAAAUUUCAAGGGAGAAUUGCAAUUUUGUUCUCAACAUUUGGCGGAAGGGCCAUAGUGGUUCCGAAAUUUUUGGACAAAAUAAAUAUAGGACCUAGUACUUUGAUUUUCAACCAAACUAGGAAAAUUGAUGGGUUUUAACGCAUUCUUAAUCUGCCAUGUGACGAUCGUGUGGUUGUUAGUCAACAAACAAAAAAAUGAAGAAAUGAAAAGCAAAACUAAAAUAUAGGACCUAACUAGCUUUAUAUCCCAUGCUAUGCACGAGUACUACAAAUUGAUAAAAAUAAUUCAAAUUUUAAAAUAAAAUAUUUAACAAUGUUAUAAUUAUACAAUACUAUGCAAAAUCUUUUUAACUAUAUGUAAUUUAAUGAACAUUAUUUGUUAAUUUGCUAAAUUUGGAAGUUGUCAAAAAUCUGGUAGAAUUUGGUAGAAGUUUGUAUAAUUUGUAAAGAUAAAGGCUUGGUGUGGUCAGCAUAAUAUUUGGGAUAAAAAAUUUUGAAUAGACUUUUACUUGUUUUUUGAAUUUUAAAGUGGUACUAAUUCAAUAGAAUUCUUUGAACUUUGAGACCACAGUGGAUGUUGUAAAAUUUUUGUAAUUUAAAGAAAUAAGUGAUAUAGUAUAUACUAUAUUUUUAGAGAAAUCUAAAAAUUUUAACUUAUAGCAAAUUUGCAAGGAAAGCUUCUAGAAGUUCUUGACUAGUGAAUAAUUAACUUUAUGUCCUGUGCAAUGUAAGGGAAUAAAAAAUGCCCAAAAUCAAUUUAAAACUUUAGAAAAAAUUAUGUAAAUAGUAUAAUAAAAAAUCAUCUAAAAUCCUUGUAAGGAAAUGUAAUUUUAAGGAGAUGUAGUUAGAGAUUUUGAAACAAAUAUGCAAAUACUAAUGUUUAAAAUGUGUAAGCACUUUUCCCACUAAUUAAUCUUUGUAGAGUUGGAAUUAAUCUAAAAAGAUAUUGAUUUUACAUGAAAGACAAGAUGUAGACAAUAUUUUUGCAAUAGUGAAACUGAAUAUUUUUGUAUAAUUUAAAAGUCUUGUAUCAUUGUUCAACCUUUUAUAAUAAGACAAUCAAAAAAAUUCUUUAUUUGUAUACAUGGCUGUGGGAAACAAAAUACCACUUUCAUCUGUAUAAAGUGGUUACGCAUUGAUACUUAUUAGUUUGUUAAACUACUUUUAAAUUUAUAAUAUCCUAUGUACAAAGAUAUUUCGUAAAUGACAAUAUAUGCUAUUUGUCAACAUUAAAGUAGAAAAUUUUACUUAGAGAGGCUUAUUGAUAAGUUAGUUUUACUAAGAUUUAUUGACCAAUAGAAAACGUUAAGGUAAAAAAUUUUAUUAUGCAGGCAUUUUAAAAAAAAUUUCAUGUUGAAUUUAAACAUUUGAACUAAACUAAUCGAAAAGCAUUAAAUUAACAUUAAUCAAACUUACUAAAGAAUAAAUAAUUCCAAAAUCUUGAAAAAUGAUACAUGUCAGAUUAUUGAAAACGUUCUAGAACAUAUGAACUGAUGAAUAGUACAUAGUAUAGAUAUGGAUGGGAGGCAAAGCAAGGAUAUUAAAUUUGAAGGACUAAUUACAGUUUUUGUCCCCAACUUUUGGGAGGAUGACCAUAGUUGUUCCUAAGGUUUAGGACUAAACAAAUAUACUAACAUUCUGUCCUAUUGAUAUAGUUAAAAAGAAUAGUUCAACUUCAAGAAAAAACAAUGCAGUAAACACCAUGAAUGAAGAACUAAAACGUGCAGUUUUUAGUUGAAAACCUGUACUGAAACAAUUUCACUCAGCUUCCCUUAAAAUGUAGAAAAUUAUACAGACCUCCAUUGGUGUAAUAAAAUGACUAUAACUUCUUUCACUUAAACUGGAUGAUUCAUAUGACAUAGGAUGGAUAUAUAUAGAACUGCAUUCGACUUCCACCAACUCCACCACAAUGCAGACCAACACCAAUACCAGUGGUGUCUAUUUCCAAACUCCACUCUUUCCUUGUUAUUAUUACUACUAGCCCCUCCCAUUUUUCUACUGCUUGUUAUGGUUUGCAGAUAUUAGAGAAAAGGCUGGAAAAGGGAUGAAUAAGGGGAAUGUUAUUAUGUCUGCUACACAAUAGGAUAUUAAGAUGCAUUCGGGUUUUUCCGUCUUUUUUUCCUUUUUUUUGUUUUUUGGAUUUGGAACCAUCUGUAGUGGAGAUAGAACUUAGAUUCCAUUUCUAGGAACCAAUGCAGUUUGGGUUGCUCUUGGUGGUUUUGGCCUAGAUUAUUUUGCCUUGGGAAUGCUUUGGGCACUGAAAUUGGAGCUUGGGAUAUGAGAUACUAACAAUAAAGUGUGUUCUCCUAUCACAUGAUUCUUUGUUUUUAUAUGCUCUUAGGAUUUGAUAUAAAUGGAAAAAUUUUCAUUAAUAGUUAUGUUCAAGUGCUUUCCUUGAAUUAAUUUGCAACUGUUUUUCACUCUAUUCUUAAUAAAAUCUUGUAUUAAAGGAUUUUGCCUAUAUUUCCCUCUAUGUUUUUUUGGACAAGACUCGUCAUACUCACAAAUCUCUACAAUGAUAUGUUGUAUUAAAACACUUUUGCCAUCUUUUAAACAUUCUUUUAUACCCUUGCUUACUAAAAUGAUGGCUCCAUUCUUAAGUUAAAUGAUUAUCUCAACAUUGGAGUGAAAAAUACACGUCAUCUAUAAUUCUCCACCGCUUGACACCUUUUGUAUUUACACGAAAUGCCAUCGUGACUAGGGGUGUGCAAAAUCGAAAAAUUUCGAUUUACCGACCGAAUUCGAAUUGAAUUCGGAAUUUUCGAAAUCGGUAAAUCGGAAAUCGGAAUCGAAUUCGGAUUUUCCGAAUUCAUAUAUUUCGAAUUUGGUUCGAAUUCGGUAAUGGAGUUUUUCAAAUCGGAAUUUCCGAUUUCGAAUUCACAAUUCGAAAUCGGAAUUCGAAUUCCGAUUUCGAUUUCAAAUUCGUUUUUAAUAUAUAAAUAUAUUUUUUAUACAUGUAAUAUAAAAUUUAUACUAUAUAAUAUUAUAUAAAAUUUAUAAAAUUUAUAUAAUAUAAUAUAAUAUAAUAUAAAAUUUUAUAAUAUUAUAAAUUUUAUAUUAUAUAAUAAUAUAUAAAUUUUUCCGAAUUCGGUGAAAUCGGUGAAAUCGGAAUUUACCGAAUUCCGAAUUGAAUUCGGUAUGAAUUCGAAUUCGGAAUUGGUGAAUUCGAAAUCGAAUUCGGUCGAAUUAUCAGGUACCAAAAUUUCGAAAAAUUCCGAAUUCAAACUUCCGAAUUGCCGAAUUCGAAUUCGAUGCACACCCCUAAUCGUGACAAAAUUCGUGUCAUUAGAUAAGUACCCAUAUUCUAACAUAAGUUCCAUAAUUCCCCACAGUUUCCCUUCUAGUGUUUUUCUUUUUUUUUUUCUUUAAUGAUUUUCCACUUGUCAUAUUUACACAAAACCUUAUGACAAAUUAGAUGUCUUUAGUAACUACCAUUUUACAAAUUUACUUCCACAAUUUUUUUUAUAAUUUCUUUGCAUACUUUUUUGUCAUCUUUUGUGGUUAUAAAAAUAUUUUAAAAUUGUAUACAUGUAGUAUUUGCAUUGAACAUUAGUUUUUUUUUGUAUGGUAUGAUUAGUAUUUCUCAUGCAUAUAAAUAUUUUAGCCCUUAUUCAAAUACGUGUACUCAUAUCCUAUAGCAUACAAACAAUACAACAUGCAUUUCCCAAAACCAAAAUUUCACUAUGUGGUGUGUAUAUAUAUAGACACGAGUAAUGGACAACAAAUCAUUUACAUUAGACUUAAAAUGCAUUAAAAGAAAAAAACAAUUUGAGGUUAGGAUUAAUAUGGAUAUGCAUGCUGUCAACAUGGUAGCAAUUUCAAAUGAAACCUAAUCCUAUUGUGGAUUAUAAAAAAACAAAAUGAGAAUUGAUGGAUGGCACAAUCAAGGUGCACGGAUAUGUGGUCAUAUAUGCUAGCUAUGCAUUUUGGUAUUCCUUGGCAAUAUCGUUGAAUGUUGAAUAUGCUGGACUUGACCCAUUCUUGAAACUUUUGGGAGCUUUUGAGCCAUGCACGAGCACAUUAUUCUUGUUUGUUUCAUUUGUGUUGUUGAGUGGGUAUCACACAUGGUAUUAGCAUUCUAGAACUUGCUAUUUUAUACAUGUCGAGACCACAUUUUGUUGAACUGGAUGCAUCUGAAAUGAUAAGGGCAUUUAGGAUCUAACUUUCUUUAGUUUUCUACAAAUCAUGCAUUCGUCUUGUCUCCUAAUAGUGAACCAAUUUGAGCUUUUAUCCUUCUCCUUUGUUUGUUAGCCGUAUUUGAUAACUCAGGACCUUUUUAGACUUACUUGUUUAACCCUGUGUCGUUAAGAGAUGUCUGAAUUUUAUUGUUUGUGCAAGGCAAAUAAAUCUAGGGUCGCAAGUGUUGUUAGAAUAGAAGCUGUAUGGUGCUAGUUCUGUGCAUCUUCGAUCGAAAGAAAAAUAAAAAAAAAGAAAGGAAAAAAAAGAAAAAAGAAAAAGGGGGAAAAUUUGUCAAUAAGCUGGUGAACAGAAGACCCUGGCUUAUAGGGCGUGCCCAUGCCUCGCAAGACGCCCUUCCAAAAAAAAAAAAAAAAUAUAAAGAGAGUUCCAACACUUGCACAGUGGGUAUAGCAAAUGGAAAUGCAUUGCUUGUGAAAUUUCUCCGGUGAAGCAUUGUGGUUAUGUGGUGGAUAUCGGACAUUCUCUUGACACACUACACCCUAUCUUUACCUUCUUAUCUCACCUUCUACCUAAGCCCCAUUACAACCCUAUUAAAGCCCCUUUGGUUAGUGUAUUUAGUUCACCUUUGAGUGGUGAAGAUGUGAUAAAUGUGCAAGCCUAUGAUAAUGCCAUUCCGUGAUGUUGAUUUGAGUGUUCCUAGUAUUCAACCAUUUUCUUUGAAUUACCACCUGUCCGGUGUGUUCUAAUUUUGGCGACAUUGUCAGGAAGACGGGAUGCUUGUGUUAGUGUAAAUUUCUGCAUAACCUUUGCUUUCUUGGUUGUAUUUCUGAGCUUCGCAAUGUUUGAGGACAAACAUUGUCAAGGUGUGGGGGGAUUUGAUAGAGCAACUAUUGGGCACCUUUUGCGCUGUUAUUUGGUCAUAAUUUUGGCUACUCAUUGUGCUAAGUAUUGAGUUUUUGCUUAUAUUUGAUAUUUGUGUGAAUUGUAGGAGGUUGGUGUCAAAAGUGCUCUCCUGAGGUAAAUUUUCAAAAGACUCUUUAUUUCAUGACGUGCCCACGCCAGAAACUAAAGAGAGACACCUAAAAGACGGGCCCCGCGGGAUUGGUAGCAAAAUGGGCAAUUGGGAAAUCAAAAGGCUCGUGGACCGUGGGGGUGCAGGGGAUUAAAACUCCUAGAGAAAGGCUUGUGCCCUGACAUUUUCUCUUCUGCUAGCGGCGGCUACGAGGGAAAUAUAAGGAAAGAAAGCCAGAUUCACGAGAGAUCAAUAGAUUAGCUUUUGCUUUUCUGUGAGACGUUUUCUUCUUCUUGUCGACGGCUACUGCACAGGAGAUUUGGCUAAAAAAGCCAGAUUCACGUGGGCUUAGUAGUUGGAAAGCUUUUAGUUUUCUCCCAUGUAGACAAUUUUCCUUCUUUUGCUUUUGCUUCUGACAACUUUCGUGAGACUUUCCCUUUACUUUUCUCCUGUAAGAAUUCCGAACAAGAAGGAAGCAAGACCUUUCGUUCUAUCCUCGUUAUUUCACUUUUCCCAAUUCUUUGGCAAUUAAUUGAAUGAGUUCAAUUAAAUCAGGCGAGAUUAUUACGAUGAGGAGCGGCUAGUUUUCUCUUCUACCCAAAGGUCGACGCGAAGGUGCCCAUAACAUCUGUGAGAUCUAAUCGAAUUUUCAUUAGUUCUUCCAAUUCGUUACUAUUCGUGCGUUUCCUGGAUUAAUUGUUCACGGGUAUUUUAUUAAUUGAGUAUCAACGGUCGGAUAUUUAAUUUAAUUUAAUAUCCUACCGUCACGUUAAUUAAAUUGAAUCCGUAAUUGUUCGUUUAAUUGACUACUAGUGACAACCACCAUAAUUGGCUUUGUGUUGGGGAAAUGUAAGAUCUAAUUUAAAUAAAUCCUCUUAGGGUGUUUAUUGGUUAGGGUUGGGUUUUUCUAGCUUUAAUGCAAUUGGAUAAUUAAAUUCUUACGGUCGUACCUAGGGUUGUUUUCUGGUUAGAGAAGCAGUCAAAGGUCAUACCUUGGCUGUCGAAAAGUAAGGAAAAACUGGCUGUCAGAGCUUGUUGAUAGCUAUAACCAACCUAGUGACGAAUGAAUGAAAUAUCUUUGUAUCGAUGAUCAUUUAAUUGGACCGUGCCUGAAAAGUUGAUCCUUUGGGUAGAAUUUUAUUAAUUGCUAUUUUUAGUAAAUUGUACUUGUUGAGUUAGCCUUUGAAUUUUGUUUAUUUUAUUUUCAUCUUCAUUCCCUUAAAUAUCCCCCAAUCUUGUUCUUUUGACUUGGAAAGAAACAACAGUCUAUCCGUUCCCUGUGGAAUCGACCAUACUUGCCAUUGUAUGCAAAUUUAAUACUUUUAUAGACAAUUCUAGUAUAUCGGAUUAAGCAAACUCUUUGGGAACAUGGUGAAUCAAGUAACCCAUUGCACACCUAGAGUCCCUGCUCCAAUACUUGGAUUUGUUCUAUAAUUAAUUGUGGUGGUAAUUAGGACUUUUUAGUAAUUAUUAUUGCAAGGCUCGAUACCUGUUACCAUUUGAAGCCUUGUUUGGGUAUAAGCCAACUCCUCUUUCAUUGGGACCCUAUUUGGAUUCAAUGAUACCUGCUGCAGCCCGGAUGUUGCAGGAAAGGACCAAAAUUGUCAGCAGUAUCAGAGAGCACUUAUCCAAAGCUCAGAACAGGAUGAAGCAUUUUGCUGACAAGCACAGGACUGAGCGAGAAUUUGCAGUAGGAGACUGGGUAUUUCUAAAACUGCAGCCUUAUAAGCAGCAAUCUAUGUUAGUUAGAAAAUGUUUGAAACUCUCUGCCAAGUAUUUUGGGCCUUUUCAGGUUGAAGAAAGGAUUGGGAAGGUAGCUUACAAAUUGAAACUCCCUGCAAGGGCCAAAGUGCAUCCAGUAUUCCAUGUAUCCUUACUUAAGAAGAAGGUAGGAAGGUAGGCCCUCUGCAGCAGAUGUCUACUACAUUGCCAGAAUGGGAUGAACAUGAUCUGUGCCCCUUAAAACCAAAAAUGGUCCUCAAAAGGAGAGCAAUCUUAUGGGAUGGACAGCCUAUUGUGCAACUCUUGAUCAAGUGGAAUCAUCUCAGCUUUGAUGAAGCAUCUUAGGAGGACAAAACCUUCAUUGAGCAACAGUUCCCAGAUUUUUUGCAGACUUGAGGACAAGUCAGCUCACAAGGGGAAGGGAUUGUUGGGACAAAAGGUUUUAGAAAUAUUGAGCAGAAAUAGUUAGAAUUAAUGACGGAAAUAAGCAUUAGUGAAACGGCACCGUUUUGUGGUCUGUUGAGUUAGUUAGGUUAGUUAGUCAAAUAUCAAUAAGUAGGGCCCACACUUGGGAAGUUGGCAGACAGUUGGUUUAUUUUCUGCAAUUUAAUCAUCACUAUAUACUAAAGUCCUAACAGUAGAGACUCCAUCGAAAAAAGCCAAUUAAGGUCGUCACAUAUUGUGGUAAUUUUUUGAUAGAAAGUAAGGAUCGAAAUCUUGACCUCCCGCACCACCAAGACUUUACUUUUAAAGGCUUGCUUGGUGGUGACCACCAGGCCAAAGGCCCAGUGGCAAGAAAAAAAAUGAGUACAUUAAACUUCUACUUAAAUUAAAAAUAUCAAUAAAUAGAAGGUAGACACUUAGGUAGACAUUGUCGCGCCCCACUUUUCGAUUAAAUGUGAAUGUGUGCGAAGUGUGGUGUGAACGUGUGCAACAUGAAAAGUAAAAGGCCAUGGGACUUUGGAAAGCGACGAUUUGGCCAAAUGAAAUUUAAAAAGGGUUUUUUAAAUAUGAAAACGGAGUCGCCACUUGGUAUAGAUUUGGGGUGUACCAAGUCACCCAAAAAGUGUUUUUUAAAGACAAAGUAGUAAAACCCUUUUUAAAACGACUCCUAGUCCACGUAAGCCAAAGAAAAAGGUUCGGGGGUCACGUUUGACAAAGGGGAAGGCAAGGAUAGAAUCCAAGGCACCCCUUUGACCUAGCCAAGGCUAGUUGCACGACUCAAACCAAUUUUUCCUAGUUUUUCUACCCAAGGUAUGUAUCGCGUAUUGGAUAUGUCUAUAUGAAUGCAAAAACCUAGACCUAGGGGGAUUGGGGGAAAUUUCUCUUCAAAGGUUGAGUGGUGCCAAGCACAUUAAUUGUGAAGCCCAAUAAUGAUCCUUUUGGAGAGGUCACACCUAAACCUAAAUGACGUGAAAAAUGAGUGGAAUGCAUGCCAUGUGAAAGUGUGAGUUUGUGUGAAGUGAGAAAAAUGAUAAAAGAUAAGAUAAGAGUGAAGGUGUGCAAAUGUAGAUGAAAGUACUCGUGUGCGAGUGAAGAUAAAAUGUUCGUGUGCAAGUGGAGAUAAAAAAGUGUUCGUGUGCAAGUGAAGGGAUAUGAAGGUGCAUGUGUGCAAAUGAGACAAAAGUGAAAGUGUAAUGAUGGAGUGGAUUGAGAAUGCAUGAGCCUAAGGAAUUCAUGCAUAUUGGGUACGGGGAGACCUAAAUCGUGACUUGAUUUUCCCUUUGAUUAGAAGGCGAAACUAGCGUGCUAAGGCUAUCGAGUAGCCACACUCGCUCGUUUCCCUUAUCGGAAGGGGACCCUCAAGCAAAUGGACCCUACAACUAUCAUGAUAUGCAAAAAUCCUAAAAUGAAGGGAAAGGGGGUUCGAGGAGCAUGCCAAGUGAUAAAACUAAGAAAAAUGCAUGAUAUGUGGUGAACAAGCAAAUGAUAUGCUAAUGAGGGGAAAUCCCUAAGGGUCUAGCGUUGGACUAGCCCAUUCUAUGAAUUCCGACUAGCGUUGGACUAGCGGAAACGUACAUUCAUUCAUUCCAUUCAUUCAUGGCUAUGAAAGCAAGUAGACAUGCCAAAAUACUCGUAAACACAUAGCACAUAGCAUUUAGCAUGCUCGACUAGAUGCAAGAGCCUAAUAAAGCAAUUAAACAUGUAGCAACAAAAACAAACAAGGGGAAGGGGAAGUGGACCAGAUGCUCUCCGAGCACUAUCUAUUACAAGCCAAGAGGUGUACACAUACCCCAUAAAAGCAUAAAGGGGAAGGAAAAAUGGACCAAAUGCUCUUCGAGCCCUAUCUAUUACAAGCCAAGAGGUGUACACAUACCCCAUAAAACUUAAAUAAAAGUAAAAGCAAGUAAAUGCAUGCAAGGAGGUAAGGAAAGCGAAGUAGGCAUGCAUAUUCACAUAACACGUAGGAGCACGUAGGGUCAAAUGAAGUGCAAAUGAAGAAUAGAGUGUACCUCCCUCGAAGCGACGCCCUAACGUAGUGAAAUUACUAACUUACCCUCCAAAAUAAUAAAGAGGUCAAGGUACCACUUAAAUAAUCACAAAAGAUAAAAAUAAGCAUGAAUUUGAAUCAAUUAAAUCAUGUCAUCAAUCCACAUUUAAGAAGUCAAAAGAAGAAAGGACUUGAUUGCAAAGAUUGACAAAAUUUUGGGACCAAAAUUAAAGUAAAAUAAAGUUCAUGGACCUAUUUGCAAUUAAACUAAGGAUCCAAUUGAAAGAAGUUGAAAAUAUCCAAGGCCACAGCACAGUUAAGGAGAAAUUCAGGGACUGAUUUACAAAAUUGUUUUCUGGCUUCUUAAUGGACCAAACCAUUGGGCCAUUUCCUUUAUUUGUUUGGGCCAAAGCUUCCAAGCCCAAUCGGAAAUCCCAAAACAAAAGGGAAUGGGCCAUUGUCACCCUUCUUGGGCCAAGAUCACUUGGCCCAAUCGGAAGUCCAAGGAAAAAACGAGUGGGCUAGUAUUAUUUUGGCCCAAAAAUUAGCCAACCAAAACACAUGGACCAUGACCCUCUAGCCCAAGCCAAAAACCCAAAAAUGAAUUAAACCCUCUUACACAAACCCAACUAAAUAUCAUUAGCCAAACAUAAAUCUAAGCCCAACAAGAUAACAAACCAGCUAAAAUUAUUUAAGCCACAAUUAUGAUCUAAAACCCAAAAUAAAUGUAUCCCAAAAAGUCACAUAAAAUAGGCAAACAUAGGAUUAAGCUCAAGAAAGGCAAAAUGGAUUUGAUUUUUCCAAAUUUUGAGGCCACGGUGAACAAGGGGACUUGAGUGAUUAAAACGCAACAAAAGCAAGGACCUAAAGUGAGACCUCCAAUCAAAUGAUAAAAUUCACAAGAAAUGAAUAAAAACCCCAUCUUACAAUCGAAUGGCAAAAUUCAACAUUCCACUAAAGUUUCAAAUCAAAGCUAUAAGUCUAUAAAGGUUAUUAAAAUCUACAAAAUCAUUCUAAACUCACUCAAAGUUUUGCCCAAAAUCAUAUCAAAGCAUGUCAAGAACAAUUAAAAUUCUAGAAUGACACAAUUGAUUAAAUUACUCAACUAAUUGGACCAUAACAAGACAAGGGGGGAACUUAAGGGGUUAAAAUGCAAGUGUUUUAGGACCUAAUUGCAAGAAUUUGUAAUGUAAUUGGGCCAUAAUGUAUUGCUGCAAAAAUCAGAGAGACCCAAUUGGUUAAUUUUCUCAAUUUUGUGGGUCAUAAUAGCAUAAGGUGAGACUUGAGGGGGUUAAGAGGCAAUUUUGAAGAAUAUUUUCAUGCAAGCUCAUGCACGUUCGUAAACAAUGCAUUCUGCAACAAGCCUUUCAGCCAAAACUUUCUGCAACCAGCAUUUUACAAAAAAAAACAACUUUCAAAUAAAUCCAAAACACAACUAUCACACAAUUCCUCACUUUUCAUCAUGAAAUUUGUAGAUUGAAGCUCCAAGAGUCGGAUAACAAACAUGAAACAUCUAAAAAAAAGUUCAGGCCAACUCUAUUGCAAAACUUACGAAACAUUUCUGCAACAUCCCCUACCAAAACCAUUAGCAACCGCAACUUCAACAAGAAAACAGCCACACAAUUUGCUUUUAAGUUAAGGUCUCGAACCCAACUAUGAAAGCUUUAAACUAAGUAGCUAACUACACAAUCACUCUCAUCCAAACAGGUAGACAACUCAGAAAAAACUCAUGCAAAAUUCUGGAACAACAUGCAACCGUUCGAAGAAAACAAAAACUGAUGCAACUUCCUCCAUAAACUUCAGCUUUCCCCUCAAUCACAUUCAUGCCAUUCUUUAUUCAGUUCAAAAAGUAUUCAGGCAAGCGAACCAGCAAGAAAAGGGAAGGAAUCAUUAUCUAAACAAACACCAUAGCUGAGAGUCCAAAAAAGGAAAGACAAAACUCAAAAAACAAGACGCAAAGAAAAUUUUCUACUCGGCAAAUCUGAAAUUAUUUUUCCAGCAAUGUUUAAACCUGUUUUCAAACUUUUCCUUAAACAAACACACCAACAUCAACUCCAAACCUUCCCUAUCAUCCCUUCAAAAAACCAAAUGAAACAAGCAAAAGAUGACCAAACCCAGCCCUGAUAACUCCCUCGGAUAGAACCUGAGCCCAGAAACCAAACAACACAGCAGCAAAACAGCGAAGGGAUCCAGUCAAGACUUCAUACAACAACUGGAAUCCUUUUCUUUUGACGUAAAAGAUUACAAUGGGUUCACAGUAUUAUAGUCAGACAACACACAAAAUCAAAAGGGUCAAACCAGCCGCAACUUGACAACCAAAGAAAAGAAAAUCUAUUGCAAUAAAACUGAAAGUAUGAAAACUUGCUGCAGCCAAUUUUAAAUUUAACCCUAGAACUCUAACAACCGUGUCUUGCCUAACAUGAAGAUUCUAGGGACAAGAGCCAGAUGCUAUACUCACAAGAAAACAUCAAAAGCCAAUCACAACCAAUAAAACACGAACUAGCGACAUAUGAACCAGAAAAACAUGAGUGAACAUACGAGAACAGAAGAAAAAGAAAAAAAAAACGAACGUAAUGGGUUUCUGUUUCUGAUGAAACUAGUGAUGGUAUUAUCGCAAGCCAGGGAAAGCUUCUAAUUCCACCAAAACAAAAAAACAUCCCAAAGUAAGCAAAAGAAACGAAGAAAGGAAGCACCUUUACAAACAAACAACAAGGAAAGCUGCAAUUUUUUUUACCUUGCCGUACGGUGCCUUCCACAGAUGGAUGAAACAGAGAGGUUUCGUUCGAGUAGAACCAGUACGCAGCUAAGAAUCACGAUCUCCUUCUUCCUUGCCUUGGGUUUCUUCCCUUCCCAAAUUUUCUCUCUGUUUUCGGUCAGUUUUCCCUUUCACUCUUGCUCUAUAUAUUUUCCUUCUUGCCGCUAAUCACUUGCCCAGUCUCGGUUUCAAUCCUUUCCCAUCUGAGUUUCCCUAGCUUUUCUUGGUUGUCACUCGACGACCCCUUUCUCUCUUGCUCUUCCUGUUUCUUUUCUGAAUCCCAAUCUCUCUCUUUUUUCCAGAACCUCUCGCCGCCACUCUCUUUCAGUUUUUCUCUCGCUAUCCCCACUCUCAAUCUCUCAGCUCUCAGUUUUUCUUUUUGCCGUUCUUACUCUCCCCCAAAACCCUCUCUUGCAGCUGAUGUUUUUCUUUCUUUUAUAUGGAACUCCAAGGCCCUUAAACCCUCCACUGAAUGGUCAGGAUGAAGGCCAGCCUCUGCCUUCAUCCUGCCCUUCAAUGGCACGUACGAAGUUAGCCCUUUGCAAGCUGCCAAAAAUGCAGCUUGCAGGCCACGAUCCCUUUUUUUUUUUUUUUUUUCAAGAAAACUAAUACAACUUGAUAAUUACAGAAAUGAUAAAAUAAAUAAUAACAAAAUUACACAAAUCAGGUAAUAAUAAUUAUAACAAAACAAAAAUAAUUUUAAACAAAACACUAAACAAAAUGGCCAUUUUUUAAUUUUUAAUUUUUCUCUUUUCAUCAUUUUCUUUCUCUCAAAAUAACUUAAUAAAAAUAACUAAAGUGCCCAAAGAUUGAAUUUAAAGAAAUAAACAUAUUUUGGUGAACAAUUUUUCCUUUUUUCCUUUUUCCUCUUUUUUUCAUUUUUCCAAUCCAACUAAAGCCUAUUUUUGAAUUUUUCUUCUUUUCCUCUUUUUCUUUAAUUUCUUUUUUCUCCUUUUUAUGAUUUUGCAUUUUCAUUUUUCUUUCAAGAAAGCAAAAAAAACAAAAUGACUAAAAUGAUUUUUCUUUUCUUUCUAAAAACUCUAUAAACUUAAAAACUAAAAAAACUAAAAACUAAAAACUAAAAACUAAAAUCUAAAACUUAAAAGUGAUUAAAAACCUAAAAUGACAAAAUAAAAAUGAAUAGACAAACUAAAAGGGCAAAAUGAAUAAAACUAAAAAAAUAACAACUAAAAAUGCAAAACACUCAACAAUGAACUAAAUGCAAGCGAUUUAAAAUGAAGUAGAUGCCACAUACAAAUUAUUCAAAAUUUGGUGUCUACAGACAUGAUCUAUGUAAAUCUAAUAGCUCAAAAUUUGAGUCAAAAUAAAGAAACAUCUUUCAAAAUAUCUCACAAACUAUUUAAUGAAUUAAUGAAAUCCAAAAUAUCUCUAUCUAACAAACUAUUUAGUGAAUUCUGGAGUGACAAGUAUAACAUUCUACAAAAUUCUUUCACAAUCAUACAGGUUAGUAAAAUCUCACACUGUGUUUUUAUGCAUAUUUUUUUGAGACGAUACUAGUGCUAUUGCUGUUAGUUUUAUAAUAUUUUGCAAAUUUGAUUCUUAUAGCUUUAAAUUUUGUAUUGAUUCAUUUUUAUCUUUGACGAAGAAAACAUAUUUUAAUUACACAUAACUUUUUAUAUUCAAUCAAAUAGUUCAUGAAUUAUAUUUUAUGAUUUGUAUGAAUUAUAAUUUCAUGAGUACUCGUCAAAGACAAUUAUAAAUUUUUAAUACUGAAGUAGCAGUUCUAUUGUUAUCUUCAAAAUUGAAUAAAAUAUUGCACUUAGUGUUUGUAUUAUUAUUUUUGUAAGUUCACAACUCUGCCAAUUAUCUAUAUAGUAUACUGCUUAUGCUGUUAUUUAAUUUAAUUGCUAAUACAUUUUUUUAAAAAGAAUUAAUGUACAAUUUUGCCCAACCCAAGGUCUUGGUUCAUCGGUCCUUUUCCCGCCACAAUAUGCAACCAAACAUCUUUUUCCUAACUCCUCACUCAGCUGCGAAAAUAGAAAUAGUGGCAUCCUCAAAGACGAUGAUGGACCUAUUCAAACAACCCGCUACCCAGCGUCUCAAGUGAGUCUCUUCUCCUCCUCCUCUGACUUAACUCCGACGACAACAACCAAGCUUGCCGCUUUUUGCUCUUCGUCGUUCUUACCGAUCGGCCGUAAGCAUGAUCAAAAUGACAUAGCUUCAUCAAAUCCCUACCCAAUUUUACUCAAAUCGAGUUGUCACCACCGAAUCGAGUUCUCAUCUUCGAAGAGAAGUCCAGAAUCGAAUUAAAAAAAACCCUCGCCAAAGCCAGACAAAAGCUUAAGCUUUGAUCCGACGAAAUGGCCAAAUGUAACCUUCUUAAUUUCUCUAUUUCCCUUAAGCGUCUCAAGUGAGUCAAACUACUCAUCAGUAGUUUGGUGCUCGACUCAAGCUUAAGAUGCUUGAGUAGUAAAUUGAAUCGAAUUUGAAUUUGAAAAUACUAUGCUCGAGUGCCCAUUGAGAGUAAUCAAGUAUUAUUAAUUAUUCAAAUUUUAAUUUUUAAUAUUUCACUCAUUACUCAAUUUAUUAUAGUUUUUAAGUAGUUUACUUAUUCUUUAAGACUCCUACUCAUUUUGAAAUGUUGAAGGUUCUUAGUAAGUGGUUGAAAUGCUUUAGAAUCUUUUAAAACCAAGGUUUUGAAACCCAAAUUGUUCAUUGAACCAAAAAAAAAUUGGAUCACGGGUCACUGGUUUAACCGUUGGGCUGAUCGUAAUUGACCUGUGAUGUCAUAAAUACGUCAUUAAUAAUUAUUAAUAUUUUAAAGAAUUAUUGCAUAUAAUAAAAAUAAAAUGCAACGAUUGAGUAAAUGAUAAUAUUUGAUCACACUAUUAAGUUUGUCAUCUUAACUAAAACAUAAAGCCAUUUUAAAUAGAUAGACCAAAUUUUAAGAGUAAUUGACUAAUAUUUAAAGUUGAAAGAUAUAGAUAAUAUACACAGACAUUUUGUUACGAGUAUAGGAUAAUCAUUGACGUUAAGUUUUUUCAUACUUUUAAGAUCAAGAUGUUAAUAUUGCAAGAUGUUUUUAUUUUUGAUAUGUUAGUGACCACAAGUUUUUAAGUAAAGGAAGUUGGAGGAAAUUUUGAAAAAAGAAAGGAAAAGUGAGUUGUGACUUCAUCUCAUUAUUGGCGAACAUAAGACAAUUAAAAGUUUAAAACGUUGCAUGGAAAUGGAAAUGUGGGCCAAACUUCAUGCUAUUCAGCCGACAUUCAUGAGAAUAAAAAAAGGUCAAAUUGUUAGCUAUUAGUCAAAAUUGGUGUGCUGGUUGCCUAGAAAAUAGGAUCUGCAUAAGUGGUUGGCUCCAACGGCCUUGACCCAAACGAUUCUAGGAAAAUCGUUCCGGUUUGACGAUUCACUAGUUGAACUGCCCGAUUUUUCCGUUUCGCAUUAAAGAAAAUGUUUUUAUGGCACUUCCGAUUUUGAGGGUUGAACCAGCCCGAAAAACAACCUGAUUGACGGUUUUUCCAGUCCAAUCGGACGGUCCGAGCUGUGUGAGACCCCGAUUAGUCCUUAAGUUGGAUAUUAUGUGAUGCUAAUUAUUUGUGUGGUAAAAUUUGGGUUUUAGGGUUAAUUGGAAAACCCUAAUUUGGGUUAUGAUUAAAACUCUAGUUUUUGUAUUAAUCACAAGUUUGAGUUGUAGUUAGAGUUAGUUAUGCUAGUGUGUGGUUUAGUAUAGGAUUCGAUCCAUUUUAUAUAGGUUAGGUAAGUUUAAAAGUUAGAAAAUCCUAAACUAGUAAAACCUCUAGUGUUAUAAUUUAUUAGAACCCUAAGUUGGGUUUAAAAACCCUUAAUAUUUCCCAUGACAAAACGAUUGUUGUUUAAUUGCAUAACAUACAUGGUUAAGUAUAGAUGAUUAAGUUAGUGGGGUGAUUAGUAGAGAAACUAAGUAAGAUUAAUUAGUUUGGACUAGAUAAAGUUUACGUCUAUGGAGUAAAUUGUAAGGAGUUCAAAUGUUCAAGAGCAAGAGUUGAAUAAAAGGUAAGUUGAAGUGUAAGGGUUAAAGGAGCAAAAUGGGAACUUUUAUGUGAUUGGGUGUUAAGAAAAUAUCUUCUAAUGUCUUGACUAGGCUUAUGACUAAGCUUAUAUCUAGAAGAUACAAGAGAAACCAAGUGAUUAAAUCACAAAACAACAUAGGAAAAAAAGAGAGAGAGGGCCGAAAAUUUGGAGAGAAAAGAGAGAAGAAAAAUCCCUUUGGUGCACCAACUUUUGUCCAUUAAACUUUAUCUUGGAGCCUAGAACAACAACCUUGGCACUUGAUUGUAGUGGUUUGAUCAUCUACAGAGCUUCAAUUAAAGGUAAAUCAUCCUCUUUGAAAGUUGGUUUUUGGUGAUUAAGUUUUGAAACCAUGAAAAGUGAUGCUUUUGUUGUAAUUGUGCUCUCUUAUGGUUCAUAUGGUGAGUAUAUGGUGGUUAUAGAGUAAUUUUAUGGGUUAAUUUAGUGAUAAUGUUGCUGAAAUUUUGGUUAAGGCUAUGAGAAAUUAGGGCUUUUUGGUUUAAGCUUCUCUUAGUCAAUUGGGUUGGUGAUUAGACUUGAUAAUGGAACUUUUGGUGUAAUUAAGUCAUUUGAAUGGUAAACUCUUAAUAAACUCAGGUUUGUUAUGGAACCCUAAUGAAAAAGGGAAAUUAGUUUGGUUUAGUUAGAACUUGAAAGGUUGGUGUGUACUUGGCUAGCGUUUUGAAGUUAGUAAAGAACUAGUGGAAUUGGAAUCUAGAUGGUGGGUAAUAUUUGGUAAUUUGGGGAAGAAAUUUCGGACCAUUGCUAGGUCUUUUAGAAUCUGGUAUAGGUAGUAUUAUUUGGCAUGAAAUUGGUUAGAAAACUUGUAUAAGACUCAUAGCAAUGGACCAUGUGUUUGCAAAGUUUAAAAACCGGCAAAACUGGAAACAGGGCAGCUCACAAAUCCGAACAUGGGCUCUGUUUUUCUUUAUGCUGUGUGCUGAUUCGGAAGCUACUCAAAACAUAAAAGUUGUAGCUUCUUAAGUCCUUGAUGUGCCUGCAAAAUUUCAGGUCAAACAGAUCAGUGUAGCCUGAGUUAUGGCCAAAACAAUCUCUCCUGUUUGGAACACUGGAUUGUGUUACGUUUUCAAAUUUGGCCUCUGGCCAUGCUCGGUUCACCUGGAUAACGUGCGAACUGGGUGUUGAUCCCUUCAUAAGAAAUGUAGAUCUUGGUCUUAGCUUCAAAAUGGUAUAAAGUGCAUCCAAAUCCGAGUUCCGUAGCUCUAGUUAUGACCAAAACAAGAACGGUUGUCAGAACUGCCUUUGAAUUUGGACAGUUCUGACAGGAACUUUGGACCCGUUUUUCACCCUGCUCGGUAUUGAUUCAGGUUUUGGCCAAAACAUAAAGGCUCUGUUUGGAUCACCUGUUUUUGGAGGUGUUUUUAAAAAACUUAACUGUAGCAUUUUUUGAAAAACUUCAUGUAACGUUUGGAUUCUUGUUUUGAAAAACUCUGUGUUUUUGAAAAAUACCUGCGUUUGGAUUGAACAGUAUUUCAAAAACACCUUCUUAUUAAAAGUGAAUAUAAAAGAAUUAGAUAAUUGCCCAAUAACUUCAGCAACAAAGCAAAAGUGACCUUUUAUAAAGAUGGGAAAAUUUUCAAUGACCAAAUAUGAGAAGUAGCACACUACAGCCAAUUAACAAAUUUUGGAGUAACAAGAGGAACUUAACUUGUUUUUUUUUUAAAAAUUUUAAAAAAUAUCUCAAAAUAUAUUUUAAAAACUCUUCUAUUCUUAAAUAUCUCAAAAUAUUCGUUAAAAAUAUUUCAAAAUAUUUCUAAAAAUUGGAUUAAAGCAAAAUUUUUCUAAUAAUUACCCCCAAAAACUGCGUGAUUCAAACGGAGCCAGCUUGUUUAAGGGAUUUUUGUACAAUAUCAUCCACAAACACAUGGUGCAAUUAGCAUUGAGGUGCACAUAUGGAGGUAGUGCAAACCACGAGUUAGCAUAUAUAAGAUAAACAAUCGAGUCCUGAAAGACAUAACACGAUAACACUGACACAAAUUCGAAAUCAAGCGGAAAUCACAUGUUUUUCAAUCAAAGCGUAUUAAACUUUUUUAUUUCUAGGCCUAUCGGUCCAAAGCCUCAUAGUGUCCCCUAGUUAUGCGCAUUCCAAUACAUGUGCGCCGCCAUUGCCCGCCGAUCUUCGUUCCAAUUAAAGAUGCCCUGCUCCGACAUAUCGAUGGGUUGGCCCGCCUGCUGUUGCUCCCCUGCUAUCUGUGCAUCAGCUAUGGCUCCGAGGGUUGCUUCUUCGUUGAAGUACUCAUCUGCUGGGGAGUAUGCACGCAUAAAAUUGUGCAAAGUACAACAUGCAAGCACAAUAUUAUUUUGUGUUGCUAUUAGAUAAUUCUGCAUUGGACCCUUGAGUAUUGGAAAACGCUUCUUAAGAACCCCAAAUGUGCGCUCAAUAAUAUUUCUAACCGAUGCACACCACCUAUUGAACAGACGUUUAGCUGCCCGUUCAUGCUGUGUGCCCUGUGCUCCCCUAAACGGUGCCAUAAAACCUGGCAUAUUUCUAUAAGCAGCAUCUACCACAUAAUAUUUCCCUGUCAAUGAUGUCAAGUUGAUGGUUAAAAGGCUUUGAUUACUAAUACAGAAAUAGGUUCUUCUUGAUUUUGUUUAUGUAAGGUCUUGAAAAUAUCUACCACAUAAUUAUGCAUAAUCUGCCAAUGCCUAUCUUGAAACAUAAAAAGUUUAUCACAUACCCGGCGGUGGCAUAGGAAAACCCGAAUUCGGAUCUAGCAAGGUAUCUUGGAGAAUUCGGGCAUCAUGAGCACUGCCCUCCCAACCGACUUGAACAUAUACAAAGCGCAUAUCAUGAUCGCAGGCAGCAAGCACAUUCUGGGAUAAGUCACCAUGCCGAUUUAUGAACCUCUCUCGUAUCUCUGAGCUGCACCAAGCGGAGACGUGUGUCCCGUCUAGUGCUCCUACACAAUCCUAUACAAAGCCCCAUACAAUAUUUCAAUAAAUUGUAAAUUGAAAUUUGAGUUGCGAAAAAGUUGAAAUAAAAUGCUAAAAAACACAAACCCGGAACCACGGCAUGAGUGAUGCAUUGUUCAAAAUUCUUGGGUGAAUCCCAUCGAAGUCUGUUGGCCUAACGAGAUCACAACCGAGGCGAACUAAUGCUCGUAACACACGACGAACAUGUCGAUCUAUCGUCUCCGUGGAAUGCUGGAACCGCUCGGCUAGAACACGGUGCCGCUCAUCAUGGCUCAGGCACAUUAGAGUUAAUGCAACGGAUUCAUGAACCCCCACCUGAUGUGAAGGAUAUGCAUGCCAAUAACCACGCUGAACCAACAAAUCACACAACAUCAAGAAUUGGGGAACAUCCAAGCGCAUGUUUUCAAUAAUUCUGUCCUCAUGUCCGUUUAUCAGCUCAAGCACAUAGUCCCUCCCCGAGAGCACACUAUCUCUAACUCUUCUUCUUCUGGGAACUCGGUUAAAGCGUGGGUCGAAAAACAUGAAGCCUAGGAGCACAACUCCCAAAAGGAUGUUAUCGAAAUCAACAUCGUCCGUCUCGUCAUCCAAGUACCCGCCCUGAAUAUGUCCCUGAUUAUCCAUCGCACUGCUAUCAGUAUCAAGUGUGCAAUAAAAAUUCGGGAUACCCUGCAAAGAAAGGAAUCAAAAGGAUUAAAAAUAGAACCCAACAAUGCUCUGGCUAUAUGCACAAAAAUUUGAUAUAGAACAAUCAGAUAACAACUUAUGAAUUGGGGGGCAUCUUGUUCCUAUUAUGAUAACAAUGCUCCGGCUAUUUGAACCUACUUUUAUAAAUGUAAAGCCUAGCAAAAUAAGAAGUUUGGAGUUUCACAAAUACAAGUUUCCAACAGAAGCAUACUUGCUGGUUUCCAAGUUAACAAGUUGCACACCUAUGGAACAAUAAAUCCGCAAAACAUUCUAGUCGUCUGGUAUAAUUUAUACCUGGCCAAGAAGCUUAGCUAUCAGUUUCCAAGUUAACAAGUUGCGAAGCUUGGCUACAAAUGUACCACAAAUCCUAUACAAUCCCUAGGUAUGGUGAAUACCUAGGCAACAUGAUAUAGAACAACUAGUGCAAUCUAAAAUUCUCACUAGGUUCGACCGAAGGCAAAGAAUUGGCCAGCUGUUUAAUGAACAUUUGAAAUCAAGUAUAACUAUGCCAAUUCCAAACGUUACCAAACGAUUAAAUCAUCUUAUCCCUGCUUAUGACACUGUAACAAAGCCUAUUAUCACACACAGCCUAAAGUUGCAACAAUCUGUUCGAACGAGCACACACAGCAAUUAAAAGGUCACUAAAUCGAUUCAUUAAAAUUCAGAAAAAAAAUAGACUCAUUCGGGGUACACAAAUAGAAAAAACCGCCGUCAAAGUUUCCAAGGCCAAACUACAUCAAACGAAAAUAAAAAGCGAAAUAGUGGAAUUGCAUGUUCGGGGACACAAAGACAAUCCAAGUGGGCUGCCACGACUAAAACUCGGAUGGUAUGAGCAUCUAUGCGGGUGGGAGGAGCCCUCGAUGUCUCACAAACGCAAGUCGGGCAUCGUCUGUGGUGCAGGAGAACCAAAUGAUACGCUCCGCUUUGGACCGGAGGAGAUCGGCCAUCUUAAGGUGAACAUUUAUGUCUAGCCCAAGCGCGCAGAGAGGCACCAUUGCAGCUUCUAACUCCGCAUCGUCAUCUACAACAGCCUUUUGACUCUUCGAAGGUGAAGAGACCUCUGCACUCUCGCUCUUGCUCUUUUUACAGCUCAAAUGUGUGUCAAUGUUGUCUAGGACGCGGACGUACUGCUGGAAUUGGGGGUACGAUGGUGAGGAGAAGGAAUCGCAAGACAUGUCACCCGAUCUGCGCUUCCCUUUGCUAUUCUUAACUUUUUGUUUCCCUUUCCGACUCACAGGCUGUGAGGGAACGUUUUCCUCGGAGGAAUCCACGUCCACAACCCCCUUUCCUGAAUAGCGUCUAGCAGCUCUCUCCAUUUGCUGCUUGUCGGCCGAGUUGGGCGGUGAAUCUCCAUAUCCAGCGCUGAAAUCCCCAGUCGCCCCUCGAUUCAUGAAAACUUCUUCGAGCACGUGAUAAAGUAGGCAUGAGCAGUUGUAGAAUCUAGCGUAUGCCUGGUUCACCUACAACAAAGCAGAAGACAGCAAAAGCACAAUGAAUGCAACUCUGAAAAACAUAUGAUUGCAUUAGAGUUAGGAAACCAGCAAUUAAAUCCAAGGGGGGAACAGUUAAUGCAAGGGGGAAGAUAAAAUCCAACAGGGAGACCGUUUUUAUCGAUUCCGAAUGGCUUAAAAGUAAGAAACCAGAUGGCUAAGCGCUUGGAGGGGGACAGUUAAACUGCGAGGGUGAAGAUAAAAUCCAAAGGGGAGACAGAUUUGCAUAAUUUCAAUUGGCCUAACGAGAAACCAGCAAGUAAAGGGCAUAGUACGGGGGGACAGUUAGUGAAAGGGGGAAAAGAAAAUCCAAGGGGGGGGACAGUUUUCAAUAGUUCAGAUUGGCUUAAAUACAGAAACCAACAAGUAAAUCCAGCAGGGAAAUAGUUAUAUCCAAGGGGGAAGAGAAAAUCCAAAGAGGGGGCAGUUUUUAAUAAUUCCAAAUGGCUUAAAAGUAAGAAACCAGCAAACUAUACCUGAACCAGUUGGCUCCAUCGUUCAUCAUCCAUCAUGAAGGUGUAGUUCGUUGAGUCCCACCCCAUACCGGUGCCCCGUUUCUUGAAUGAAAUGUAAAGCCUAGUGAUGCUCUGAAGGGCAUAGUACUUCGACCGAAUACUAUUGCUGGGAAAUGGAAUUCCGAACCUCUGAAGAAGCAUGUUAGUAACCUCGGGGAUGACAUGGCUCCCGAUGUUUUGAGACGAUAUCUCUCCAUUCCUAUGCAUAUGCAGUAGAUGUUCGGCAAACGCAAAUUCAUGUUCAGAUGUGAAACUGUUACGUUCUGAGUACUUCCCUUUUGACGGUUUCAUCUUAUUUCUCUUUAGGAUACAUAAACAAGAAAAUUGGGCAUAAGAGUCAAAAAACAGACAAAUGUGUCCUCGUUGUCAUAUAAAAAUGGAGAAGGCAGUCGCACAUGUGGUUGUAAGUAGAAGGCUAAAUGCAAUUGGCUAACCUUGAAGUAAUUAGUUAUGCAUAGUUGCAAAUCGUUUUCUCCCUGAGCUGACAGCGAACAACAAUUGCUAAAUCCCCUACUCCUUCGCAAGACUGUGAAGUAUAUAUAGAAAAUACAAUCCUAGAGGUCAUUUAAUUGACUAAACUUCAACAGAAUUAGACCAACUGACAAGUCUAACUUACCCUUCCAAGCACGCCGCGUCACAGGGGGCAUGUAGCUCCAAGGAGGAGACAAUAAAAGGACAAUGAAGUAGCUGCAGCCGCAGUACUUACAUAAAAUGGAAGAAAUUAGGUCCCCAAACUCAUGCAAAUUACUCAGCAAGACUGUGAAAAUACACAAAUAUACUACAACCAGCAUUUUGAAUCUACUACAGCCACCGUUUGGUUCGGAACAAAUUAUACAUUGGAGUACAUUUAUAUCUCUGAAGAGGGUCAAUUAUAUGAAAAAUUAUGCGGCAAACAAGUCAAGCGCCUAUUCCAAUAACACUGAAUGUGCAUAACAAAGAUGAUCGUCGGCAAUGAGCAAUCCCAAAUCAAAAGAAGUUGUGAAGAAAUGUUUUCAAUAAUUUACAGUUAAGAACCAAUAUGAAAGACGCUGAACAAGUUUAAAUCUACUACUUGAUGUUCAGUCACUAUUUUUUUUCCAAUCGUCGGAAACAGAUUGAAGGCGAAGAAAGAGACAUCAAUUUAGACUGCGACAUUGGAUAAAAAAUUUCAACUGUAGCCCUACUCUGUACGAAUAAACCCAAAACUCAACGAACUCACCUGCAAGUUCCUUGAAAAAGAGGAGGCUUCACCGAACUUCUUGUGGGAUGCAGCAGCGUACCGCCAAUAUCUUCACGAAUUAACUACUGUAGCAGGGCCGAGCGAGUGAUAAUCGCGUAAGGGCACCUCAACGAAAAGAAUCUACAGCGUGUGACUCCAAUUGCAGAUCUGCCCGCAGCAAGCUCAGGUGAAGCGCAAAGUUGUUUGUGUAGCUCAAGCUUCGUUCCAAUUAACUCUUAGCUGCCGGGCUUGAGGCGUGGAAUCGAUGGGCUGCCCCGCUUGCAGAAAUCGUCGGUUGGUCGCUCUUCGAAAUUCGAAAGGAGGAGCUGAUGUCCAAAGGCUUCUUCGUUCUUAGCUCAGCUCAACAGAGAAAGGAUAAGAAACUUUACACUGUGGCAUCACAUGACCGAAAAACUGUUUUUACUCUUCAGGAGCUAAAACGGUGUAGUCUUGCUACAGUAGGCACUGUAGUUUUUUGGUGAAAAGCUGUUGACCACUUUUUGUAGUUUGACUACAAAAACAGUUUUUACAAAAACUACCGAUCCAAACAGACCCAAAAGUUUUAGUAUUAUGACAUACCUGUAUAACGCCUUUGGAAUUUCUUGAUUUAGACUUGUGAGCUGUGAGUUAUGGUCCGGCCAACAGACCCUGUCCGUUACCCUAGAGUGUAAACUUCUGGUACUAUUUUCCAUAAUUUUGACCUAUGUUCGUUCAGAUCUAGGUUAAGGUGUUUUCACGAAAGUUGUAGCCCUUCCUCUUAGCUUCGCAACGGUACCUCAUGCACUUUGAUCCGACACUUGUAGCUUCAAUUGCGUUCAAAACAGUUUUUGAGUCUAAAACGGUCACGUUGCCCUUCCUACUUCCGUAAGCCGUUUUUGUGCAUGCAUGUGCCAAUGUUGCCGUUUUGCUUGAUUUAUGCACUUUAGUAGCCGUUUGUGUAAUAAUAUGGUACAACCUUCUAUUACAGACGGUGGCGAGUUAGACGGAGCCGGUGGGGCCAACUAGCUGUUACACCCGAAGUGAUUUUUGCACUUGUACUGUUUUGUGAUUUGAGUAAGUAUUCAGGCCGUUUUUGUGUAUAACUUGCUUAUGUGCUUUGGUGUGGAUGAGAGGGUACUUAGGCGAGGGUGUACUUAAUCACACUCGACCUAAACCCUAAUUUGUACUUGUGCUUCUUUAUGAGCUGUGUAUAUAUGAAUUAUUUUGGUGCUGAACCCCUUGAGCUUGUAGCUCGGGGUGACUUUUGUGAAAUUUGUGAAAUAUGAUGAAGUUGUGGGCCCGAUCUCAAGACCUAGACGGACUAUUCGAGCCGGCCAGGGUUUGGUCGAAACCAGUCCAACCUAGUCUUAAGGUCACCAAGUUUGUGGUUCUGUGAACCAAGUUUGUGAACCGAGCUUGUGAAUCAAGUUAAAUUUUGUUUCGUUUGCUCGAGCCAUUUUGUGAGGUGACUGGCCAGUGUGGGUGAUAAGGUGUACGGUGGGAGUAAGUGGAGUUCUACGGACCCUUAUCGGUGGUCGACGGAGUGUCGACAGGAGGUCACAUAUGGCACAUGACGUGGCUUUGGAGCCAACCUGUAUCCUUAACUUGUGUUGUUACUUUGAUAUUUUGAUUUGACAUCUUUGUGACGUAAUUGUUCGUUUUAAUGUGAAAUUUAUUUUUUACCCCUAUUUACUUACUAAGCAUAUAGCUUACCCCUUUCCCUUUGUUUUCCUUAACAGAGGCCGACGCGGGGAACUUUUGGCACUAUCACUAGUAUAGUUAGGCUUGGUUUGUAAUAGCCGGGGAACUAAGAUGUUUUUCUUGUUUUAGUGACCUGUAUAAGGACCCCUCUUUGGGUCUACUUUAUAUUUUGGUUAUUAGCAUAAGAUAAUGUAGUAGUUUGGAUAACUCCUUUUGAGGAUGUAAAUACUCUUUUGGAAUUGAAUAUAUUGUGAGUAGUACUCUUUUGGUUUUUAUAAUUUUAUUUGCUUUGUGUUUUGAGUCCUGGAGCGAGCUAGGCAGGCGUCCCGCCGAUACUCUCGGGUUCGCCCUUAGGAAAAGUGGGGGCGUCACAAGCUGGGUUUUAAAACAAUGAAUGUAUUUGGAUAGAGUAUUAUUUGGAAUAAUUACUAUAAUAUUUUUUGUAAUAUGAUGUAUGUGAAAUAAAAUAAUAGUUAAAAAUAUAAAAAAGUAAAUUUAAAAAUAUAUUUAUGAUACAAGUCAAAUAUUAUGUGAAAUAAUUUGCAAUCUAAACACAUUUACUGUUUAAAACAUUAGGCGGUGCCAAAACAAAAGUUUCCUCCCGGGGGGCUAUGGGGCGGGGGUUGGGGAGUGGGAUGGGGCGGGGCGGGGAGGGGAUUUUUUCCCCCUGUUUAGACACGGGGCCGGGGGAGGGGAAGUGUACGCCUCCCCUGCCACCUGUUUAAAAAAAUUAAAUAUAUAUGUGUAUAUAUAUAAUAUUUAAUUUAAUUAGUUACAAACUUAUGAUAAUGAUAUUAUUAGUUAUACGUAUUAUAUAAUGUAUAUUAGUAUAUGCAAUAUAAUUGAUAUUAUCAAUUGUACUAAUAAUUAUAUAUGUCUACUAAUAGAAAUUAUUAAUUAGUUAUAUUAAACUUACUAAUAUAUUUAUACUAAAUCCCUAAUCACACUUAAUACCAUGACAUUUUUUUCUCAAAAAAAAAAAGCACAAGCAUAAUAAUGAAUUAGUGAUUGUAUUUGUGCUAAAAGUGAAACCUUGACUACUUUAGUUGUAUUUAUUUCAUCAUGUUGGAUUGUAUUCAAAUAAUUUUUGUUCAAUUGUUUUCAUAAGUUUCAAUUGUGAAAUUAUAGUGAAUAAUAUUUUGGUGAUAUAUUGAUACUUUAGUACUUGAUUAUUUGCUAAAAUUUAACUAUAAUAAUAUUAUAUAACAAAUUUUUAUUAACUCCGCGAAGUGAGUUGGUUUGGGGCGAGGGGGGGGGUGGGAAUUGAUUAUCCAACAAGGGUCAAAAUCUUACGCUUUGCACCGCAUGGUGGACCAAAGGUUGUAAUCCAUCACUUUGUGGGCUCAAGUUAAUGGGCUUGGAAAUUGGUUCAAAAGAAAUUUGUCUUGGACGAAAUCAAAUUAAGUCUCAUAGCUAUCAAGAAAAAUGGACUGCUUAUUUGGCAAAAUUCAGGAUCAGGGACAUUUAGACUUGUUUUCAACGUUGAGUUAGCUUUCGACCAAGCUUCGAAAUGAAGACAUUUGUUGACAUCAAAAUUCUGAUAUUUAAUUAGUCAAGAAAAUUUUGACAUUUUACCAACAAAGUUGUGCAUGAAUGGGAGAAAUACUUGCAAGCACAAGAGAAGGACAUAAGGAAAUUUAAAAUGAUGUUUAGUGAAUGUUGCUUUCCCUUCAUCAAAAGGAACAACAUUUAUGUAGGUCACAAGUUAGUGCCCUCCCUGGGUUAGCUCUUCUGGUAGCAAGCGCUUCUUCAGGCCACGCUUACCAGGUUUCGAGUCUUGCCUGGGGCUACCGUGUCCAAGAGGAUAGGGCCUCCCCUCUCCUAGUCGGGCCGAAGGCCCGGAUACCCCCUGUGUCUGAAAGAAAAAAAAAAAAAAGUUAGCAAAGUUCGCGAUUGAUUCUUGCAAUGAAAUAUGCUGGAAGGGAUCCUUCCCAACUUGCCUAUUAGAUGCAGCCAAGAAUGAUGUAACGAGGAGUUGCUCAACCUGAUGUAAUUACGUUUCCUGAGCUAUAACAUUGAUUGCCGUAUUGAGAAAAAAAAAAUUAGUCAAGAAAAUAAAUAAAUAUAGUUUUCAUGGUUAAUUAGUUAAAUAUUUAGUCCAACUUAGAGGCCAUUUCUUUAUGAAACAAAUGAUUGGGCUUAGUUAAAUCAUGACCCAAAACAAAUGCUAGACUUCAUAUUAAUGGGUUGAUUUAGACAUUUUGGUCCGUGAUGGGCUAACCGAAACUUUGUUGUUACCAAUGGGUAUCUUUAGUCACGAAUAAUCUGUAGAAAACCACGGGCCCGUUUGGAAAGUGAGAUUUUUGGGUGUUUGUCUAAAAUUUUACUGCAACUUAUUAUAUAUAGAAAUUUUUAAAAAUUUUUUUUAAGUGGGUAAAUUUUUGAAUAUUUUAAAAUGUAUAGUUUAAAAAUUUUGAAAUUUUUUUUGAGAUUAUCAUAGUUAAAAUUUUAAAAAAACUUGUAACAUACAAACUUGACAAAAAACUUGUCUACCAAACAAGACCUAUAACUAGCGUGCUUCCCUCCUUCAGGCAAGAUAAUCCAAGAAAAUAUGCAUCAAGUCUCUCAAAUCUGCAUCAAAUUUCUCUAGACAAAUCCUUCAGGUCCUCAAAAUUUUUCCAAGUCCUCGAAGUUCAGCAAAUCUUCAAAUCCUUGGUGCUCUACCCUAAGCCAAAUCCUUCAAGUCGUGGUCAAUCUCCAAGUCCUUGAACUUUCUACGCAGGGAUUUAUGUUCUUCGAUCCUCGAGUCAAUCACAAUUUAGGUAAAUUUUCAUAUUUUUUGAGUUGUCGAAUCCCCAAGUGUUGCUAAAUUCCGAAAUCAUCAAGUCAAAAGAUAGAUCAUAGGACAUUUUUUUUCUCAAAAUCUAUUCAAUCCUUCAAGUGUCUAGUCAAAUCUUCAUGUUUCUCAAUGAUGAAGGGAAAGAAGAAAAAUGAAGGGAAUAUUUCUUCUUUUGUAAAAGGACUCACAGCUGUACCCUGUUAGAUUUCAAAUUAGUUAAAGUGACGCUUUUUUUCAUCAAUCUGUUCUUGAUUUUCAAUACUGUCUCCACAUUGGAAUUUUGUGCGAAUGCUUUCGCCAAGUUUGAAAUUUAAUACUACCUAUAUAUUUUUCAAAAAAGUCAAAUUCAAGUAUUUGAUUACACUCGUAUAAUCGAAUAAAGUCAAACUUUUAAAACUCUAGUUUAAACUCAAAGUUCAUUUGUAUCAAACUUGAUUUCGAACUCAGGCACAUUUGGAGCUUUAACUUUAUUCACCGAAUUCAAACUCAUUUAUUAUUUUAACUUUAUUCACCUAACUUGACAACCAACUAUGUUAAACUUAACUAAGUACAUAUGAAUGUACUAUGCAUCGAAAAUCUAAAUACAGUUACCUCUAUCCAUUGUUGUCAAGCAUAAGUUAAUCACUUCUUGUGUCUUUAACUCCUUGUUUAUUCUAACAAAACAAAAUAUGUAGAAGAAGGAAAGUAGAAGGAGAAUUUAAAAUAAGGAUCUUCUAACCUAUGUCUAACUCAAAAGUGUACAAUUGAUGGAAUACCACAGGCUAUUUAUAGACUAGGUUAGGGACCCUUACUGACAAAUACAAAAAUCUCUAGGAUUUCCUUCCAUUAAGAAAAUCUUGCCAAAAUUCAUAACUGAAAUAAUAUUUUCUGACUAAUUGAUUGAUUAACUAAUUGAAUAAGAUAUCAAUUAAUAAAGAUAUCAAUCAAUCAUUAACAAAUGAGAGAUACUAAUUAAUUAUUGAUAAAAUAUCAAUCAAUUAAUCAGGAUAUCAAUCACCAAUCAUUAUCUAAUAGGAGAUACUAAUUAAUUAUUUAUAAAAUAUCAAUCAAUUAAUUAUGAUAUCAAUCAUUUUAGAAUCAAUCAUGUGGGUCAUAAUUGCCUCAAAAUGACGCAAGUCUUACAAACUACUCUAGUUAUUCCUAGAGUAGUUAACCACUAAAAAAGUUUUAAGGCUCUAUUGUGUGUAAGUCAAAUAUUUCUUCUAAAAAAUCUAAGAUUUACUAAAAGAUUCAGAAUCUAUUAUGUUCGGGAAAAAAAAAGCCUAAAUAAACUGACCUCAAACAAUAUAUACAUAUUUAACCUCAAUUAAGCUUUUUUUUUUUGGGUCAAAUUUCUACUUCUAUAUAUAACCUCAAUUAAGCUUGACAAAAUCUAAAUAUAUACAAUUCUUAAACUACUCUAGCUGCUCCAGCUCGGAUGCAAUUCAAUGAACCGAUGUCCAUAACACGAAAUCGUACUCUGCAUUGUCCUUGUUCGCGGACAAAUUUCGACAUUUUACCUCUUUUUAACUUUUCGGCCUAACCGGGCUUUCUUUCUUCCCGCCAGAAUAUACAACCAGAUCUAUAUUUUACUCAACUCCUAAUUCAGCUGUGAAGAGUCUGAAGACAGAAAUGGCGGCAUCCUCAAAGACGAUAAUGGACCUAUUCAAACAACCCGCUGCCAAGCGUCUCAAGCGAGUCUCUUCUCCUGCUCCUCCGACUUCGACUCCGACUCCGACGAAGCUCGCUGCUUUCUGCUCUUCAUCGUCCUCACCGAUAGACGGCGGUAAGCAUGAUCAAAACGACGUAGCUUCGUCAAAUCCCCACCCGAGUUUACUCGAACCAAGUUCUACUCCUCCUUCCAUUCUUACCGCCGAAGAGAAGUCCAGGAUCGAAUUCAACAAAGCCCUCGCCAGAGCCAGACGAAACCUUAAGCUCUGCUCCGACAAAAUUGCCAAAUGUAACCUUCUUAAUUUCUCUAUUUCCCUUCUUAUUUAGCUAAUUUUUUGCUUUAUCAUUCCAAAUUCGUGCCCCUUAGUUCCUCUAUCCAGUGUAGUAUACUUUGUCAGUUGCAAAAGUUUUUUUUUUUUUUUUUUAUUUAUUUAAAAGUUUUCCCCUUUUUGUAUUCUAAAACAUUUAAUCACUGAAAUGCUUUUUCCUUAAUUCCUUUCAGUUAAUCUUCCUUGUAUUGGGUAAACUUUUUUUUUUGGGUCAAUUUUAUUGCAUUAUGAGUAGCUUUAGAUGCAUGCCCCAUUUACAACGAUAGGAUAUCUACUGAACUUCUGUACGUAUCUAUACAUUUUGCACAGAAGUCAGCAAAUUCAUUUUAUAAUACAUUUUGUACGUAUCUAUACGUUUAUUACAUUAUGUGUCUUCUUUACUGAUUGGGGCCCUUUUUAGCCUGAAUUUUUUUUUAUUGAUUUGCUUUUGUUGUUUGCUAUGCAACUUUUUUUUUUUAUUCAAUAAAUGUUGUGUGAUGUUCAUGUUUGUAAAGGUUUGAUCUUUCUUUGUAGAAACAAUGAUAUCGAGAGAAGUAAUAGUCUGCUACUUUGAGUUUUCAUGUUAUAGGUGAGGAUGUAGGAUGUGUGAAGUUGGAGGAGCUGUUGGUUGAAGAAACCUGGCUGGGAAAGUUACCAGGGGAAUUUCAAAAGCCAUAUGCGAAAAAUCUGUUUAAAUUUGUGGAGAGUGAAAUUCAAAGGAGUGGUUUUCCAAUUUAUCCUCCGCAACAUCUGAUCUUUAAUGCUCUCAAUACUACUCCUUUCGAUCGAGUGAAAGUCGUUAUCAUUGGGCAGGUGAUUUUCAUUUUUGCCAUAUAAGUUUGGGUUUCUCUUGUAAAUCUUGCUGUUGAACUCAUGGAAUCUUGUCUGAAUUGCUCAUUACUAGCUUGUUUCUGACAAACCACUGAUGUCGAUGUUCGUCCCUAAAUUUAGAAGCAAUACAAGUAUUUGGAACUUUCUGAAACUGAACCGUUGACUACAAUUUAGCACUUUUUGUUGCUUGAUUUGAGGAAGUUUGACACUUCAUUCUCAGAGAAUUGAAGAAAGAGAAACUUUGAUUCUCUACUUCAUAAGAUAACAAAACACUAAAUAGUUAAAAGAAUUCCUGUGCAUUUGAGUUCACUGAUAAGAGUUUCAUGAUUGAAAGGUUGGAAAUCUUAAUAGUUGUCAUCAAUCUAAUUGGAUGUUGUUGACAAAAACAUCCGGAUAUUUAGCAGAGGGUGUAAGUUGCCUAGCAGUGACUUUGUUUUGAUAGCUUGCCAUAAAAGCUUACGCUAAGGUUAAGUUUUUACUUUCUUUGGUUCUUCUACUAGGAUCCAUAUCACGGACCUGGUCAGGCGAUGGGGCUCUCCUUCUCUGUGCCUGAAGGUGUUAAAGUCCCUUCGAGUCUGGUAAAUAUAUAUAAGGAGCUUCAGAAUGAUUUGGGCUGUUCAAUUCCUUCGCAUGGGAACUUGGAGAGAUGGGCUGUACAGGUACUACUAAAUCUGGUGGUAAUGUACAGCUUAUUCCACAUUUGUAGUUAUGCAGAUCCUAUGUUUUUUUAAAGUGCAUUUAGUUCUGGAAAAUUUUCACUUCGAUGACUCUUUGGCAAACUUUCUUAGGUUUUUUUUUGUGCUUUUUGUCAUCUGUACAAUUACCUUUUGAAUUUUGUAAGCUUUUGUUAUUCUGUUGCAUAUUAUAUUGGUAGGAAACUUGAUGUACAUAUUAUGCAAUUUAAUUGGUGAGGUUUCACGUAUUGGCAAACUUUCUUAGGUUUUUUUUUGUGCUUUUUGUCAUCUGUACAAUUACCUUUUGAAUUUUGUAAGCUUUUGUUAUUCUGUUGCAUAUUAUAUUGGUAGGAAACUUGAUGUACAUAUUAUGCAAUUUAAUUGGUGAGGUUUCACGUAUUAGGUUUCAUAAGUGUAUAGUAAAUCUUAGUGCUGAGCAUCAAAUUAGUUAAAAUAUCAUCUGCUUCUCUCGUUACCAAAAGCUGUUCUACCAUAUUAUUCUUAAUGUCAUCUGUAUUCUGUUAUCUUUGUGUUAAAUGGUGUCUAAAGCUGGGAGUGUUCAUCUUGUUAAACACUGCCUAAUAUUCGAUCAUGUAAUUCUUUAGGGGGUUCUACUGCUGAAUGCUGUUCUGACAGGUAUGUUCAUGUUUCUAUUGAAAUUUAUAUAUUGACUUUCAAAGGUGUUCCCUCAUCUUUUAUCCAUGAAUAUUCCUGAGUUUUCAGUGAGGGAAUCUCAAAUUUUGAUAUUUGCUUUUUUCAACUUUACUACAAAGUAGGAACAUCUCAAAUUUUGAUUUCUAGUCAUUGUUUUGGAGCUUUGCUUUCUUACAAUCUACAUUAUCUAUCUUCUUUCUUGAAGAAAAUUGCUCAGACUAUAUUAAAACCAUGAUACCA